rnacentral:lncRNA from 1 species
GUGGUGAUGGUGCUACAAAAAUUGACACUUAAUAUUUGCAAUCAGAACCGUUGAGCAGGAUAAUUUAUUUGUUUAAAAAAUUUACAAUAGAUAGUGCUUUAGGCUUAUCAUUGCAGUUAAGAAACUAAAACGUUUUAAAAUCAAUAUCAAGAUCACAAAAGAAAGUAACCGUUAUUGUCAAAAUGAAAGAGCCGGCUUGGCCGGUUCUCAUGAAAUGUAACUAUCGAUAUUGCUUAAGAGUAAGGGAAGAGCCUCCCUCUCUUUGCAGUCAAUUCCUUAAAGGAAUGGACUCUCUCCAUGUUUCACAGAAAACCCUCUUAUAAACCCCAGCGUCUUCUUCUUCUCCAUGCCAUAUUUUCGUGCAUUGUACUAAGAUAGCCAAAAGAUGGUUGGUUUUGAUGAACUCAAACUUGGCGGAGUUGAAGAGCUCUCUCUUGCUCAUCCUGAUCCUGUUGUUUUAGAACUCAAUCGUUUACAGAAUCAGCUUAAAGGUUUUUCUCUUCUUCAUAGUUCAUGCUUUUAUGACUACUUUGUUUUUGAGCUGUCCAAAUUCCAGGUGUGUGCUUACUCGGCUUAUGACAAUAAUUUUUAUUUUACAUUAUUCCAGAGAAGGAUAGGGAGCUUGCGGAUGCUCAGGGUGAAAUCAAGGCACUAAGAGCAACUGAAGUUCUGAAAGAUAAGGCUAUAGAAGAGGUACUCAGAAUUUCUAUGCAAGCAAAUUUAGUAGUUCAAUUUGAUAUCCAUAUAUGCGCAUUCAAUACUCGCAUAGAUACAUUAUUAUUGUCACACGAAAAUAAAUAAAUAUACAUACACAUAUAUACAGGCUACUAAUUAACUUUAGCCAAAAUGUUUGUGUUUAUGGUAAAUUUAGUAUUGAUUCUUUAUUUUCUGCAUUUACAGCUCAGAAAUGAGUUUGGUAAGAUAGACGGGAAACUCAGAGUCACCCAAAACGUCCUGGAACAUAGGGUAGGUCAAGGUCUAAGUGAUACCUUUUGGAAUUUUACAUUAUUUUCGAGGCUUAACUUGUGAGUAUUAUUAUAAGGGUCCUUCUAUCUUACAUGCAUGUAAGAUACAUUUCUCUCACAUGAAUAGUGUGUGGAUCCCACACAUACACUAUUCAUGUGAGGGGGAUGUAUCUUACAUGCAUGUAAGAUAGGGUUUGCCUUAUUAUAAGGAUAUAUUUUUCUAACAUGAUACAAUGCAGAAUCUUGAAAUAAAGAAAGUAACAGGCGAGAAGAAAGAUGCAUUAGCUGCACAAUAUGCUGCGGAAGCAACUCUUAGAAGGGUGCAUGCAAAUCUUAAAGAUGAUGAUUCAGUUCCUAUUGAGUCUGUCCUUGCUCCCCUGGAGGCGGAUAUCAAAACGUAUAAAAAAGAUAUUGCUGCUCUUCAAGAGGACAAGAAGGCUUUGCAACGUCACACUAAGGCAAAAGAGAUGGCUCUACUAGAGGCAGAGAAGAUCCUGCGAAGUGCUCUGGAAAGAGCUUUGAUAGUUGAGGAGGUUCAAAACCUAAACUUUGAGUUGAAGAGACAGAUUGAGAUAUGCCAGGCAUGAUUUCCGGACUGAACCCAUCACAUUUGAUGAUGUACUAAGACUUUUGAAUUAUUAGCCAAAUUGACAUUACGAUUAUGCAGGAAGAGAACAGAAUCCUUGAGAAAACCAAUCGCCAAAAGGUAUUGGAGGUUGAAAAGCUUAGCGGAACCAUUAAAGAACUAGAGGAAGCUGUUCUCGCAGGUGGGUCUGCGGCUAAUGCUAUUCGUGACUAUCAGCGACAAAUUACUGAGCUAAAUGUAGGUGUCAUACUUAUGUGUUGUGAUUUUCAGUUCUGUCGAUAAGGUCCAUUCAAUGAUCCUGUAACCUUAACAUUUUCAGGAGGAGAAAAGGACCCUGGAGAGGGAGCUUGCCAGAGUUAAAGUUUCAGCAAACCGAGUAGCAACCGUGGUGGCUAAUGAAUGGAAGGAUGAAAAUGACAAAGUAAUGCCCGUCAGACAAUGGCUGGAAGAGAGAAGAUUGCUGCAGGUAUUCCCUUAUCGGAAAAGGUUCUUGGAUCCAGGUUUCUAAUUCAUUUAUUUAUUUUUUGCCAUUUAGAUAUUCUAAAAGUUUCUUGGGCUUCUAUGACUAUCCACAUCCCUAUAUGUCUAGGCUGAGAUGCAGAGACUAAAAGACAAGCUAGCUAUAUCAGAGAGAACAGCCAAGGCGGAAGCACAACUGAAGGUUAAAUUCGAUUCCUUUAUGUUAUAUCUACAAUUAGUUUGUCCUAAUAUUUUCACCGUCAGUUGAAUUUUCUGUGCCGAUGUGAAUUAAUUUUAGGAAAAAUUGAAGCUAAGGCUAAAGACUCUGGAAGAAGGCUUAAAGCACGUGUCAAGUUUCUCGGGCAGUCCUAAUACAUUUUGCGGGUCACCUAAAACAGAAAAAUCCAGUAACAUUAUUUUGGGGUUCUUAACAGCCAACGGUGGACUAAGGAAGAGAUCAACAUCACAGCCAAGGGCUUCUACUAUCAGUAGAAACUCUCUACUGCAUCAGCCAAACUCAGAAAAUGCAACGGUCAAUGGUAAUUUUACUGGAGGACUAAAGCGAGCUGAUAGCUUCAGAAAGAAAUGUGCUGCCGGAGAAAACGUGCUGAGGAAAAGCAUAUGGCCAUCGAAAAAUAAGGUUGUUGAUAGCAGUUGUGGCAAGGAAAAUACUCAGGUGAAGGAGAACAAAGACAACAAUAUUGAUGAGUUUAAAAUUGGUGACACAAACGUCUCAGUAGAAGUCAAAAACAAAGUUGGUGGCUAUGAACAUGAAGUUUCUCAGAACAAGGGAAAUCCCAACCCUGUUAAAGAAGAUGUGGUUUCUGGGUUUCUGUAUGACAGACUACAAAAGGAAGUCAUACUUUUGAGGAAGUUCUGUGAGUCUAAAGACAGUUGCUUGAAUGCUAAAGAUGAAGAAAUCAAGGUUGAAGUGUUGUUUCAAUUAUCUCUUCUUACUCACCAUGUGGUUAAAGCAUGAGGUAUUAAUUGUCUAACCUUCCUUUCAUUUCAGAUGCUCAUAAGGAAGGUUGAUGCAUUGACAAAAGCCAUUGAAGCUGAGUCCAAGAAAAUUAAGAGAGAAGCAGCGGCUAGAGAAAAGGAAGCUAUAUCUGCGAAACUGGAUGACACCAGAAAAAUCAGAAGCACAAGCUCUUCAAGAAGGUUGGUGAAACAUCCAUUAAUUUUUAUUUUUUUUAAAUUUCUUUUGUUCUCUGUUGCUUUCCCUAACAUUCUGGAUGGUCUAAAUUGCAGCAGGGUAAACAAAGCACCUUGAAGCUUCCUUUGGAAAGUUGCAUGCCUCAGGAAUUCGUUUAAUUCAUUUCUGCUGAUUUUUCACUGUAAAUAAGGAUUAUUUUGCAAAUAGUUGAAUAAGUUAUGACUAAAAGAAGAUUGUGAGAGAGCGAGAAGCUGACAAUGUGAUUUCGUUGGAGUGUGUUGAAUUGUGUUUUCAAAUGCUUGUGUAUGCAAUAUGAUUUCUGUCGACUGUUUGUUUAGAUGCUCAAGUUACACUCACCAGUUCUCCAAUCAAUAUCUAAAACUACCAGAUGAGUGAAAUAUGAAUUGUUUGUCAUACACAGACCAAAGGAUUUGAGUUCAGAAACAUUUUUUUCUGAGAAGGAAUUUUCCAUCGUGGCUGAUCAAACUAGGCCCCGGAGUAAUUGCGUAUACGUUAUGCUGAAUCCACUGAUUUCAUGGCAUUUACUUCUUAAGAUUUAAACAAUACGAGCAUUAGUUUUCCUAAAUAUAAAGAGAAACACUAGAGACACUCUCGGAAUUAUUAUAACCAAAAAAUAAUCCUCAAUUACAGCUAAAAAAUUGCUAUAAUGGAGGAAAUAGAUCGAAGCAAUGACACCCGAUUUAAAGAAAAAAAAAACACCCUCCUGCUCUUGAGCAGCUACUUUCUACAAUCUAGUGAACUAUACAGUAAAUUCAUCAACGGCAUUGUGAUGAGGAAAAGCUGAUCAAAGAUUUGGCACCUCCGGAAUGGAAGCUAAAGAUGGAUGCCAUUUCCGACACUGUUUCAUUAAAUUCUCAGAGAAUCGAACAGAAACUUUUCCAGACUGGAACUUGUUUGCACUUGUCAGCAGUAACUCCAAUUGCUGCCAUGUGAUCACAAUCUUCACUCUCUCCUUUUUAGCCUCCCUUGCCUCAAGCUUGGUACCUUGAGGCAAUGAAGAGUACGCCUUGUCACUAUGCUUUUGUAAAUCUUUUUCUUUGCCAUUCAAAGGAAUAAUCCUAACUUUCUUGUGCGAAAUGCAGGACAGAACAGGCACCAACUUUCCCAUUGUGCACUCAUCAUUUGAGUUUGUACUCUUAGCAAUUUAUAUUGAUGCUUUUAAUUUGUUUUCACGUUGACGGCAACCUAACGUGCAAAGUGCAAACCAUGAUGCUUCAUUAUAAAGUAUAAACUAGUGACGAAUUUUAUUCUAAAGAAAUGGCAAGUACAUACUUCGGUUUGCUAAUUAACAUUUUUUAGUGGGCUCUGAAUAAGCAAGUCAAUAAGGGGCGUUUCUACAAGUUUGCAUUAACUAAGAAGAAUAGAAGAUGUGGAACAUAUCAUAACAUUGUUUAUUUCCACAAGGUCAAAUAUCCGUGCCCUUUCAGAAGUAUUUAAUAAUUUGGAAGUCAAAUUUCUGUCCGGUUUUUAUAGGCUACCAAAGAAUCAAAAGUUUUUGCAUUUUGUUUUCUUCAAUUAUUUCAUGUUUUUAAUUUUCUUUUUUCUUUUAAUAAACAAAUGCUAAUAAUUUGAGAGCUUGGGUGGUGAUGUGUUUGGCUCAAUGGCCGUUUGUAGUGCAAAUCAAUAAUGUUUUCACAGUCAGCACCAGCAAGCUUCCUACCGAUAGCAGUUAGCACUGACUGAUUAUUUUCAAUACAACUUCCCAAAUCCAGUAGCAAGUACGAAAUUUACAUUUCCAUAAUUUCAUUAGCUCUAUAUAUAAAAAUUCAAAGUAUAAACAAAAGUUAUGGUCUAAUAGAACAAAAAUUCUUCCUCCGUCAAGAGACAUAUAGCCCAGAACAUAAAAAAAGGGGAGUUUGAGAUGGUGAGCACAUCAUUGCUAAGCAUACAACCUGAUUCGGGAAUGCCAGACACUUACGAGGCAGUCACCUUGGCAGGAACUGAGACCAGUGAGCUUCUAGACUCCAACCAUGACUUGGCUGCAGCCUCUGUAGUCAAAAACCAGCCAACCUUGUCUGGGGAAUCAUGAAAAGGGGCAUUUAAUUCCUUCAAAUGUGACUCGAAAACACUAGCUAAUCCUUUGUCUGAGUACUUGUGUUUCCCGUGCCCAGUAUUGAUACCAAGUAAUGGCGGAAACUCUUCUCCAGAUUCCAGCGCUUUCGACAGGUCAUUUAUCCAAAUGUGUAAUGCAGUCAGUGCUGCUCCAAGCGAGAGGCUCUUCAGAUGUAAAGACCACUGAGUUGGAGACCUGGAUUGUAUAUCUGUGUAAACCUCCAGUGUAAGCCCCAGUUCUAAAAGCUUACAUGCAUUUUCCAACAGAUUAAGAUUGACACAGAGAUCAAUUAAGCAAUUGCAGUAAGCCUUUUUGACGUCUUUGCUAAUUGAAUUAAAGAGUUCAGUUGCUUCCUUUUUGAAAUCCCCUUCAAUGUCUUGCUCCUCCAAUAGAAGCUUCACCACAUACCCCAGCUUUGAAUUGGACUUUUCAACACAUUCAACAAGCUUACCAAGCUCCUCCUUCGGGGUUUGAGUCAUCACAUUCAGAAGACAGCCGCAGAACCGAUCGUCAGGAGUUAUGCCCAACUCUGGCAGUCUGUUGAGUGCCCUCACAACAUCAUCAGUGCGCUGGGCCUUUCCAUAGCAUUGGAUAAGUGAUGUCAGAACAAAGAGAUUAGGCUCAAAGCCCGCUUCCAACAUCUCAUUGAACAUGGCCUCUGCCUCAGAGACCUUCCCCCUGCAUGAACAUAUGGUAAUCAUGGAAGAAAAUGUCCAACUGUCAGGCUGGCAAUUUUCAGAACUCUUCAUGUCUUCAAAUAUCUCAAAAGCUUCAUCAGUGUACCCUACGUCAGCACACAUGGCCAAGAGUGUAUUAUAAAGAGUCACACUCAACUGCAUUCCCUUCUCCUUCAUCUCCCUGUAAACAGAAAGAGUGUCCUCCCCAUAUCUGGCCCUCCCAUAAGCCCGCAACAGAGAUGCAUAGGUGUUCCAAUUUGGGGAAAGUCCAUUGUCGGUCAUCUCUUUGUAAAUAGUCUUCACCUGCCAAGGCCUCUUCGCUCUUCCCAUUGUGUCCAACAAAUUGUUAUAUGUAAUCAUAUUCGGCUUAACACCAAUCGCUUUCAUUUCUUCAUAAACAUUCAAGCACCCAUCAAAAUUACCCGCUGUCCCAUAUAGCUUAAUCAAAGUAGAAAAAGCAUUAGGAUCAAUACGCCAUUUCUCAUUCCUUGCCCUAUCAUACAAACCAAAAGCCAUUUCCACAUUACCAGCCCUACCAUAUGCAUCAAUCAUAGACGAAUAAGUAAGUGCAUCAGGAUCACAUCCAAAACUAGGCAUCCUCUCAAACCACUCAACAGCCUUGUUAGGCAAAUUAUUCAUCCUAGCACAACUAAUCAAAGUCGAAAAGGUAACAUUAUCUGGCUUAACACCUCGGUCAAGCAUGUCAUCAAACAACCUCUCGGCUUUAUCCAAAUCUCUACACUUUCUAAACACUUUCAUAGUCACGUUGUAAAGAAUCACUUCUUUACUAGCUUUCAAUUUAUUUGUAAAAUAUGUCAAAGCAAGCGCUGCAGUAUCUGGGUUGGUCAUGUUAUUAAGAAUAAUGACACAAUCUUGCUCUAAGAAAUCAUCACCCAAGCAACGCAAAACACUAAAAACAUCAUCUUCAGUCGCACUACAAGAAUCCAAAUCUGCGGCAAGUUUAACAAGAGAAUUGUACCUCGUAUCAUAAGAUUUUUCCUUCAACUUGGAAGCUCUUGGACUUUUGGGAUUGACCCAGAUGUAACUUUUAGGAGAAGAACCAGUUUUUCCGUGCGGGUAUUGAGGAUUUUGCGAAUGCUUUGUAGGGUUUGAGCUCUGGGUUUCUUGCAACGAAACGCUGCGUUUUUGGAGAGAGGUUUUGGAGUAAAAUGAGAGGGAGUCGUCGCGUUGAAAAGAGAAAGUGAAGGUUCUUCUUCCAAGCUUUGGUGUUGAAAAGAGAGAACACGUUGAGUAGCAGAGAUUGGAAGCCAUUGUUCAACACUCACCUCAGGCUGAGUUAUGUUAUAUUACACGCACGCACCCACGCGAUAAACUGCAGCAGAAGAGUCUCUGCGUCUCUCUCUCUCUCUCUCUCGCGGCACAAACAACGGGACCACCCUUAUCAACAAUGGGAGAGAAAUUGAAGAGUACAGAAAAAAAAGGGGGAAAAUGGUUAUUUGAGCAAACUAUGUAGGUUGGGCUUACAUCAUGAGCCCAAACAGCAAAAUUGGGCUAAGUAGCUUGCGGCUCAAUAGAUUGAGCAAAAGGACUCCAAUCCUCAGUCGAGGUAUUGCGUAUCUAAAAUUUAGAUUCUGAAUUAUAUCUCAAGCCUCAAUUGAGGCCCUAUUUGAUAUUGAGAUACUAUAAUUUUUAAAUUAUAAUAGUUGUAAAAAAAAAAAAUUUUAAAAUAAAAAUAGAUAAUGUAUAAUAAAUAUAACUUUUAAAUAAUAUUUUUAAAAAAAUAAUAAACAUAUUAUAAGUUUUUCAUAAAUCAAUUUAUCUUUCAAGUUACACUAAUUAGUAUUUACCUAAUAUUUUAGUACUGUAACUUAAAGUCUAUAGUUACCCAACCUCAAUGCUAAACAUGUCCUUAGAUAAAAUUUCAAUGGCUUAGUGAAUUUCUUCAUUAAAAAAAAAAUGUUACCAAUGUGUUGGUGAAUAGUGAUGAUGCACAUGGACAUGAGAGAGUAUGAGCCAGGUAAUAGCCUAGGCAUUAUUAACCAAUAAUAACCAACCAGAAGCACUUGCAUGCAUCAACUCUACUGAUAACAGGAAGUGGCUAGCAUUAUUAGAGCACCAUUACAAGACUAUUUAAAUGAAAUUUUACUUAUAAUUUGAAAAACCACAUAAGUAAAAAUUAUUUUAAAAGACUUUUCAAAUAAGAUUACCGUUCUCUUUCUAUAAUAUAAAAAGAAGGACAAUCUUAUUUAGAGAAUCUCAUUUAGAGAAUCUCUUAGAACCUUCAAUUUAAUAUUAUAUUAGUUUUAUUUUCUCAUUCUUGAAUGGAGUGAUGUUUAUAAUUGUUAUUAUUUUAGUCAAGAAAAAAAUUGAUUAAAAUAAUAUGAACUUAAUUUUAUUUAAAAAGUCUUUUGGAAGAUGAUUAACUUUUUUAGGUCACAUUUAGGAUUGAAGUGUUGUAUCUUUUAAAUUACAGCUGGAGUAGAAAAAAAGCUGUAACCAUAAAACAAAAGUUAAUUAUAUGUAGUAAAUAUAAAUUUUAAGUAAUAAUUUUGAUAAAAUUAUUAAAAAUAUAAUAAAUUUUUUAUCAUAUGAGUAAAAAAUUAUAUUAAUAUAACUUUUAAGUUACAGUAAUUAAUAUUUACCAAACACUUUAAUCUUUUAUUUAUGUGAUAAAUAAAUAAAUAUUUGAAUAAUUAAAUUGAAGGAGUCUAUAUCGAUUCCUUUUAAUUUCGCCUUGAUGUCCAUUAAUUUAUAGAUCUACCUCUAAUUCGACUUGUUCCACAAUGGACCGUGUAUGCCAUUAAAUUUUAUUUUCAGCAUUAAAAGUGAGGACCACAAUGAUGUGGAAAUCUUACCCAUCAACCAUAAAUGCAUGCUGUCAUCACUGUUGUAUCAACCAAUUACCCUUAGCCCCCGUGACUUUCAGUUUUUCGUACAUUCACUAAAGUUUGAUUUUUAAUUCUCAUAUCUCCGUCGUCUCUCUCUCUCUCUCUCUCUUUCUUCCCAUUGUUUGGUAUCCAAAGAAGGGAAGGAAAAAUUAAAAGAUUUGUGUAAAAACCCCUUACGAGUUAUAAAUUGAACAUUUCAUAUAUAUAUAUAUAUAGAGAGAGGGGGGGGGGGGGGGGGGGGGGGGGGGGGGGGGGGGGGGGGGGGGGGGGGGGGGGGGGAGAGGGGAACCACAAAUUAGAUGACCAUUACUCGAUCACAAUCAAGAAAACGCAAGAAAAUAUUAGACUAUGAAUAAUAAUAACAAAAAUACAUGACAAGGACGAAUAUAAUAUAAUCCAGUAGUAAUUAAUAUGAUUCAUAUGAUUGCGCAAGCUGAAGGAUUUUCUUCAGAGAGGCAAUCAGAACGGUAUCCGUAAUACUUGCUGCUGCCGCCCCAACUAUCAUAAACUGGCCUUCCAUAAUAACCAUCGUACCAUAUUUUCGGUGGCGGUCCGUAACGGUGACAUGGCCCCCCACCGUGCCCCCCAUAACACUCGGGGCAGCACACCCCAAAUGGGUAAUAAGGGGGUGGGUAACCCGGUGCUGGUGGGUCAACCUUAGGCUGUGGGUCAACCUUAGGCUUAGGUGUAUCUUUAGGUUCUUUCUUUUUCUCUGGCUGAUCUUUUUCUUUUCCUUUCUCAGGCGCAGGCUCCUUAUUUUUAGGUUUCGACUCUUCUGCUUUUUCUUUUUUCUUCUCAGUCUGAGGUGUUUCUUUCUUCUUUUCGGGCUCUUUCUUAUCAGCAGGCUCCUCCUUCUUCUUCUUCUGAUCAUCAGGUGAUUUGAUUUCAAUGCUCUUGAUUACGCCAUCACCCUUGCAGCAUAUCUUGUCCCUCAUCUUUUCGGGACAGCAGCAAACGACUUUGAUUGUCACUUUGUUUUGCUUCUCAUCGUAUAUCUGGUCUUGUAUUUCUCUUGUUCACAAAAUUCAACACAACAUACAUACAUACAUACGACCCUUAGCCCACUGAUCAUCAAUAACAUUGAUUUUUCAUUUCACAAAAUAUAUAUGUGUAGACAUAGCAGAGAAAUUCAAUUAAAUUACUUACGUGGGAAUUUGGAAAGUACUUUCUUGACUUUCUUAUAGCACUUUGAGCACUGAAGGUCAACCUUCAGCACCAUUGUUGUAACCUGCAGCUGCCACAAAGUAAACAGCAUGUGUGAUACACACACACACACACACACACACACACAAUCAUUAACAUUUUGUAUUUAUGUGAUUCAUCACAGGAAACUAAAGUGAUCGUCGUAGCUAGAGAAAUGAAAUUGAACAAAAUGGGGAUUGGGGAAUGAAGAGAGAGCAGAUCUAGCAAAGUAAAAGAUGAGUAAAAAGAUUUGCAAACCUUGUCAGGCAUGGUCUUGUGAUCCGAUCUGAAUACUCGGCUACUGAUGAUUAAUCGUUUGACGUUAUAUUACUGAAUGAAAUGGCCGAAAACUAUAUACAUCUUAAGAAGACGUCACGCUCACAUUCGCAUACACGCACAGUAUUAGUUGUCAAAGCAAACAAAUUUGGGGUCGUCAGACACGUAGGUAGAAUAUUAGGUAAACAUAUGUUCAUAUUUCUCUGGAUACAAGUUCAUUUUGUCCACUGGAACAUGCAUCAUAUCGCAGAUUUCUUCUGAUUACAGCUGUUAAAAUUUAGAACACUACUACUCCUUUAAUAUAUUAUCGUUUAAUGUCAGUUUUCUUUUCUUUUCUUUCUUUCUUUUUUUUCCCCCUUUUUGUACAUUAAAUUUUAUUUUUAAUCAAUCUCUCAUUAGUGAGUCAAUCACAGUUCAGUCGUCGUCCUCCUCCGAAUAUUCUAAUUAACUAUAUAAUUUCCAACCUUUAAUAAUGCCGCACUUAUAAAUUCUUCAGAAAGAGUUCAUUUUACUCACAACCUUUCAGAUUUUAACAAGCUUUUACGAAUUUUUUUUUCCUAUCUUUAAAUUUAGUUUUUUUGAAAAAAAGAAAGAAGUCGACAUCAUUAUCGUUAUAACCUAAAUAUUUAAUAAAUAAUGCCACAAAUUAAUAAAAAGUUAAGGAUCGAUUGAAACCUUCUCGAAGAGCUCCAGAUAAAUAAUGCCACAGAUAGAGACUUCUUUAAAUUUGUUGAACAAGUCAUAAUGAUAAGCAAGUUAUCACAUUUGUAGAGUUGAUUAUUUAAUUUUGUCUACUUAACCAUCUGUCUUGAUCUCCAUCUAUCUUCUUUUUUUUUUUUUUUCUUUUCCCUGAUUGGCUAUCUAUGUUAAAUAUUCAAAUAAUCCAAAUUAUAAUUUAUCUUCACCAUUAGUAUCCUGCCUUCUUGUGAUCGAGCAUCAGAUGUGUGGAAAUCUUACCCAAUCAUUAGUAUAAGAUAGUUUUCUCAUACACUACUUUUAAUUAGUUUUAUGUGGAGGAUGUGCACGAUGAUCAAAGAAUAACACAAUGCGUGCAUUAAGUACGUAUUUUCGCCCUCAUGUAGACUGGAUGAAUGUCAAUGCGGAUGGUCUUUUUUAAGGAAAAUUAAUCCUGGUCCCUCGGUGUUCAGGACUAUUUUUCGCUGCUAUGAAGGCUCCUAACUUGGAAAUUUUGACCAUUUUUAGGGGCAGGGCAACAAAUAGCCUUCUAUGCAUAAUUUUGGCAGUUGAUCACGCUGUCAGAAGGGUUUGAAGAAUUUGUGGUUGGAAUUAAUACGAACUCAAUGUAGGUUAUUUUACUUUUUUUGAACCCUUUUUUAGAAUAGGGAUCGCAAAAUCCGAGUUCAGGUUCGGGUCUAGGUUCGACUUUUCCGAUUCUAGACCCAAAUGGAAAUUCUAUACCGGAUCCGAAUGUAACCUUUGAUCAGCCGCCCAUGGCUGCACGGGCAGCCAGUUGUGUUCUACCACCGCUGGAGUCUCCUCUCCUCGCUGGCGUCUUUCUCCAGUCACGGCAGCCCCUGAAUCAGCCACAUUCACCUCCAUAAAUUGAUAGGUUAAGCAAUAUGAAGAUUUGUUUUAUUUAGUGGAGGAACAACAAGGUAAGCCAUUGAUAGGUUAAGCAAUAUGGAGAGUUGGAUAAGCUCAUCUAGAGAGUUCAGAGGAGCUCGGGAUAACUCAAGUGAGUUAAGUGGAGCUCAAAAGAGAUCACAAGGAAAAUUAAAGGUACUUCAUGUGGCUUACAUUUGAAAUAUGAUUUGAACUUCAAAUUGUAGAUAUAGUAAAACAAACACAAAUUUAAAGAGCACACAUACACUAUACACUACAAGAAAAAUGACCUACUAUGACAGGUAAAACUGUCAUAGUAGGAGGUGGAUGACAGUUGUUCAUACCGUCAUUGUAGCCAGCGUCAAGAAUUGAUGACAGAACAAUACUCGUCAUAACUUGUGAUGGAUAUAACCAAUCACACAACUAUCAUAAGUUUAUUUAGAGGGAAAUAUAAUAAUUUUGAAUUUGACCCUUUUUUGUUUUUUAUUUCGCAUGCUAUAUUUUGAAUUUUUAGCAAGAAAUCUUAAAUUUGGCGCAAAAAUGAAAAUUAUAACUAAUUGACUUUUUUUUUACAAUUAAUUCUGAAAUUAAAUUUAUAAUGAAUAAAAAUGAAUAUUUUGUUACUACCAUGAAAUGCUUAUCAUUUUAAUAAAAAUCUUGCAAUUGAUUUAGAAAUUAAAAUUUCAUAAUUUAGUUAAUUAAUUAGAUUGUUAAAAUGAAUAUUGCAAUUAAAAAUUCACUAACAAAGAAAAUGAAAUGCAUAACACUGAAUAAUUAUCGAUAAUUGUCAACAAACAUAAUUUAACCAAAUACAAGUGGCAAGUCCAACAUAAAUAGAAGAGUAUUGUAACAACAUAAAAACCAAAUUUCAGCAACAUGUAGAAGACUAGCAGUUUUGAGACUAAUGAACCAUGAUCAGUUCGUUUCCAGCAACACAACAAAGCCAACAACACUGAUCAGAUCGAAAAAAAAAAUUCAUUCUAGCAGUUUUAGUGAAGCAUACAGCAAAUACCAAUCUAAGAAGACGCUAAAAACGUGCAAAGAUGCACCAAUACUCAUGACCUAUUCUUGCAUCAAAGAAAAAAGAUGGCCAACUCCAGCAAUACCCACCAUCUUCAUCAAAUUCCAACAUAGCAAGUGUAACAAGCUAGGUAACUGCACAAGUAAAUAUAACAUCAUCAAAACAUGGUGGGGAAAAUGAUCUUAAAACAUCUCCCUUGCAAUUACCACAGACUUUUUUGAAAGCUCACUGAUGUGAUGCGAUGGAGCUUCUUUUAUGAUAUGCACAGCUUUUUGGUUUGGCUUUGAGCACAAUCAAAAUCCAAAGAUAUCAGUGAAGCAAGCAAACAUGCAGCUAGCCGCUCUAAUUGCAUGCACGUGUGCUAUACUAACUAUUGAAUCCAAGUAAUACAUAGUAGAGGUUGUCAUAUCAAUUAUAAGAAUUCCAUAAGGUCUAAACAAAAGUGUAAGUAUAUAAGGCUGCAUUAAGAAGAAUUGAGUGAAGCACUUAGCAUUCAGCAACAUUCAGCAAUAGAAAAUGUAUUGCAAAUGUAGUCCUUUUCUAGCAGCAAAAUCCAGCAGCCCCUAAGCCAAGUAAAAUGUACCCCAUUUCAUCAAUCGAAAUAUAUCCAGAAAAAUAAGUAUUUACACAUGAAAUUAAUUGAAUAUGAAAAUAUUCAAUGAAGAAUAAGGCCAGACCCUUUUUUUCGCUUCUCUAAAGUAAGGAAUUAAAAAGGAUUGAAGAAAUUUAUGCAACAAAAUAAAUAAAAAUAUAAAUUAUAUAGUACUAUUAGUUGUGUAUAACACCUACCACAUAGACAAAGCAUCCACAAUAAUCUUUGCGCUCUGCAGUUUCCUGUCAAUAAGUAAUGAUAUAUAAAUAAAAUUAAAAUCAAUAGCUAUAGUUGUAAUUCUUAGGCCAAAUCAAAUUUAUAUGUACUUAAGUUCAUGAUUCUUUAAGUUUUGUUCUCUUUAGCAUGCCUUCCUACUGGUAAUCAUCCCAUGCCUUAAUUAAAGUUUAAUACUGUUUUGAAUUAGAAUAUACCAAGAAUUUGAGUGAAUGCUAGAAUUAUAACUCUUUAAGAUUAAUGCAUUGCAUGCUCAGCCUCAGCAAACUUAUCAAUCAAUGUUUGCAUACCCGAAAAAGAGACUAAAAAGAAAAACAGGAAUUAAAUAACAACUAAUAUAACCAAUUCCUUACUUGAAAAGCUUGAUAUCACAUUUCAGAAUAAAAAUAAACAUAACAAAGUUUCCUUACCCAAAUUUACAUGAACAUCAUCAUCAAAUUUGAUGCCACGGGAUAGGGACUCCCCCACUUCCCUCGAGCCCCCUCACCUACAAAAUUCUGCACCCCCCUUGGAAAAAUCUGUAGCAAAAAUAAGUUUUUGUCUUGGCUGACAAUUCCAAGUAGCCCUUUAUAUGUUCUGGUAUGUAUAGUCCCAACAAACAAAUGAGAAGAUUUAUCAGAAUUUUUGAAAUAUAUUUUAAGACUAACAGGAUUGUGAAUAAACACCAACAAGAGCAUCAAAGGAACAAGAAAGAAACAUCACCAGCCUUAAGAAGUCUCCAUGCAUCUUCUCCUCUGCUUCAAUAGCUUUAUUAAGAAUUCCACCUGAUGUUGCACUAGUGAAAAAAUUAUAUUGAAUGAAUAAAUAAUAGGAAACUUCAAAGUCUGCAGUUAACUAAAUUACUAAUGACGAUUAAGAGAUUCACUCCACAAAUUAUUCAAGAAACUUUUGCAGAUAAUAUUAAUUAGAUUUUGAAGCAAUUUUUCAAUAUUCUUUUCAUUCCCAUUGAAGGAUCAAGCAUUACGAGCCAAAAUGCAAACACAGGGCAUUACUUGAGUAGCAACUUAAUCAAUUGUCACAAGUUGUACAAGACUUUUCAAUCCAAAAGAAGGCUGAAUUGUAGAAUAAAAUGUAAUCCUAUCAUUAAAAGCCCAAACGAACAUUAUUAACUAGAUUUUUAAAUUUCUUGAAUCCUAAAACGGAGAGUUCAUUCGUAUAAAGCUAUCAAUUCCGGCCUCACUGUUCUACUCAUCCCUGUCUCGCUCAAUUUAGCCGAUUAAUGAAGUAGCUCAAGAAAUGUUUCUAAAAUUUAAUAAAUGAGAAAAUUCUAUAAUGAAUUAUUGUAAUACUAAAACACAACAUUACCCAGAAAUGUAAUAGAACCUUUAACAAACACAUGGAAUGCAAAACUCAUAUGUAAAAAAUAUAUCAUUAAUGCAAGAGUCGGAACAACAUCCUAUACUAUAUAUAAAUUUAUAAUCACAAAUCGAGUAAGAGAAACAAUCAAACAAAACAAUAAUGCAAAAAAAAAAAAAAAAAUUUGAAACCCACAAAAAAAAAAUCAUACUUAGGGUUUAAAAGAGAUGAGAACUUUGAAGCUUGUGUCGAAGAUAGUUGAGAUAACGGCGAAGCUCACCAUCACUUGCUAGAAAUCGCUGAGAAAUAGGUAAAGCUUGCUUGCGAAUGAGUGUGGCUUUCAGGGAUUCUUGAUGGCUAGGGUUUCGGCUGUCGUCGACAGGUAAGGUUUUGGUUUCGAUUUACGACUGAAUUUGAUUCCGCUUUGGCAAAGAAAGACUGCGGCGGGUCAGCGGCGAGCCAACGACAGUGAGGGUUGUCAUUGUCAGUGAGGAGCGAGCUACAUUCGAGAGAGAAGUUUUAGAGUAAUGAGUGAGUGUGGCCUUAACACUUGGGAAAAAAAGAGGUUGAAAUACUAAUAAAGGUGUGAAACAACGUCGUUUCACUUCUUUCUUUGUUUUGAUGUUGUUUUAUUUUUAUUUUUUAUUAUUUAGAAUUUUUAAAAUUUCGGUCAAAUCAAAAGUCAAAAUAAAAUUCUAUCAUAAUUUCUUGAUAGAGAAAAUAUAAAUCAUUAGUUGGUCAUAAGUAUUUGACAACAGUAAAUUCUAUCAUAUAUUUAUCAUUAAUUUUUGAUAGAAAAUUUUUUUGUCACAUGUAUGUCGUACUUAUAAGAUAUAAAACCUUUUAGUCAAAAACUAUCACAUGAGUAACUGUCAUUAUAGGUCAUUUUUCUUGUAGUGAUAUGGUUCAUCUUUUGGCUUACAUUCACGUGAGAUUAGCAUAUAUACAUAACAUGAGUUGGAUGUUUGAAUGGAGAUGUGGGCGUUGUUAAAGAUAGAGAUAGUGAAUAAAGAUGUAGAGCUAGAGUGAUAACAAUACAGUGGAACAUAUGAUAAAAAUGAAGAAUAGAAAAUGGUAGAAAUAGCCUCCAAAAAAACAAAAAAAAAGUGGAUGAUGAUCCAGGAAGGAGGUAAAGGAGCCCCAAACAUAAAGGUCACUCUCCAUUUUGAAAAAUAUGGCAUUUAUAUGGCAGAGGCUAGUGGUAAAGAGAGUGGAUAAAUUUUUAAAGUUAAAUGUCAUGCUUAGGUUAAAAAAAAAGGGAGAAUAUCUUUAAGUUAUAUGUCGCAUUUAAGAAAAGGUAGAAAUUUUUUCUUUUUGUACUAUUCUUUCUAAAAAUAUGUUUUAAACGUCCUAUCUCAAUGAUAAAUUUUAGAGUGAUGAUACAACCAUAAAUUCUUAUACAAACUUAUCUUUUACAAACUAAUUUGACAUUAAUUUAUUGGUUGAAUAAAAAUACAAAAUAAUAAAAAUAGAUCAUGUGGGGCAAGAGAUAUUUAAUUCAACCAAUUUUAUCAUACCAUAUCAGUUUGUACAAAAUAAAUUUGUGCAAAAAUUUGUGCCUAUAUUAUUACUCUACAUUUUAAAGCUCAUCUAAUGGAAUAAAUUCUUUCUUGUGACAUCCUUAUAUUGCUCCAAAUAUUGUGUCUAAAUAAUAUAAUCAUCUAUAUGUCCUUUAUUUAUAGGUCCAAAAAUCAUCCCAAACACAAAUAAUGAUAUUCAUCACUUAGCAAUUGGAAUGAAAUGUUGAGAUAAUUUAGCUGCAUUUAGUAGGGUCCGACUAUGGUGCAACUGUGGUACUGUGCCACAGCUGCAUCCAACCGUUGGAUCUACUUGAAUGGGUACAGUCCAUUAGGAUCCAACUGCUGAAUACAAAUGUGGUACGGUACCACAGUUGCACCACAUAUUUUCCUCAUUUAGUAUUGUUGUUUGGAUUUACUAAUAUAUUUUCCCGCCAUAUCCCAUCCCACAAAAUAGGAAAGAAAGAAAUUAAUGAAUCUAAUUCAUUUGGGCUAGAUUCCCAGAGGCCCGAUCCAGUUAAACACGUCACGAAUUUUUUUAUUAAAAGGGGCCUCGUUGCCAUUAAACCACAUCGCCAAUGAUUUUAUUGUAUUCGAAAGUUAGCAAAUAUAUAUAUAUAUAUAUAGUAGCAAUUAAACCAUAAAAUGAGUAAAACCUCCUCAAUGGAUUGCUCAAAUAUUAAAAUCACCAAAAGGGGGUUCAUUAAAAUAAUUGAACAAUUUUCUACUUAAAUUAGCACAUGGAUUUGAACUGGAAAUGCAUGCAUGACCAUGUGUGUGUACUGAAUUCAAUUGGAUUUAGAUGGGGUACCGACCAACAAAGCAGCAGCUUAAUAAUUAAUAAUAAAGGAAUUUAGAAUUUGUAUAUACGCAUGAUUCCUUUCCAUCCAGGCAUGCAUCUGCCUUCAUCUCCACCUUCAUUUUCCUUUUAAUAUAUAGUUUACUUAGUCAAAUACAUUAACUAUAACAAAAGUAGCAACUAGCAUAAAUAAGAUGUAUAUACAUAUAGAGAGGGUCCAGGUCCAUGCAUGCCAAUAACAAGUGAAAAUUUAACACUUACAGUCAGUUUGGUAAUAUUAUAGUUUUUAAAAUCAUCGUUGUUAACUAUGAUGUAGUAAUAAACAAUUGUGAAGAGAGUCUGUCUGUUAAAUAUUUGGUAAAUUUAUUUAAAAAAAUGUCGUGUGUUUUAAAAACAGUCAUAAGUGUUUGGUAAAUUUAUUGUUAAACUGUUGUAAGAAUACAAAUAAUUGAAAUGGAUGUAAUGAUAAAUAAAAUUUGCUUACACAUUUAUAAAUAUAUAAAUAAAUUAUUUUUUAUCAUCUAUAUACUUUAAUUUAAUUAAAAUGAAUAUUUUAAUAUUAUUAAUUUUAAUUUUAUUUGUUAUUUAAAUAUAAUUGGUAAUAAUAAUGAUAUCUUUAAAUGUAGCGAUUUUAUUUCCCAAUUGAUAAGGAUAAUUUUAGAUUUUUAUAAAAUAUGUGAGGACAUAUAUGUAAUUGUAUUAAGUAUAAAACCGAUUCUCAAAAUUAAAUUUUUGAAAAGUUACACCUUCCCUACUUUUCAAAAUAUCUUUUAAGAUGGGGUAAUCUUACAAAAAAUAAAUUAAAAAAAUUACUAGAUAAUAAAAUUAAUUAUUAAUUUUUUAAAAUUAUUUUUGAACCUCUAAAAUGCAAUCUCAAAAGGGGCCCUAAUAUCAAUCAGAGGAGGAGGAUAUUGUCUACUGAUUUUAGUGGCUGUGUGGUGUCUUAAUUUCUCCAUCCAUUUUAAUUAAUUUUCAGAUAAAUAACGACUGUAGCCUCUCUAUCUAUGGCAUAUUUUGAAGCUCGACCAGUACCAAUCAAGCCUAAUCCGUCACCAAACAAGCUAGGACCAAACUACAAUACCCCACGUUGCGUUUCUUCUACUUGUGUAAUGUUUCCUUUUCUUGUCAUAGAAGCGUGCUCGAAAUGAUCUCCUUUUGUUUCCUUCAAUUUACUUACUUGUAUUUUUCUUUUUGAAAAGAAACUCAAAGAUAGAAAUUACGAUUUUAAAAUGCAUCACUUAACAAUUAACAAUUUCAAAUUCCCAAUUUGUUCCAUUCAAAUCCUUCAUUGAAUUCUAAGUUAGUUAAAAAUAUUUACACAAUCAUAAAAGGACAGUUACAUCCUUAUAUAUCUUUAUUAAUUGUUUUUUUUUUCAUGUAAAAAAUCUACUGAUUUACUUACGAUAGAUUUAUGACCAUAAAACUUGGAGGUUUCGCAUUGUUUAUCGCAUUUGCUCUUCCGUAAACUCGUUGUCCCCGCUCUCAGUAACAUUCUCAUUAAUCAUUUGCAAUAACCUUGACUAGCUUAAAUCAUUGACUCUUAUCUUAAAAGAUAAAUUUAAAAAGACAGCUCAAUUAAAUUUGAGUGAAUUGAAUGCCUUUGUCAUUGGCGUUUCUAGACGGUGAAAUUGAGUCAAGGACUUGAGAGAAGUAAAAAAAAAAAGAGGCAUUUUAAAAAUCUAUGGUCUCCAAAAUUUCAUUCGAAAACGAAAAGCACUACUCACCUUUUAUAAAGCAUUAAAUAAAACUAGAAGACUGCGACUCUAGCGGACUACAUAUAUCUUUAACAGGAGGACAUCACUAAAAUAAUAAGAAAGGGCAUACGUAUGUGCACGAUCAGAAAGUGAAGGACAAGGUUAGGAAUCGGAAAUGCAUAAUUAAUUGAAAAGGCAAUCAAUAUUAAUGGAAACCUCUUAUUAAAUUAAUUGUAGCAUCAACAAAUUGAUCAACGGAUCCACCAAUCUUGCUUUUAUUUAGCUAUUAUUUUCCUUCCUAUAAAGUCUAUAUCAUUAUUGUUAUUUAUUAUCAUCAUAAAAAAAAAGUAAAUGAUUAAAUCAACAACAUACAAGAGGCAACUAGAAGAAAAGGACAUGAUCACCGACAAUCACCAUUCACGAUCAUUGGUGGGUGGCGGUAGGCAGUAGCAUGGAUUGGAUUUGUAUAUGUAAUAUGAAUUUACAUGAUGGUGCAAGGCGCUGUUGGAUUUUCUUCACAGAUGUAAUCUGAGCAACGACUUCUGUAAUAACCUCUAGUAUCGCAGCCGCCAGCCCAACCCUCAUACACUGGCCUUCCACAGUACCCAUCAUAAUGCCUCGUUUGCCCAUAGCCAAGAUCGUAACAUGGUCCCCCACCGCGCCCCUCAUAACAUUCCCUGCAGCACACCCCGACCGGCGGGUGACACGGAACUGGAGCCGGUGCUGGUGCAGGUGCCGGUGCCGGUGCCGGUGCCGGUGGUGGUGGUGAUGGUUUUGGUGGCUCUUUAGGCUUUUCUGGCUCUUUGGGUUUCGCAGGCUCUUUAGGUUUCUCGGGCUCUUUAGGUUUCUCGGGCUCUUUGGGUUUCUCCGGCUCUUUGGGUUUCUCAGGUUGUUUUGGCUUCUCGGGUUCUUUGGGUUUUUCAGGUUGUUUUGGCUUCUCGGGUUCUUUGGGUUUCUCAGGUGCUUUUGGCUUCUCGGGUUCUUUGGGUUUUGGUGGUGGUGGUUUAGGCUUUUCAGGUUCCAGGAUUGCAAUACUCUUGAUUGAACCUUCACCUUUGCAGCAUAGUUUGUCCCUAAUCUUUUCAGGACUGCAGCACACUACUUUUAUUCUCACCGUAUUCGUCUUCUCAUCGAAUAUCUGGUCUUGUAUUUCUCUUGUUCAUAAAGUUUUCAACAUAUAUAUAUAUAUCUUAGCUCACUGAUCCAUAAUAAACCACUUUUAUUGACAAAUACAAAAAACACAAUCCCACGACUAAUUAAUUAUUAAAGUGAUCGGAGAUAGAGACACUUACGAGGGAAUUUGCAAAGUACUUUCUUGACUUUCUUGUAGCACUUUGAGCACUGAAGGUCAACCUUCAGCACCAUCGUCGUAACCUUCUGUAAACAUUACAGAGAUAGUUGAUUAAUGAAUGAUUUGUAGCCAUCACUGAUAUUUAGUAAUUACAGGCCAGGGAGUGGGAAAUAUUUUAAUGGUUAAUUUCUGAAAUUAAAGAAUUAAUCAACAACAGAAGCAACUCUCUCUUUCUCUCUCUCUCUCUCUCUCUCUCAAUCAUCAUGAGAUGCACAUAAAAAAUUUAACCAAAAGGGCAAUUUACAAACCUUCUCCCCCAUAUACAGCUGCGAUGCGAGUGCUGCUGCGAUCCGAGGCUCAGAAAAUGAGAUACUGAUUAUAUUAUUUGGAGAAUGUGGGAGCUAUGUAUGAAAAGGGUGUUUAUAAAUGAAGCCAAUUUGAAGCUUAUAUAUAUAUAUAUAUAUAUAUAUAUAUAUAUGAUAUGUAUCAAGGAGGAAAACGUAAGAGUUUGAAUUCCCGUACGCUUACAACCAAUCAUCUGGCGACAAGUCGUAUCGGACGUUGAAUUGCAUGUUAUCAUCAAGAUUGUCGUUAUGUAGAAAGUGUUGCUUCUCAUUUAUGAUUGCUGACUCUCCAAUCUUCCAUUGCAUUUGCACGUGCUGGCUGGCGUUUAGCCCAUCACCACCCCUCCCUCCCCUUUCUUUUUAAUCACUCAAGAGUCACAGAGAUCAUUAGUUUUAAUAAUGCUUCACUUGAAUCCUCCCUUACAAACUCCUAAUCACAUUCUAUUUCAUUCAAUUUAUUUUAUAACUUUUUUUAUUUUAUAAAAGUUAACAACAUCACAAGAGCAGUUUUAGAGUCCUACAAAUUGUUAUUGUUGUCUUUCAAUAAUGCAUAACACAUUUCAAGGUGAGUGUUAACAUGGUUAAUUAGCAGAUAUUUUAUGCCCUAAAUCUUUAUUGAGCUACUUUCUAAAAGCAAAAGUGAUAAGCACCCUCUCCAUGCAAGUGCAGCACAUCGUUCCUUGAUCUACAAUCAUGGGCCACGCACCCCUCACAUGGCGACCGUACGCGUGUCCCAAGGCGUAGUGCGCCACGGAUCAAGUAUUCAUUCAUCCACAACAACUUUCGCGUCUCAAUGUCAAAAAAGAGAACUACACGGUGUGGUACGUGUCGGUUUGAGAUGCCUGACAAUCACAAUAACAUUAGUCGUUUGAUGAAAUGAUUUCAUCGAGCUACCGUUGAUUGCAAUUUCCAUAAACAAAGGGCCCCACGAUCAGCGUAAGCUUUUGAAAGUUUAAGCAAUCCCCGUAAGUAUAGCUCCAAAGCUAAGCAAGCAACUUAUAUAGGGUUGUGGGGGCUAGCUAGCAGCUAACAUAUAUUUAAUGCCUAGAUUGGCCACAAGGUCUAAAUUGAAUUAAAAAGAUAAUGUUAUUAAUUUGCGCUAACAACUGAUUCUAAAUUUUAAUUUGUGUAAUAAUGGCAAGUGGCAGCAAGAGACAUACAAUGGAUUUAGGUAAGAGUUUGGAGUUUGGAGUUUGGAAGUGUCGGCAAUUGGUGGUUGCGACUUGCGAGAGAUUAAAUUUAAAUUUCCAAAAAGCAAGUUUGCUUAAUGGUUAGGUUACGUAGAUUUUGGGGAUUUUCUUUUUGUUUUUGUCCUUUUCCGGACAAAAUAUGGAAUCUAACACACAGACACAUAAACCUGUCAUUUCAAUCUUCUUUAAACGAAUUCGUUUUUUCAAAAGUGUGUGAAAUUUGUAUAUGAUAACAACAAUAGAUUAAAUUAAAAUUGAUAAAAAUAAUUUGUUAUCAGUUGAAAACUAUUUUAUGCUCAAUAGAUCACUUUAUUUAAUCUGACUAUGCCAAUAAUUAAGAAAAAAAAAUUAGAGUAAAUUUACCCUAUAUUUCAAAAAGUGAUUAUAUGUUUUCUUUUUCCCCAAUUGGUGUAGGCUGUAAUGCGUACAGAUUUGUUUUUAUAGUGUAAAAGUUUUUUUUUCCUACUAGAAAAAAAUAAUAUAAAUUCAAAUAAGACAAAAUUUACAAGACAUCAGCAAACAAUUAGACCCACUUGUUCAUUAAGAAUUUGUUAAUAAUAAAUUAAUAAUUGUAAAGCUACAAGUUAUUAUCAAACUAAAUGUUUGUGGGAUCAUAUGACUUAAAUGACAUUUGUCUCCAAAGUUUAAAAAUCAUGAGAGAAUGUGUACUAGCUUUAGAGAGACUUGAAACCAUUGUGUGGAUGGGUUCAUUCCCUCCUCAUUUGCUGUAUUUAUUUUCUUCUAUGAAAUGAAGGCAUUUUCUUUUCAAAAAAAAAAAAAAAAAUCGUGAGAGAAUGUCCAGGGGUAAAUGAAGAUUUUAUACGUAAAACUCAUAAUAUUAUCAUACUUUAUUUAGAAAUUCAGUAAUUCUACAGAAGUCUACAGGUUCCAUAGCACCUAUAGACUUACUUUAAUAUAAUAAAGGAUUUCUUACUUUAAUAUAAUAAGGGACAAGUUAAAAUAUAGAAAAACACAAAUUUUAAUAUAUUAUGAGAUAUAAUAUAAAUAGCAUUUACUUCUCGGAUUGGAUUAGGAAUCUUAGGAUUAUGAAUGUGGAGCAAGCGUGAGAGUAAAUUGUUUACUUAAUAAGAGUGUGGAAUAGGAAUCAGAAUCUCAUUUAUGUGUUUAUAUUGUCUUGAAUUGAAAGUAAAUUACUUCAAAUUACAGUUUUAUCCUUAUUUAAAGAAUUGUAGUUUUUAAUUACAAAGUGAAUAAAAAAUAUAUUUAAAAAUAAACUAUUUAUUUUAUUAUUAAGUUUAAUUAUAUAAAUAAAUAAAUAUUAUUAACAUUCUUAAUUAUAUAAAUCAUAAUUUUUUUAUUAAUUUUAAUUUUAGUUAUGUAAAUUAAAAAUUAUUGAUAAGAGCAACACAAAUGAAACAUUAUUAUUAAUAAUAUAAUAUAAUAUUAAUAUUUUGUUGGAAUAAACUAUCUAUUGCUAUUGCUAUUAACUAUUAAUACUAAAUAAAUAUAAUACUAUUAAAAUUAAAUAGAUAUAAUAAUAUUAUAUUUUCAAAUAAAGAUAGUAUGUAGUGAUAUUAUCAAUUCUCUACAAAUAUGAUAAUAUUAUCCUUAAAUAAUUUUAACUUAGAUUACAUAAAUUAUUAUUUUUAAUAUAUGUAAUAUUAUUAAAUAAUAUAAUAAUGUUAAUUCAAUAUAUAUAUAUAUAUAUAUAUAUAUAUAUAUAUAUAUAUAUAUUUUAAAUGUAACAUUAAAUUAUUUUAAUAAAGAUAAAUCAUAUCAUAUUUAAUGAAUGAAGGGUAAAAAAAGGAAGACCCCAUGGGUGAGACUCUCACUUCACACUUUCAAAUCCCAUUCUAGUAAGUAAAUAGGGAGAUUGUCAAUUUCCCCCCUACAGUAAUCAACAUAUACCAUUUUCCCCCCUGCUGUUUUUAUAAUGGCCAAAAACCCACAUGACAGCAUAAGUUUACAAUAUUACCCUUAUUUGUAACUACUCUUUUAUUUAUAUUUAUUAUAAAUUAAAUAAAUCAUAUGAAUAGAAAUUAAAUAAAAAAUUAAGUAUUAAAAACAAGAAAUAUAUGUUUUGAUAUGAGCAAAAAAAUUAAUAAUAAUAAUUUUUCUUAUACUUUAUUUAUUUUGUGAAAAUUUUCUUAUAAUAAAUAUAUAAGAAAAUUAUUAUAAAAUGAUAAAAAAAUUAUUAUAAGAAAACUUGAAUGACAAAUAAAAAUUUAUUAUAAGAUAAAUAAUAAAAUAUUUUGCCUAUAUUUUUUACAUUUAAUUUUAAAAUAUUACAAAAUUUUAUUAUAAGAAAAUGUUCACAAAAUAAAUAAUUACAAAAAAAAAUUAUUAUUAAUUUUUUUUCUCAUAUUAAAACAUAUAUUUCUUAUUUUUAAUACUUAUUUUUUUAUUUUAUUUCUAUUCAUGUAAUUUAUUUAAUUUAUAAUAAAUAUAAAUAAAAGAGUUGUUGAAAAUAAGGGUAAUAUUGUAAACUUAUGCUGUCAAUGAGAUUUUUGACCAUUAUAAAAACAAUAUGAGGGAAAAUGGUAUAUGUUGAUUACUAUAAGGUAGAAAUUGGCAAUCCCCCUAAGUAAAUACUACAAUAAUGCAUUGGAGUAUAUAUUUUUGUUUUCUUUUGCUUAUUCCCAUAUUGGAAAAAUACGUAUAAAAGAUCAUAAUAUUAAUCUCAUAAUUAGGACGGGAGCCCUUUGAGAAUUUUAAAGGAACUGCUGCUAUUUACGAGGUGGGCUAGAGAGCCCGACGGCGUGUUCAAAGAAUAUCAUUAUUUAGGCCGAGCCCAAAUUUUGUUUCUGGGCCUCACAUGCUAUGAGCUGAUAGUAAUUAAUGGUCUGAGCUUCAGAGUCAGCAAGUUAAAUUAAAUGCCCUCACUCACCAACCCGAGCCGCAAACGCAAACAUUGCAGAGCUGCAGGCUGCAGCGUCGCUCUUGACCAGUGUUGAAGGAAAACCGGUACACAAAGGUAGACUGGUCUACGAUCGCAUCAUUGGUAUUCCACCGUCAAACAGUUCUAAUAUAACCGGACCCAUUAAUUAAUUAUAGUGUACUGUCCUCAUUUCGAGUGCAAUUUCAAAUCAGUUUUCAAUAAUUAAUUAAUACCGACAUGGGCAGCAAUCAUAUUCUUACAGAAUCGAUCUUAUGCUUUUGCUGAACUUCCACGGAUUUUAUUUGCUUUCGGCUUUCAGGAAUCAGGGUUCUGGUUGUCAUCAUCAUCAUUACAUAUCAGAAUCAACUUUUGAUCCUGGGAAAAGUCAUGCAGCUUCUGUUUCCUUUUCGUCCUUUUUUCAUGUUCCAUUCCAUUGCGUAGAUAUGAAUUAUGGCAAAUGUUAUGUUACAUGAAAUGUAACAUAUACAUUUUAUAAUAAUCACAUAAAUUGUGUGGACUUAUUAUUUAUGUAGUUAUCGUGGAAUGUGUAUGUUAUAUUUAAUGUAACAUAAGGACUCACUUAAAUUAAAUAUAUAAUUAAAUCAACGGUCCAAAUUCAAAAUUACCAUUCCCCAAGAAAGAAUGCAUGAUUUUAUAUAUACAUAUACAUAUAUACACACCUAUUACAUUUUCUAUCUGGUUUUAACAAAAGAUGCUCAUUACCAUAUUAAUUAAUUUUCAUGCAUGCAUGAUUAAUUUGUAAAAUUCUUUCAUAUUGAUUUGAGCCUUCACUUUGGGUGAAGGGUAGGGUUGAGGCUCAAGUUGUUUACAUAAGGACAACAAAUGAAUAACCUUUUCUUCUUUAUCUUUCCCACCCUUUUUCUUUCACAUGUGUCACUCCAAUAUAAUGAAGUGAUGAUAAAGUGUAUGAUCACCACGCAUGUCACUCAGUGAAUGGUUAAAAAUGGAAAAUGGGAUCCCAUCUGAUGCAAUGCGAUACGAUGCCUGCUCCAGUACUUUUUCAAGAUACUUGAUAGCCAUCCCAGGCUGACUCUGUGACCAUAAAGUGUACAUCUUGAUUGUGUUAUCGAGCAAGCAUAGUAUCAUUCCGGCUUGGAAUCCAAAAUCGGCGGGCUCCAUUCCAAAGAAUUAUUCACAAAGUGACAGCCACGUUUCCAUCCAUCCAUCCACAAACGCUUGUCUUUUUUGUUCUUUCAUAAUUAAGCCACAGCCAUUACUCAUUAGAUUUCAGCCCUUUUUUUUGUAUGAUAAUCUUAUUUACGAAGAUUUGUCAAAAGAUAAUUAUCAUUUGUCACUGACAACCCAUCCACAGCAAUGUAACUAAUGUCAAUAUCAAUAAAGAGGGAAGCCAAAAAGACAUAAAUAUAAAAAUAAAAGUAUCUUGCAUCAAGACGAAAGAAUAAUGUGAAAGAAGAAGCUUUGUUCUUUGCUAGCCAUGCAAAAGAAAACCUUAUCAAGAUCUUUCCGGAACUUUUAUUAUUAAUUAUAUUAUAAAAGCAAUAAGUGAUUUUCGAGUGGUAUGAAUGAAUCAUGAUAUAUAUGAAGACUGAAGUCAUAUUAUGGGAUCAGGCUACGGUGCAACUGUGGCACCGUGCCACAGUUGCAUCUAACCGUUGGAUGCAAUUAGAUUGAUGGGAUCCACUGACAUCCAACGGUUAGAUGCAACUGUGGCACGGUGCCACAGUUGCACCUAAGGUUCCCCCAUAUUAUGACCAUCUUGUCCGAUAUAUAUGAAGUCAUAUUAUGACGAUCUUGUCCUAGUGAUGCUUUUAAUACAGAUGACAAACAGUAGCUAGCUAGCAUGCCAUUUCGGGAAAAGAUGAAGGGCAUUUAAGGAGACGGUGGGUCAGCCUUAGCCCUUAAGGACCAUGUAUUAAACAAGUCCACGUCAGAUUUGCAGAUUUCCACGUUCCUUUUAAAUUACGUUCACUCCCCACCACCACCCCAAAACAAUGCGAACUAAAGAGAGAGAAAGAGUUUGAAGCAGGAGUGAAGAGCUGCUCAUCAUCAAUUUGCUCAUACACAACUGUUCCCCAGCCUCAGGGCUCAGACUCCGCUUGAGCUUCUUUGUUUUAGGAUCAUCACAAACAUAAUGGGUGAGGUAAGUAAGUAUAAUAUUAUUAAUCCUCAUAGUCGAAGAUCUCAAAUUGUUGUUCAUUUUUCUUUCACUUGUUGUUGUACCUUUUAUUGUUCUUGUUGUUUUAAUUAGGUGAUAGCUAGCUCAAAAUAUUUGAUAUAUAUUUGUACUAUUUUUGUUUGUGGGGUGUGAAAUCAAAGGAGAACAAAGAGGAGCAAAAGAAAGAAGAAGCCAAAAAGGAGAAGAAAGAAGAAGAGAAGAAAGAAGAAGAGACUCCUGAGAUCGUACUCAAAGUUGAUAUGCAUUGUGAAGCUUGUGCUAGAAAAGUUGCUAGAGCCUUGAAAGGAUUUGAAGGUCAUUAUUAUUCUCUCUUUAUCUACCGUCCAUCUAAUUUUAAUUCAAAUUUCUAGCUAUGUUUAACCUUGUUUUAAAAAUUAAGAAUAUAUCAUAUGUAUAUUCUAAUCAAAUACUGUCCAAAAUUUCUAGCAUAAAUUUGUAACAAUUACUUUUCAAAAGCAACUCAAAAUUUAACACGUUUAUUUUUACCACCCACACCCCCCCCCCCUUAAAAAAAAAAGGAAAAUGGAAAACCAAAUAAUCAACUUAAUGAUGUUCUCAUAUCUCACCAAAAAAAAAAAAAAAGGAAAAAAAGGUGUGUGUCGUGGUAUUUGUAAUAUUAAAUAAAUUAUUAGAGAUUUUAAUAAAGAAUGCUAUGAAUUAAUUAAAAUUGAUGUUAAAUAAAUGUAAUAUUAUUGUUGGCAGGAGUUGAUGAUAUUACUGCGGAUAGCAAGGCGAGUAAAGUGGUGGUGAAAGGAAAGACAGCAGACCCGAUAAAGGUGUGUGAGAGGCUACAAAAGAAAAGCGGUAGAAAAGUGGAGUUGAUUUCGCCUUUGCCAAAGCCACCUCCUCCUGAUGCUGAUGAUCAGGAGAAAAAGGAACAGCAGAAAGUAGAGAAAAAGGAAGAGGUAAUUAUUAUUUAAACCUCAAAUCUUUUUUUUAUUAUUAGUGGAUGAUUUGGAAGUAAAUGUAGUGAAUCUUGUUGCCUGUGGCUGGUGGCUGUGGCUGAUAUGAAAUGAAAAUAACAAAACAAGGCAGCUCCAUUCUAUUUCUUUACAAAGGCACGUAUUACAAGGAAGGUGGACAAUGAGUACUGACACUGUAUAGGGUUUUGACCCCACAGUUCCCCAACUUGAUGCACUCUGCAACCUGCAUCUGCGUGGCCAUGGGGUUCACGGGUUGUUGAUUUCUCAUUUCUCCAAAUUUCAUACAAGAAAACGAAAUUGCCCCACAACAUUUUGCCCACCACUCACCCCUAUAGCUAGUUAGUCUUAUAAAAUAUUAAUAGCCUCUCUGUCUCAUAUACAUAUAUUGCAGUAAUUGAAAUAUUUCUACUGAAAAUACAGUUGGAUUAUUUGAGUCUAAAAUAUAAACUGUAUCCAUCUUUUAUAUGUAUAAUGAUCCAAUUUUGUUUAAUUAAAUAUCAACUUUAUAAAUUGGGUGUACAAAUUAAAAGGAGCGAAAGCAUUAAUUAAUUAAUUAAUUGUUGCGUGAAUAGUUGAUAUAUACUAUGUAGGUUUCUCGAGGCAGCUUGUCUUGUGUUUGCUACUUUCGGCCGUCUCAUUUUGUCGGGCGUUGAGCUAUUUGGCUUCUUAUGAGUUUCUUAUGUUUUAACCCUAGAGAAAAUGAUCAUUAGAAUUGGAUAUGGUAUCCAAUUAGGCCACCACUUACAGGCUUCUGUCUCCGGAAUUAUUUGUCUAAUCUGAUUCAUAGAAUCAGUAAUCAACUGUGACCUUGUUAUUUUCUUUGAAAUCUCUCUAUGUGGCCUUCUGCAUGCUCAAUUAGUUAACGGCAGCUGUAACUAUUUCCUUUGCUUUUGGUGGCAGCCUCCUGCCGCUAUAACAGUGGUCCUAAAUGUUCGGAUGCACUGCGAAGCAUGCGCUCAAGGUUUGAGGAAACGUAUACGAAAGAUCCAAGGUAUAUAUUUUCAUUGGCACUCUCAUUUCCCACUGAUACUACAAAUAUAUUACUCAUUCAACUUAAUGUGUUGCUAUUACUGUAGGUGUGGAGUGUGUGGAAACCAACCUAGCCAGUGGCCAGGUAAUUGUAAAAGGUGUAGUUGAUCCUGUGAAGCUAGUAAAUGAUGUGAACAAGAAAACAAGAAAGCAAGCUUCCAUUGUGAAGGAUGAAGAAAAGAAACAAGAAGAGAAGAAAGAAGGAGAAAAGAAAGACGGAGGCGAGGAAGCCAAGGUAGAUGAAGAAAAGAAUAAGCAGCAGCUUGAUUUUAAUAUCAACAGAAGCGAGUAUUGGGCAACCAAGAACUACUCGGAGUUUGCUUAUGCCCCUCAAAUUUUCAGUGAUGAGAAUCCAAAUGCUUGCUUUGUUAUGUGACCAUCAUUAUUAUUAGCUGUGUUUAAUUUUGAUGUCUUUAAUCUUGUUCAGCUAUUUAUGCAAUAUUACUAAUAUGCAUUAAUUAAUUCCAUGCAAAUUUUCUACGUUGACAUUUAUAUUGAUAUGUACGCUAAUAAUAUGUGACUACUUAUGUGAGCGGAGGCUGAAAUUGAUCUGGAUUUAUUGGUUGCGAAUCAUCUUUAGGUUAUAAGGUCUAACCUAUGUGCAUGUUAAUUUCCUCUUUAGCUACUAAAAGUACGAACUUAUAUAAUUGGCUAAUAGCAAUACAUUUUGAAAAUCCAGUUGUAUUAUAUGUUAGGUCUUUAAUCUGACGUCGUUAGAUCCUUAGUCCAAUGUUGAGUUUAUAUGUGAAUAAUUACGUAUUGCGAACUAUCAUAUAAAAGUUAAGUUCAAUUAAAAGUGAUAUAUUAAGAUUUUCAGUAAUAUAGACUUAAAUGUAUCUUAUAGGUAUGGGUCUUUAAUGUGUAGAGAUUUACGAAUAAUGUCUAUUUUUUUAAUGGAUUGAAAUACUAAAGAUAACAGGAAAAAUCAUCUCUAUAAAUAGUUAUCAUCCUCAGAUCACAUGUAUCAUUCUUUUCUUUUUUUUAAGAAAGUGUAUUGAGAACUUAAAGAAUUCUCUAAGAAAAUAUGUUGACCUACAAGACAAACCACACGACUCUAAAGAGUAAUUAAACACUAUGGAUUCAUGUACAAUUUUGCAUAUUUGAUUAGUGAUUCUUAGUGACACAAUACAAAUGUUCUUGAAUUUUAGAUGUUGGUUUUCACCAAAAGCUAUAUUAUUUUUGGCCACCAUACUUCUUAACAUUUAUAAAUGAUUUUUCAAUGAGUAUUUCUACUCUUUAUUAAAGUGUGGGAAUAAUAAUGUUAUAAAUGAGUCUUACAAUGAAUCCUCAUUGAAAAUUUUAUAUGUAUCUAUGAUUAACUAAGAAAACUUAAAAUUAACAAGAGAAUAAUGUUAUAAAUGAGCCUUACAAUGAAUCCUCAUUGAAAAUUUUAUAUGUAUCUAUGAUUAACUAAGAAAACUUAAAAUUAACAAGAGACGUCCUUGCUAAUUUUGAUGUUUCGAUCACUAUAAGCAGGCAAUUUUAUUUUAUUAUUUCUUUGAAACACUCAUGGAGAAUAACAUGUCCCAUUAAGAAUCUCUUUUUACACUUGAGUUCAUAAUAAAUUUUUUAAUACUCAUUUAAUUGGUAAAUGCAAUGGUUUUCAUAUUCUAAUUAAGUAUUGGAUUAAUAUCCUCUUUCAAUCUAAACUUCUUCUGAGCAAAAAUUCACUUGUUAAUCGGUGGUUAAUAAAUUUAAAAUAUAAAAAAAUUAAAUGUUAUUCAUACACUGUCACUAUAUGUAAUGCAGUACUACAUAUAUGGUCCAACCAAAGCGUAGGGAGAAGAAAAAUUUAUGUAAGUAAUAGAAAUUCUUUCUAUCACUUGGAUAUUUAAUAAAUUUUUAAUACGCUAUGUCAUCUCUGGUGUCAAAUCACUAUAACUAAAAAAAAAAUGUGUUGUUAGAGGGUAAAUACACCUUUUAAUAAAUGGAUUCACAAAUUUUAAUUUAAUUAACUGAAAUUUAAAGCCCAUUAGCAGUUGGGUUACUAUGAAUAUACAUGCAGCUACAGCCGACAAACUUGACAUGGAGUUUGCAAAUUUAUUAUUGUGUAUUUGUGUUGGUCGGCGCUUCAAUUUCCUUAAUCUUAGUGUGUUUACUUAUUGGAAAUGAAAAUGAGAAUGAAAAUCAAGAAAUAGAAAUAAAUUAUAUUUUUAUUUACUUAAAUGAGAGGUGGAAUAUGAAUCAAAGUAUUGGACUCCACUUAGGUAGCGUUUACGUUUUGGAUUGGAGUGAGAAUUCUGAGGAGUGGAAAUAUUAGGAUUGAGAGUGGGAGUAGGUUAUUUACUUGCACUAGAAUGGAAGCAUGGAAUAGAGAUCAUAAUCCAAUUUAUGUAUUUACUUUGUCUUGUAUUGAGAGUAAAUAAUUUCAAAUUAUAAUUUUAUCCUUAUUUAAAUAAUUAUAAUUUUUAAUUACAAAGUUAAUAAAAAUAUAUUUAAUGAAUAAACAUUUAUUUUAUUAUAUUUGUAAAUUUAUAAUAAUUAUUAAUAUUCUUAAUUAUGAACAUCACAAUUUUUAUUAAUUUUAAUUUUAAUUAUAUAAAUUUAAAAUUGUUGAUAAGGGCAAUAUAAAUGAAAUAUUUUUACUAUUAACAUAGUAUGAAAUUAAUUUUUUUUAAAAUAAACUAUUUAUUAGUAUUAAUUAUUAAUAUUAAAUAAAUAUAAUACUAUUAUUUUUAAAUAAAUAUAAUAAUAAUAUUUUUAAAUAAAUAUAAUAAUAUUAUAUUUUCAAAUAAAGAUGGUAUAUAAUAAUAUUAUUGAUCCUCUAUUAAUAUAAUAAUAUUAUUUUUAAGUAAAUUAAACUUAGAAUCAAACCCAAUUAUUAUUUAGUUAAAUAUAAUAAUAUUAUUUAAAUAUAAUUAUAGUAAAUUUAAUAAAAAGAAUGGUAAAUAUAAAAUGAAACAUUAUUUUAUUUAAUAUAAUUAUAUUAAAUUUAUUAUUUAUUAAUAUAAUAUUAUUUAGUACAAAAUUAAUAUUUUCUUAGAAUAAACUAUUUAUUAUUAUUAAUUAUUAUUAUUAAAUAAAUAAAGUACUAUUAUUUUUAAAAUAAAUAUAAUAAUAUUAUAUUAUUAAAUAAAGAUAGCAUAUAGUAAUAUUUAUUAAUUCUCUAUUAAUAUAAUAAUAUUAUUUUUAAGUAAUUUUAACUUAUAAUCAAUGCAAAUUGUUAUUUAGUUAAAUAUAAUAAUAAUAUUUAAAUAAAUAUAAUAUUAUUUAUUUUAUUUUAUUAAAUAUAAAAUAUAAAAUUAAAUUAAAUUAAAAAGGGUAGGGAGUCUCACUCCCCACUCCAAAAAUGGGUGGGGCCCACGGAGUGGGAUUCCCAAUCAUUCCUCAAUUUGUUGAAGUAAACACUGUAGUGGGAGGAAUCCACACUCCUUACUCCCACUCCAAAAAGUAAAUACAGCCUUAAAAUUGAGAAUAAUUAUUAGAGUUUUCAUUUUCAUAGAGGAGGUGGGAAUGAGAAUCUCAUUCACUAAAGUAACCAUAUUACCCCUACUUAAAUUUUAAAAUUUUUAUUUUAUCUUUCAUUAUAUAUCAUCAUCAUCAAAUAAUUUUUAAUAAUAAUAAUAACAAUAAUUAAUAAUUAUAAUUAAUAUUAAUAUUAAUAUUAAUAGUAUCAAAAUAAUUAUUAUUAUUAUUAUUAUUAUUAUUAUUGACAAAAUAAUAAUAAUAAUAAUAAUAAUAAUAAUAAUAAUAAAUGACAAUAAUAAACUAAGGUCAGUUUACUAAUUUGUAAUAAUCCAUUGAUUCCAAUAUAAAUUAAACACAUCAAUGGCAAUGCAGUUCAUUAUGAUUCCGAUUCCCACAACUAAAGUAAACAAUUUAUUAUGAUUGACAUUCCCUAUUCUAGUUUUACCCCAUUUUGAUUUUACUCCAUUCCGAUUACUGAUUAAUAUAUACACCAUUAAAGUAGAGGGAUUGAGUUUCCAAGUAAAUUUUAGAGUAUAAUUGUGUAUUGACAUUUUUGUUUUAGACUCUUAUAUUGGGCUUAUUGUAAUUUAAUUAUGGGCUUUAUAGUAGGCUAUAUUGUGAGACUAUACUAUCCAUGGAGAAUCGAUCUUUAGCCUAAAUAUAUAAAGCUUGAGCAACCCUGUUCUUGGACUACUUUUUAAGAUGGAUUAGAUUCAUGGACUUCUAUUUUUUUUUCUUUCUUUCUUAUUAACACACACACACACUAGUGAGACUUGAACCCACGACCAGAAUACUAGGGAGGCCGCUUUUAACUACUGUAGCUCGAUCUUGAACUCUACUUUUAUACCUUGACAAGCAAGCAUAACAAUCUAGGAAAAUCCUAUAAAAGAAAAUAGAGGAAAAAGAUUAAUCCGACAAUGAUUUAUUUGAUAUUAGCCCAUGUGAAGAAUAGAUUUGGAAUGUUGGUUGGUGAGGAUUUUGAGAUAGUGGUAACAACUAGUGGUUCCGAGAGUGGAAUCUAGUCUAGGAACAGAAAUCGGAAAUACUUGAUGCGCGGGCGCAAUCAAACUGUGCGGCAUUGGAUGUGAUGUGAGGGUAGAUGUGGUAGUAUUCAAAGGCCUGCGUUUCCACAGAAUGUGCGCCUAUUGCAGGCCGCCCUGAAGCCACAAAUGAGUUUUAACAAAAAUUGAUUACAAGAUCAGAUAUUGGAAAUUAUUUAAAUUCCCCUUUGGCUAAGGCACAUAUAUUGAUUGACCGCAAAUGAUUACAAAUAAAUACUCUGAUAAUAUACAAAUUCAUAUAUAGGAAGGACCACAGGCUCAUUAUCGAAAUCUAGAUCGUCGAACAGAUUCAAUGGACUCAAUAAGUCAAUGUGUGAAAAGUCAACAUUAAAGACAAUUUCCAAAAGCAGGACCUAGUUUGUCAUUGUUUGUCUCGAGUACUUGGAAUGAUCUUUCUGAAAAUAUAUUCCGAUAAAGAUGAAUUGAUCAGAAGGUCCACACUACCCAUGCAUCAAUGAUGUCGAGCAAGAAUCCAAGAGAGAGAUCAAUGAAAUAUGAGCUCUUUUGGUUAGAAUUCAUUUCUACCAAUCGACCAAGAUAUAAGUAGUAGUGAGCGAUUUGAAGUCAUUGAUUCGUUCUUGUAUAAUCUUUGAAUAAGCUAUAGCUUAAUUAAUGUUGUGGUUCUUGCUUUGCUAGCCUUCUUUCUUCCAUAUUAUUUUAGCCAUCGAUCCCGUGGCCAGUGCUCUAAAUUAGUUAAGGGUUUUGCGAAAAUAUCUACCAAAAGUGAUUGUCCUAACUAGUUCCAAAAGUGAUUAUCAAACUUACCUACAGGCUCCGGGCGGGCAGGUGCCCAUAUGAUUCAAUUGACCCACAUUCAUCCUUUUCGUGCAGUCUCCCCCACUUCACUACCGCAGAAAGAAAGAUUGAAAGAGUAUUUUAUUAAUGAAAAUAAUUUGCAAGACGACCAAGCCCACUAUUGUCAUAUGCAUUAUUUUGGGCCUUUUCAAAUGAACAGGUGGUUGGAUCUAAUUCAUCCUCUUCAUAAGUGGUGAUAUUUCAUCCCUUAAUUUAUCUAAUGAGCCUUUAUUUUUCAAUUAAUUAGAGUUAUUUUCAUAAUUCAAGGUAACUAAUGAUUUUUCCUUCUGUCAUACUUGUUGAACAAUUAGUUUCAACCGUAGUCUUUCAUAAUUACCAACCAUACACACUCACACAGUCACACCCACUAUUAGUCUUCUUGGAACCGGGCAUGAGCCACCUAUCUUCUCAGCAACUAGUGAAGAUGCAGUUUCUUUUUUCAAAUUUUUUUCAAUUUUUUUUUUCUUUUUUUUGCUCACUUCUUUUAGUAGGAUAUGUUAGCAUCAUAUAGAAGCUGAAGAGGGACCACGAGAAUGAGGCUAUGAUCCAGAUUCCAGAUCAUGGUUUUGCUAUUGUUACUUUCGUUCAUAAUUAUGAUUUUGGUAGAAAUGGGCUGUUCGAUGAUGUGAAAUUAUUGCUCUCAUCCCUGCAGAAAAAUCAGAAAAUGAAGGAUAGUGGGGGAGAAUGAUAGUGAGCAAAGAUAAAAGAAAGGGUAAAAUCUAAAAAUGGUUAUUUAAGUGGGUAUUUUAGACAUUUCAAAUUAGAAUGGGAAAAAUGAAAGUUAGUAAAAAAAACAUAAAAAAUUUCUACUUUUUCAUUAAUUUAAUUUAAUAGUGGCGGCUGAGGCUCACGUGGAACCCAAUUAGAGUUCAAACAAACUAAUUUUGAGAAAAUCUUCGAUACUAAUUAUGAGAGCCAUGAUUAGUUUGAGCAAAUAUUAAUUAAAGAAGAUAAUUAAAUUCAUGCCCUAAAACUGUGAACUUCCGAUAGGACAAACAGGUAAAAGUUAUCAAAAGCCUCGGUCAUACAUUCGCUUUCUUUUAUUUAUUUAUUUAUUUAUUUUAUUUUAUUAAAGAGAGGCUUCCAACAAUAGCAUAAAUCCUGGAGGGGAUAGUGUGCGUAUAUAUCUUUUGGGCAGUCGCGCGAUGACACCUCUACUGUCUACACAAUGAUAAAUAUUAAAGAAUUAUAAAUAAGUUGACAGAGAUACGUCUAUAAAACGUAAUAAAAUUAAAGUAAGAUGAUGAAGGAACAGAAUAAAUAAAGUAUUCACAUGCAUGCCCGGUGUUCAUUAUACCAUGGUUUUGCCCACAACAUUCUCUGAACGGAAACUAGAAAUUCGAAAUUCCCCCGUCCUUUUUUUUUUUUAUUUUUGGUCAAGAAUAUAUUUGUCACUUUACAUCGACUUUAUAUAUAUAUAUAUAUAGAGAGAGAGAGAGAGAGUAUACCAUUUUGAUUGAGACAUUUAAUCAACUACUAUAUUCACACACUAAUUAAAUCCAAAGUGUAGCAUGUGCUUCUAAGAAACCUCAUCGUUUUUUUUUUGGAUGACUUGUAGAAGAAAUACUACUUCCUGUUUAAUUUCUGCUUCUUUUCAAUCCAUAAGAGUGGGGGAGGAAAAACAUAUAUUUGGUUUCUAGUCAGAGGCCGGUAAAUAGUAUGUUAUCUCUGUAGUUAUCCAAUAUUCCAAGUACUAGCAUAGUUUAUGAUGAUAUACAUUACCUAUCCAGUGGUAUAUAUAAUCUAAAAGAUAAGGCUCGCAUGCAAAUGCAAUGCAAGAAUCGAUCCGAGUGACUAGUUGAUCUCUACUUGUCUUAUCAUUUUGGCAAAUUCAAAGUUGCAGCUUAAUUUGCUUUUGUUAUAGUGACUUUUAAAUGAUGAAAAUAAAGAGAGUCAACACUCGCUCUCGACUCACCAAUGUAGAAUCUCGGGUCCCUCCACCAAAUGGAAAAAAAAAAAAAAAAUGAUCGGUUUCUAAUCCUCCAUCUGCCUCAAUGUUUCCAAUCUUUCUAACUUCUUCGCUCUGCCUUAGGACCCACCACUUGCUCAUAACACAGGAGUGAAUUCCUUUCUUUUUAAUUCUUGUGUGCAUCAAAAGUUCUAACGCUUGAUAGAAAAAUUCUUUAAAAAAAAGAAAAAAAAAAAAAAGGAUUUAAUGGAGCAUAUAUGUAUGUAUAUAUUUCUGUCAAAGAACGAUUGGAUUUUUUUUUUUCUUUUUUAACCAAAAUAGAAAAGAAACAAACUCUAACCUCUGCUUAUUAUACAAAGUCUUCCGUAUAUUAUAAUAAUGCUAUUACAAAACUUUAGUUCGUAAAAGGUAUGUUGUGAUGUCGUGCAAUCGAGUUCCCAGGUUUCUUAUGUUAAAUUGGUAAUUAAAUCUCGUUAAAUAAACAAAUAUUUAAAAGGAGAAUUAACUUUCAUCGUAAGUGAUAUUUUGUAACUAGGUUAAUGCUUUCAUCACUGUAUACAAGUAAGUAAAAUGUCAACUUCGAUAAAUUAACAAUCUUGAUUAAAUAAUAAAAUCUUUUAAUUUCGCUAGUGUACUAAAUUAAUAAAUUCACUAAAUGUAUAAGAUAAUAAUUAUUUUGAAUCAUUUGGGCCCAACGUAAAUAUUAAUUAAUAAUUUAUUAAAUAAAAGUUAAUAAUGAAUAAAAUAUAAAAUUCAUAACAUUAAGCAAUUUCUUUUUCUCUUACAUCUUCAAUUAUUUGAAUUCAACUCUUAACAAAAUAUACAUGUAAAUAUGUUUAUUUUUUUUUCCUAAAUUGAACUCAUACUCAUCCUUAAUAUCAAAGGUUUGCACAAUAAUGAUACAUACGUACAUGAUUAUACAAAUCGAAUGAAGAAAGAAAAAUAAAUUGUGUAAUUACAAGUUUCCUAAUGGAGCUAUACUACGAUGGAUACAUAACUACUGGAAGAUAUACUGUUGACUCAAAACAACACCAUUUGUGCUCUUUUAUAAGUAAAUAUAUACGUGUACCAACAAAACUCUUUUUAAUUUUUUUUUUAAAAAACUUAAAUUAAAUUAAUAAACAUUAAUUUAUCAAUAAAUUAAUAAAAAACUUAAAUUAAUAAAUUAUUAAUUUAUUGAUAAAUAAAUAACUUAGUUAAAAUAAUACUUUUUUAAUUCCAACAAAAUUAUUAUUAUUAUUAUUUUUUGAGAUUUUACUGCAUAUGAUACGAUUGAAAAAUGAAUCUGGAAAUGCUAAAUUAAUAUUAUAUCUAAUCAAUUCAUAAUGGACAAUUUAUUUAAUUAUCAAUGGAGACAGCAAGUUACCACAUUAGCAUGGUCGCCACGUGGAUCCCAUUAUCCUUGGCUCUUCCAAAGAGGACAUGAGAAAUACACGAGUUUUGGUCCUACCUGGUAAUCCGGACAGGGUAGUGGAACCUCUACAGUCCUACGUGGACGAGUCGAGGUGGAUCCCACAGUCAGAAAGCACAUGUGAAGCCAAGGUGUCUUUUGUUCAAACCAAGAAGCAAGUGUGUCAGUCGCGGCUGAGCAUGUGAUUUUCCCACGCGUUGGAAAGGGCGCACUUUACACCAAUAAGCAGCCAUUACCACUUUUCCAAUAUUUCCUCCAAAAACACUUCGUUUUACCAAUUAACCCUUCCUCUUAAUUCGGAUUAGAGUGACGAAUUUGCCAUUUUAUUACCAAAAACAGUCCCGAGACAAUCAAUGAUUAUUGACAGAUGUCCAAAUUUGAUGUCAUCAGAAUGUCAGGCAGCAGCAAGCCAGCAAGCAACUAGCCAGUUAAUUAGAAGACAAUCCAAUAUUGUUUAAACUCUAAUCACACGUAGUUGAUUUAGGAGUUAGUUCACACACUCAACUCAAAUGAUUAACACAUUAUAAUUAACGAGUAUGUUUUUUUUUUCUUUUGAAUAUUAAGAUAUAAUUAACCAUACUGAUGUAACUAAAAACAAUUAUGAUAAGUAUUUUUUUCAAAUUGAAUUUCAAAUAAUACAAAAACUAAUUUUUUUUAAUCAUUGAGUUAGUACUGAAAAUAAAUCUUUAUAAAUGAUUAGUACUGAAAAUAAAUCUUUAUAAAUGAUAUAAAUAUUUUUUUGGUCAAUUCAUAUUAUUUUAUGUCAAUCAAUUUAAACGAUAUCAAAGUCCCGUUGGAAUAAACUACUCAAUAUGACAAAUUAUUUAACCUAUAUAUCAAAUUGAAUAUUAUUAUAAUUGCUUGUUGAGUGGAAUGUGGAUUAGCUAGAGCUUUGUAAUUUUAAUUUGUAGUGAGUGUUUCCUCAAGAUAACACAGUCGAGAUAAUACCUACAUGAUUCAUGAAUAUAUUUAUAUAUGAGAGCCCCUCUGUUACAUUUAAUGUACCAUACACAACCCACAAGAACCACACAAAUUGUGGGACCCACAUAAUUAUGUGGUUCUUGUUGGUUGUGUAUGGUACAUUCAAUGUAACAUAACAAAAUCCUUUAUAUAUAUACUCAUUCUCUAUUGAGGAUGUACAAUAAAAUAUUAAAAAAAUAUAAUUUGUUUAUCUGUUAGUAACAUUCUCGCUUUAUUAAAAUGAUAAUGUUAUCACUAGAAAAUUAUUAUUAUAUAGUUGUAUUUUAGUGAGGAUGUUAAAGUGAAUAUGCAUAUUAAAAUACAAAAAAAAAAUACAUAUUUAAAUAUAUUAGAGACGAUAUUUUUAUUUAUUUAUUAAUAGUAUCCUCACUCUGUUAAAAUAAUGAUGUCUUCUCUCUCCCUAUUUAUAUAUAUAACUAGUUAAUUCAAUCAUUUAGAAAGAAAGGUUGUUAUCAAGAAUCAAGAUAGACAGACAAAUUAACGAGACUAGUAUCAACUAACAUGCGAGCAUUUUCCAUAUGAGGGCAUUAUUGUGAUCACUGAAGUCCACACUUUAUCAGCCGUCACAGAACUCCAUAGACGGAUCAAUAGGUAAACUCAGUUGACAAGGCAGAUCAAAAGGUCAAGAAACAUUGCCAAAUUCGUAAAAUAAAUAAAAAUUAAAGGGCAUCGUCGUCCUAAAAAAUCAACCUCAUUUCACACGCACGCACACACGUAUGUAUGUAGCAUGUAUGUAUGUGGGUGUGUUGUGUGUGUAUAUAUACAGCCUGGUAAGUAACCACACACUUAUCAAGCGAAUUAGCGAAGUACUAAACAUUCUCACACAUGUGAAAGUGUACUUACAGGUGACUUAUUGUCUUAAAGAUAAGAAACUGUAGUUGUUAUUAUUUUCUCAGCAGUAUUCUCUGGAGUGUUGAGAAACAAUGGCAACCAAGACUCAGACAGAAAGUAGUGAAAAUCCAAACGGAGACUCAACAGAAGAGAGAUGCCCGAUUGAAGAAGUUGCCUUGAUUGUGCCUGAAACUGACGAUCCAACGAUGCCAGUGAUGACUUUUCGUGCAUGGUUUCUUGGGUUAACUUCAUGCACGUUGCUCAUCUUUCUCAACACAUUCUUCACAUUCCGUACGCAGCCGCUCACAAUUUCAGCAAUCCUUAUGCAAAUUGCUGUGCUUCCAAUUGGCAAGUUCAUGGCCAGGAUUCUUCCCAACAAGGAGUUUCAGGUUCUUGGUUGGAGGUUUAGCCUGAAUCCUGGACCGUUUAACAUUAAAGAGCAUGUGAUCAUCACCAUCUUUGCUAACUGUGGGGUGUCUUUUGGUGGGGGUGAUGCCUACUCCAUUGGUGCCAUAACUGUUAUGAAAGCUUAUUAUAAGCAAAGCUUGAAUUUUCUUUGUGGGCUACUUAUAGUCUUGACUACUCAGGUUAUUUUUAAAAAAAUUAACUCUAAUUAUUUGCAACUUUGAUUUAUUAUUGUUAUUUUUUUUUUCGGUGGGAAAAAUAAUGUGACUUUUGGUGGUGUAUAAAUAUAUAUACACAGAUAUUGGGAUAUGGAUGGGCUGGGAUGCUGAGGAGGUACCUGGUUGAUCCUGUGGAGAUGUGGUGGCCUUCAAAUCUUGCUCAGGUUUCUCUAUUCAGGUCUGUGUGCCUUUCACAUUUUCUUUCUGUUUGGGUAAUUUUCUAAAUUAUUAUUUCUGUUUGGUUCACGGGAAAAUGUUAGAAAGGAAAGCAAGAAAGAGAUUGAACUUUUGGAACAUUAGAUUUUCCACGAGUGGGACCCGAAACUACAAAAUUGAAUUAGUUGAGUCUUCAAUUUUUUGUGGGGUUAAAGCUACAUUGAAAAUGCCAAAUAAUUUUAUUCUCCUUGGUUUUUAAUUUCUAAAUAAGCUCACUUUCUUUAUUUGUUCGUGGUUGUGACUUUAGAAUUUUUACAUGUCUAUAUUCCUAGAAGAUCAUUGGUAAAGGUAGAAAGAAUUGGGUAAAAGUAAUUGAACAAAUAUAAUUAGCUUCUUGACUUCUUGUUUUGCAUUCCACUGAGAAUAAUUCAUAUUCACCCAUGCAAAUAACUUUGUUGUUACAGAGCACUUCAUGAAAAGGAAUCGAAAAGCAAAGGAUUAACGCGGAUGCAAUUUUUCCUAAUUACAUUGGCAGCAAGCUUUGCUUAUUAUACACUUCCUGGCUACCUGUUCCCGAUCUUGACAUUCUUCUCAUGGGUUUGCUGGGCAUGGCCUCACAGUAUAACAGCACAGCAAAUUGGUUCCGGUUAUCAUGGACUUGGUAUUGGUGCAUUUACACUUGACUGGGCUGGGAUUUCAGCUUACCAUGGCAGUCCCCUCGUGACACCGUGGACAUCUAUUCUUAAUGUAGGGAUUGGCUUUGUUAUGUUCAUCUACAUAAUUGUCCCUCUGUGUUACUGGAAGUUCGACACUUUUGAUGCUCGAAAGUUCCCAAUAUUCUCUAAUCAGCUGUUCACUUCUAGUGGGCACAAAUAUGAUACCACCAAGAUCUUGACACCACAGUAUGAUCUAAAUAUUCCUGCUUAUAACAGUUAUGGGAAGCUCUACCUUAGCCCCCUGUUUGCCUUGUCAAUUGGAUCAGGAUUUGCAAGAUUUACAUCCACCCUCACUCAUGUGGCUCUUUUUCAUGGAAGGUAGGUUUCUUUGUUGCUCCCUUGUAAGCACUUUGUGGUAAAAUUCCUGAUCAAUGAAAUAAAAUUGAUUUCUAUUGUGUAGUGCCAUACUGGACCAAAGCAGGUCGGCAAUGAAGAAUAUGAAAUUGGAUGUCCAUGCAAGACUGAUGAAAAGUUACAAACAAGUGCCUCAAUGGUGGUUCUAUGUACUGUUACUGGGAAGUAUUGGCCUUUCUCUAUUGAUGUCUUUUGUAUGGAAAGAUGAAGUGCAACUGCAAUGGUGGGGAAUGCUCUUUGCUUUUGCUUUGGCUUGGAUUGUUACCCUUCCCAUUGGGGUCAUUCAAGCAACUACCAACCAGGUAACAAACCAAAUCUUAUCAUUUUAUCUUUUUUUUGGUUGUAGUAGUAGUAGUAGUAGUAGAGCUGAAACAACGAAAGAUUAACAUGUUAAUGUUCUUGUGUUGACUUUGCAGCAACCUGGAUAUGACAUCAUAGCACAAUUCAUGAUUGGGUAUGUUCUACCAGGAAAACCAAUUGCAAAUCUGCUUUUCAAGAUUUACGGACGAAUCAGUACCAUCCAUGCUCUAUCUUUCUUAUCUGACCUUAAACUUGGGCACUACAUGAAAAUUCCUCCACGGUGCAUGUACACUGCUCAGGUUCUUGUAGCUCAAAAAUCUUGCAUCUUCUUGGUUUUGCUAACUUAUCGACAAAAAGAAUAAUUUUGCUUUCUCUUUUCUCAGCUGGUUGGUACUAUAGUGUCUGGUGUGGUGAACCUUGGAGUGGCAUGGUGGAUGUUGGAGAGCAUUGAGAACAUUUGUGACGUCGAAUCACUUCAUCCCGACAGCCAAUGGACUUGCCCCAAGUACAGAGUAACAUUUGAUGCUUCAGUAAUAUGGGGUCUGAUUGGACCAAGACGGUUGUUUGGUCCUGGAGGAAUGUACCGUAAUUUGGUAUGGCUAUUCCUCGUAGGAGCCGUCUUGCCAGUUCCUGUUUGGGUACUGAGCAAAGUGUUCCCUGAAAAGAAAUGGAUUCCUUUGAUAAACAUUCCCGUUAUAUCCUAUGGCUUUGCCGGAAUGCCACCAGCAACUCCCACCAACAUAGCAAGCUGGCUUAUCACCGGAAUGAUCUUCAACUACUUUGUGUUCCGAUACCACAAGCGCUGGUGGCAGAAGUAUAACUAUGUUCUGUCAGCAGCUCUGGAUGCUGGAACAGCUUUCAUGGGUGUUCUGUUGUUCUUUGCUUUGCAAAAUAAUGACAUAAAUUUGAAGUGGUGGGGCACCCAUGUUGAUCACUGUCCUUUGGCUACAUGUCCAACUGCAUCAGGAAUUGCAGUUGAAGGAUGCCCUGUUUUUAAGUAGUCAUGUAUGCAGCAAUUGAAGAUUAAAAAUAUUGAGCAGUUGUAAGGGAAACAAUGUUGGGUAGGCUAAGUCAUUUAAGCCUUUGCUACGCUAUUUUGUACAUAUUUACUUUUACUGCUGUUUGAAGAGAAGGUGAUAGCCUACUUUGUAAGAUUGAUGGCGGAAGUUUGCUACCAUAAGUGGUACCUUCUAGUAGCUAACAGUAUAAAUAAAAAUCUUAGUCCUGUUUCUUAUUCAAUUAUGUGCUGGUUUGCAUAAGAAAUCCACAUCCUUUUGUAUGAAGAUUGGGAGAACGAACGUAGAAUUAUUUUAAGGAAGCCCUUAUAAGUUUGUCCUGUGACCUAAAGUGACUGUCAGCUUGAGACAAAAGACUAAGGUGCCUACUUAUCUGAGAAACAAUACAGGAACACUGACAUUUGGAUUAAAAAAAAAUUGACAAAAUGCUUACAAAGUUAACUGAAACACCGCAUGAUCUUAUUUGAAAAUGACAAAAUAAUCAAUUAACACCAUACAGUAUUUUUCCAAUGAGGGAAAAUGAGGAAGAUGAAGAGAAAUCAAGUCAUUAAACUCCAUCUACAAUCGGGGUAGUGUAUUCCCACGCUAUCAUUAUUUUCUUUGUUUCGUUUCCUCUGGACCAUUAAUCAUUGGAAGAGAACUAUAACUUUGAUUCUCAAAUCUUCCCUGUAACUCCUAUAAAUUUCACCUCAAACCUAACAAAUAUCGAUUGCUAAACAAGACAGCUGCAAUAUCAUGUUAACCUACAGUUAUGGGAAUGCCAAGGCAGCUAUGAAUCGAGGGGCUACAGUCCAAAAUCCUAGGACUGUAUUAUUACCUACAUAUAGAGAUUAAAAUUUUGGCAAUAUUUCUCAACCAUAUGAUGACUCCUCACUACUUUUGAAUCAGUUGUAUAAUUUCUUGCGCAAGACAAUAAAAGAUUGUAAAAAGAACAAAUAAAGAAAUUGUUGGAUCAUGGCCAUCAAAUAUUUGCAUUACUUUUUAAGUUCCUUGCUACUUUAUCCAUUCUCAUAGCACCUACCUCUCCAUAAUUAUAUUAACUACAUAUAGGGAUUGAAGACUAUAAAGUCAUCGUAGGUAUAGUAUACUAUCACCUCUGCAUAGACUUAUAGAGCACCACCGUCACAUAUUUGGCUAAAAAUCGAUGUGUUGAACCAAGUGCCACCACAGACGGGCCACUUUUCCCUUUUUGCAUAUAGAGAUGGUUAAGGACCACAUGUUGAGGUCUUGACAAAGGAGGAGGAAUUUCCAUGUAUGAUGCAGGCACAUUGAGCAGUGUCAUUUGAAGGUGUGGAGGAACCAAUGGCGGUUCCUUUGCAAAAUCCUCAGCAGUCAGUUGCAAGUUGUUGUAGCUCGUCUCUGGAGACUGAGGAGGCUCAAAACUAGAUAUGCUUUCAAGGUCAUCUGGAACAUAUUCCUACACAAUAUAUCAACAAGAUGACUACUGAGAUCUGUGUUGUCAAGCAACAACUCUUACUUUUUGCUACAUGCCUGACAAAUUGUGUUUGUCUACCAUAACCUAUCAGACCUUUGCUCAAAUCACAGAAGCUGAAAACUUCCGAUCAAAAUAUCACCAGAAGAAGGUAUUCGCUUCCAAUACUAGAGUAUAUAGAAGAAAACUCAAAAAAUCAUAAAUGAAAACUUCCAUGCACUUUACUCCAAAAAAAAAGAAAGGAAAAAAAUCAUAACCAUAACACUUGGGAGUGUUUGUAGAUCGUCAUGUUGAAAGUAUUGCAAGAGCAAGGUAAAAAGGAAAGUAGGAAAAGCAAGUGUGGCUGUGGCAGUCGAGAGAAUUAAACAGUUUAUGCUUGAUAUAUGAAUCCAGCUAGAAUUAUAUUUCUAAAACUUUCAGCGUAUCUUCGUUGUUGAGAGCUCUGUAGAGAUAGGUUUGUAAAUUCUUUCAUUUUAGCUUAAGAAGUUUUGAUACCCAUGAGAAUUCAAAUAUGCGAAUUCAAAUAACACCAGUAGCUGCAUUCAAAUCCUAAAAGAGAAUGACAUGUUACUGCAACUAUGAAACAUGCAUACUUAUAAAGGGGAAUAAAAGUAAUAUUUACCUGCAAGUCUAAGAUGUUGUAAACAUUGCCAUCAUCAUCUUGGGUCGAAGGCAAGUCUGGGGCGUACUUCCAUAGUCCAUCAACAAGAAAUCUAUACUGAUAAACACCUGAUGGCAGUACUUUCAUAAUAGUGAAGUCUUUCCCUGAUCUCUGCAAGGCAAUUCUAGUCAACAGCACAAAAGGUUAUAAGUAUGACACUUUGAUGUAAGUUCAUAAUGGAUGAACAAAGAAUGAAAUGAAUUUCUUUAAAAUAAUAUACAGAAAGCAUAAAUUUCUUCACCUUGUUUUCCAGUUAUCCCAUGAUCCCUCAACUGCUACUUCACAGCCAUCGUGGCUCCAGGUGAUCAUUGUUGGAAUUCCUACCCCGUCACCCAUGUCCUCAUAACCAGAAGAAGUUUGCAUCCAGGACAGAUUAGGAAUUUGCAUCUCAUCAGGUCUUUGCAAUGGAACCACUGGGACCUGGAAUUAGUUACAGAAACAAGCCAAGCAUCAACAUGAGCAUACGUUCUCCUUAGCACUCCAACUAGCAAGCAUGUUCUUUCUUACAUUCAGAAAAAUCAAAAGUUCAGAACUUUCUUCCAAAUUGACACAAAAAGGCCUCGUUUCAUAUCAUAUGAGCCUCUGACCAUCACGAUACAUAGUGAUCACGCACCAGUUCAUAGAUCCAAACCCAAAUUGACAGCCUCGGUAAUGUUAAUAACACAAAGUAACCAGUGAAGAAAAGGUUCCUCUGACUCAGGCUGUUGGGCAUAAAAAAUUCUUAGGAAAUCUACCAGAAAUUAGAUCAAACAACAGUUGAGCAUAACAAGAAAUAAAAGUGGCAGCACAAAGCACAAACAGUAUCAAAUUUGAUAGCGUCUCGGGAAUUCUAAAACAGGGGAUUCAAUAGAACUCCUCAAACAAACUGAUACCGGUAGAAAAUAUAUAUAUAUAUAUAUAUAUAUAUAUAGAUCAUAAAAUACCCGUUCCAAUAACCGUCAAUCAAAUACACAUGACAAUACAAACUUGAUCAUAAAGCCAGCAUAAGAAAUCUAAAUCCUUUCAACCGAAGGAAAAAAACAAAUACCCGUUCCAAUUAAAACAUUAAAAAGAGAUAGUAAUGUGAAUUUGAGAAAAAACAAACCUGAGGAGUGAACAUGAGAGGAGAGUGAGUGGCUCUAGGGCUGUGAGGAGGUGAUUGACCCAUCAAUCCAUCUGGCACAAUUAUGCCCUCUUCUUGAACACUAUUGUUACUUUCUCCUUCUUCAACCCCAGAUGGACUAUUACUUCCAUCUUCUCUUGCAUUCACAUUCCCCAUUUUUAUUAUUUCUAAAUUAAUUGAACCAAAUUAUUUAUAAUAAAAAAAAAACAAUUGUAAUAUCUCCCUAUCACUCCCUCAUGAUUCAAUUAAAAUCAAUAUCAGUUUAAUUGAGGAAAAGAAAAGAAAAGAAAUAUAUAGAUGGCAAAAACGAAAGUGAAAUGUAAAUUAUUAGAGUAAUAAUAUUAAUAAACUCCAGUGAAUUUGGAAGAUCGAAUGGUGGCCCAAAUCCAAUGAAUGAGAUUGAGAUGUUGGAUGCAUCUAUCUAUCUAUCUAUCGUGUAUCUUCGUUGGGGGUUAAGUGGAGGGCGAGUUGACGCUGUGCAGUACAUACAUAUAUAUAUAUAUAUAUAUGUCUGUGUAUUGUCACGUCAUUCUUUGACAUAGUCUUUUCCCUUACUCUCUCAGCUUUGCCCUUUCUUUUCCUUCUUCCCGUGCUUCAAGUUUUUAUGCAAAAGGAAUUAAAUAUAAUUGUACGGAGGUUUCUUAUAAUAUCUUUUUCUCUUGCGUAAUGUGAGUGGAGUAGAGAUAUUUCUCCUCUGUAAGGGGUAUUUGGAUAGGCAUGUACUUCAUAGAAUAAAAAUGUAAUAAUAUAAGUCUCAUAUAUAUAUCUGAUUGUAAAUAUCAGUGUAAUGACCUGCUGUCAUAGCAGUUGUAUAUAUCUCUGUGUAAUACAGUAACCAACUGAUGCUUAAUCAGUUUCAAAAAAAAAAAAAGUUUUUAUGCAAAAGGGGAACAUAAAUAAUUAUCAUAUUUAUUAUUAAUAUUAAUAAUAUAUAACUCUUCCCACGUCAUCAAUUUUCAUGCUUAGUUUUUCACAAUAAGAAUGAACUAUAUAUAUAUAUAUAUAUAUAUAUAUAUAUAUAUAUAUAUAUAUAUAUAUAUAUAUAGAGGGACAUGCAUUAUGAUCAUAUGAAGAUGCACCUCUAUGUUUCAAAGCAUUAUUCGUAUUUCAUAUGAUAAUGUGUGAUUGCUCUGUAUUUAUUGGUAUGUUCUAUAAACUAAACACAAAUUGCACUGCACAUGUUCAUGACAUAUUUUAUAAAAUUGACAUCAUAUCCAUCCAUCUAAAUAUUCUUGAAAUUGAGUAUAUGCAUUUGAGAAUAAUGAUCGCAAGGAUAAUACUUACUGAAAGUGAAUACAAAAAUUUGAGCCUCAACUAAACGUGAUAUAAUACUUAGGAUAUUGUAAAUUAUCAUAUGUUAAGUGAUUAUUUAUUUUAUCAUUUUAUGUAUAUGUGAUGAAUUAUACGAGAGUUGCUGUGUCUGCGUAUAGAUAGCAUACAUCAAUUGACAUAUAUCAAAAUUUUGAAGAUAAAAAAUGGGAAGGAACGUUAGUGUUAAAGCUUUUUUUUUUUUUAAUUCAAAAGACCCAUAUGAACCUCUUAAUAUCAAGAUAAUUAAUAAGAGUAAACUCUUUAAUACCCCUCAAAAUUUCUCAUAAAGUUCCCCUUUAAUUGAAAUUAUUUAAAUAACUUAAUAUAAAUUAACUCAUUAUUUUGUUUUGAAUGAAAAUUCAAUUAAACACCUAUAUAAGUUAUUAUUUUGACAAACUUUUUACAUCCACCUAGUUUCAAAAUUAUAUUAAUUUAAUUAAAAAAACUUUUUAAUUAAUUUUUUUUAGAAAAUUAUAAGAAUUUAGAAUUAUAAAAAUAGAAUUAUAUAAUAAGAAAAUUUUUUUAGAUAUUUUUAAUAUUUUAAAUUUUUUAUACAAUUUAAAUUUUAUGAAAAGAUAGUUAAUUUUAAUUUAUGAUUUUAUACUUUUAUCAAUUUUCUGAGAGUAUUUUAAGAAAUAAAUUUAAGGGGCGUUAAAAGCUCUACUUAGUUGAACGCAGAAGAAGCCCAGUUUUGAGGCCCAGUAGAUUAAAAACGAUCCACGUGACAUUGCUGUACUUUGAAUGACGAGGCAUCCGAGUCAUCGAACUCUUUUUCUCUGCGGCAAUUAAGCAAACAGGUAGCAGGAAACCGUUGCAUUUGCAUAGGUGAGUUCCCACUUUCCUCGUAAGCUGCCAGUUCCCACUUUCCUCAUUCCACAGAUGCUUUCUAAGUUGCCAUUGCUUGUAUUUUUGUUUGUUUCUUCUGAUCUGUUUUCUUUGUAUUUAUUUGAUUUCUGGGAAUGAAAUUUUAAUAUCGUAUUAGCCUAUAAAUAUAAAUAUAGGCUCUAAAUUGAAUAAAUAAUAUGAGUCCUAAAGAUUAUAACUUUGAAUAUGUAUGUAAUGCUAAUGUAAUGCAAACGCCAUUACUAAUAAUUCUCUGUACAUUGUCGUGUCAUGUCAUGUCAUGUCAAGCUUUCCGGUACUACUCGUGUUGUUCUUUUUUAAUCCAAGAAUUUUCCUGGAAGUUUCCUAGGUUGGUGUUGGUGGAAUAUAUAUAAAUCAAUAUUGCUGUCCAUACAUGGCAUGCCAUUUUGAAACUUCUCUAGGAUUUUCAAUACUUGUCUUACAAUUAUGCAUUCUCUAUACUAUGGAGGGUUUGAACUCAUCUGUAAAUUCAACGGUUGGUGUUUUUCCUCUGAUUGUUGUUUUCUAUUAUCUUGAUAUGGUUUGCACAUGUGCCUGUAAUCUAAGUCUUCUGUGGUUUGAUUUGAUUUCAGCUACUCUGAAUAUGCAAAACAUUAAAGAAACCAUCUUGAGGUAUGUUAGGGUGAGGGGAUUCAAUGAAACUUACUGGUCCUACACUGGGACUGGGAGCAGGAAUGUUCUCAAGCAACUAAGUCGGCAGAUGUGUGCAUCAACCAGUGCCAAUCCUGACGAAAUAAUGCAUCGAGUGAUUGCACUGGUUAAGAAAUUUGACAAAACUGAUGCUCAUAAGGUAAUUAAUUGAUGGUGUCUCUGCAAUUUUCCAUGAUCCAAUUUAAUUAGGCUGUUUUUUAGAGUACACUGCUUCUUGGGUUGUUUAAAAUGGGCAAGAACUGUUAUGUGUGUGAUAUGAUUACCAGGUCACCGAAACAGCUGAUUUCCAAAAAGAUCUGAGCCUGGACAGUUUAGACAGGGUGGAGCUCGUCAUGGCUUUUGAGGAAGAGUUCUCCGUUGAAAUCCCUGAAGAGAAAGCAGAUAAGCUUACGUGCUGUGCAGAUGUUGCAAGAUACAUUGCUUCUGAAGCCGGUGAAAAAGAAUGUUAAGUCCCAAUGUUGCUUCUAAUUUACAUGUGCCUAGUGGAUGCUUUGGUUUUGAAUUUUGGGUUGCCAGGUUGCUUAAUUUCCUGUUAUUGUGGAUGUAAAAGACGCAGAAUCUAUAUAGUAUAACUCUUCCUGUUCUUGAUUAUCCCUCUUGUCAGUGCUUUGGUUGUUGAUUACCUUCUGUAAUCCAUUCUUAUUUUAACUCAAAAGUAAUAACAUGCCACUAUACAUCUUCACCGGAACUUGGUAUGUGACAAAAUAUCAUCAAGUAUUUUAUUAUCAGCACUCAAAAGUGAAAACAUCACUCUCAAGGCUCGCAUUGCAGCAAAACAUCAUUAUUUACAUACAUGCACUACCUGCCAUUAACGUUCUUCUUCCCUUUUCCAAUAUAUACUUAAAAGCUAAAAGCUAGAGUGGGAUAGAACCCUAUAUUGUGACUGAAGCGCCAUCGAUGAGCCAUAGUGUCGUCGUAUCCCAAUCUGCUUGUUUCGCCGUGUUUAUAUGUCUACCAUGCAAUCUGUUUGUCGCUGAUUCCUUUGCCAGUGCACGCCCGUAAAGGUUUCGAUGUCCAAUGCAAGAAUCCUAUUCUUCCAGCUGCGUAAGUGCGGAUGCCAUUCCCAACCGAGGAUAAUUUUAGUCCUUUGUGCUUCUUGACAUAAGCUGGUCGACAGUGCGAGUUCUUGGGUAGGCGAAGAACUUUCACUGAACAUGUCUUGUCCAAGUUGGGAGUUGCAUGUAGGUUUGAAGGAAGAUCGAUCAUAAAAUCUCCAUAUUCAUCUGUAAAUGUUUGAGUCUUUGAUAUUAUCUUUCUAUGGCUGUUAUGGCAGUAUACACUCACCAAAGCACCUGCAAAAAUUUAAAAUUAAACCAGACUAUGAUGCUUGUGAUUGUAAAUAGGUUCAGAUUUUUUUCCCCUUAAUUACACCUGUAAACUGUCAAUUUCAUUUCAAAUUCUAUGUAAUUAUCUAGUUUGUAAUUUCAAUAGAUAACGCAAUUUUUUUCUUUUAAUUUCCAGGUCUUAAAAGAGCAAAUUGUUAAAAUAAUGAUGUGACUCGUGCAUUCAUGGAGUUUCAUUUUUGGUAUCAAUGAGGACGAACCAAAAUGAAAAAUUAACUAACCAUUUGAUCUAAUCACUAUUCACUUAAAAGGGACUUUAUACUUUAAUGACAUAAUAAUAAUAUAAAAGCAGCUUAUUGGUUUCACAGCAAUUCAAGUUAAAACACAAGUUCCCACGAAACACCGUAUGUGUUGCUUCAUUUUGCAUCAGCUUGAAAGUUAUAAAUUACCUAAUGGCGACUUUUCACCAAACCUUGCAUGACGUUCGCCCUAAACCUGGAAGGUUUCUUUGAUGACAAGAUUUAAUUGUCAUUUUACAAGACGCUAUGGAAAUACACAGAGAAUAAGUCACUUGUGAAAUUGUCAAUAGGAUUUAACGCCACUUAAUUUCUUGACUAAUUGAAGUUUUGCAUAAUUGAGCAAAAUGAACCUAGCUAUACACACACACACACACACACACACAUACGGUUUGCUUAACAUCGAUCUAAAUUACAAGUGGUGCUAAUAUAUAUAUGCAUACGUAUAUAUUUGAUCUCUACAACAACAAGGGGUCGAAAAGAGGUGUAAAAAUAUCUACAUAAAAUUUAGAAUUAAAGCUAGCAUGCAGGAUCGGAAUGACUGCAAUUUAAAAUGAAAAAGAAAAUUAAUAAAAGAAAGCAUGUAUGUAGGUGUGUGUGUGUGUGUGUGUGUGUGUGUAGAGAGAGAGAGAGAGAGAGAACAUACAUGCAUGCAAGUGUGUGCACUAAUAAUCAUAGCAGGUUAUACUCUGUUACUGAUGUUCAUGUAUAUACAGAAAGAGAAGUUCAGAAGAAUAGAAGAUGAUCAUCAAAUUAACCUCAUGAAAGUGGCUAUUUACCUGUAAUUGGCCAUGCACGGAGCUGAUCAUCUUGACCAUGCAAACAAGCCUCACAGAGAACGGAGCCGGUGACAAGCACCGUUGACAAUUUCUCCUCUCCAUAACCAGCCAUUUGCACCAACUCUUCUCUAGUCGACAACUCGUAUGAGGAGCUCAUCUCCUCCUCUUCCGCCAUUGAACCCUCAAGAAGAAAGAUGAUUAUAAUCAUCAAGUAACUCAUCAUCCUCACAAGUUUGCUGCCGCUGCCGCAAAAGUAGCUCAUCUUCUUUGCGCUUCUAGUUUAAUUUUGUUUCCAAUAAAAAUCUUUGUAUUACGUACGUGUAUAUAUGUAUAUAUAAGCUAGCUAGGUUGGUCAAUAUUUUUCAUAUGAGAGAGAGAGACAACGUGUGUGUGCGUGCGUGAGUAUAUAUAUAAAAGAGAGGCAAUCCCACUUCUGGUUUUAAUUUAUUUAUAGUUUUAAUUUGCUUCUCAAUCUUAGUGACAUACGUAAGAUUACAUUCAUACCCCUUGUACUUUGACUCAACAAAAGUAGGGGUUAAGCCGUGAAGAAGGGGUACAGAAGUCUGAAUAAAUAGUAGAAUUUGAAGGUGGAGGUUGGAUUGGAAGUUAAAAUGUAGGUAGGUAGCCUACUCUUAUCGUCUGCGUCGUCUAUAUUGUUGUUUCUUAACAUAAUGAAUUUAAUGAAGCACACAAAACAUUCGUUCACCAAAGCUAUGAAUGAUAAUUGAUAAUAUCCACAACAAUAUUAAUGCACAAACAACAUAUACACACGUCUUAUAAAUAAUCUUUAUCCUUGCGGGGGAAGAACAAGCACUUUCUUCCCAUUCCCAUUUUCAAGCCUGCCCCAACUAUCCCAUCUGCAACUAACCUUUGUACAAAACUUUUUAUUUUCUUUGUAAGGUGGGUAAUCCAUUUUCAGACUUUUAUACCAAUACUAUAUUAAAGGUAUUAAUUAAUAAAUUCGUGUUGAAAUGUCACAGAUGGCAAAAGAUCAAGUGGGUAGAGUAAAAUUGGGGAAUUACGUGGAUGUGUGAUCUAAUUGAGUAAAGAACAUUUUAACAGAUAUGUUGGGAGUCAUGCAUCUGUCCAUGGCCCAAUUGAAAGCAUACUUUGUACGGCAAUUUAUAUCUUUCUUGGCCGUCAAAUAACGAGAAGCUAGCCCCUUUUUUUUAAAAAAAUGAUUCACUAAUUAACUUAUUAUAAAGACUGAAACUUUGGUUUGUUUUUGUUGUGCUGGAUAAUUAACACUGCCAAAAUAUUAAAAAGCAAAAAACUAAUCUACAUUUUGUGAUGUUUGUGAGAAACAUUUGUCAAUUAUUCGACAUAAUUACUGAAAGAAAGAAAUUGAGUUUAUGUUGCUCUAUUGUGGUUGGCUAUAUGAUGGGAGACAUGUAAUUUCUUAUUAAAGCUUUGUGAUAUAUAGUUGUUAUUUUGUAGAGUGUUGAUCUCGCUCUAUUGUUUUUCCUUUGAUUAUUUAAGUGUGAAGUUCAAUUUUCUGCCCCGUACAAUGAUAUAAGUUAAAUUUCCUCGCUGGAGCUAGAAUGAAUGAUAAUAGUUUAAUACCGUUUUUUUUUUUAAAUUAUUGAUUACUUUUUUUCCAGAAUUAAUCUAAUGGAUACUUUCUGUUGUACUUCAAUCUCUUGAAGUUAUAAAGGAGUGAAGUGAAUUCUAGGCAAAAGUAGAGACUUUCAUAUAGAGAAAGAUAAAGAGGCAAAGGGGAGACAACUCUACCAAAGACACCUUGGUAAAAAAAUUAUUUUCUUGAUGAUAAAUAAUUUACUACCUAUUUGUUACGAAAGGGAAUAAUGGAAUUUUUUUUUUUCUUGGUUUAAAUAAUUCGUUUGCCAAGUAGUUCUUGUUUCUAUUUAAGUCCCUUCAAUUAUGUGCCAGCUUCUUUCUGUAUCUAUUCUAAUUUUUGGUCAUUUUUUCUUUAUAAUUUAUAGGUUUAGUGGGGGAAAUAAUCUCCAAAUAAAAAACUUUCCAUGACUGUAAAAUACAUUUAUUUUUCACGUUUUAUAAAUUAUAUAAAUUAUGUAUUUUGUUUUUUUUUUGUUUUUUGUCCUCUGCAGCCCUCUUCUUUUCUAAUGAUUAACUUGUAAUGUAUACGAACAUGAGAUUUUGAAACUUCAGCUGUUAAGGAUGAGAACCUAUUUUCAUUGCACUACAAGAUUGGCUAUCCUCUUCCUCUGUUAGUAUUAUUGAAAUGUAAAGUGCUCAUAUUAACCCAUAGCUUUGAGAAUUAAUGUUCAGUAGACUAAGAUUUGUAUUCUUUUUAAAGAAUAUAUGGUGAGUCGUUUCGCUACCUACCUACCUAAUACUGCAAUGAAUAUAUAUAUAUAACAAUAUAUAUAGCUCCCCUUCAUGUAUCCUUAUUAUUUUGAUGGUAUCUGGCAUGAUUGAAUUUCUACUUAACCGAAGAGGGUCUUGGAAUUUGAUGGCUUAGUGAAGCUUAUUUUAUAUGCUAUCAAUGAGAGAAUGAAUGUACUGUUUUAUGUAAAUGAAAUCAGCAUAUAAUCCAUGAUGGGAUGGAAAUAAAAUAAAACGAAAUUAUCUUAACUUAUCAGGGACAACAUUGUUAUAUCACAUUCAAGAAAGGUAUAUUCAUUUUGAUGGAUGUUUAUGGUUUGUAAAAUAACGUAAAUUGAUUAGGGGUAAUAUGAACUUUUUCAUUGUAAAAUAACUUAAAUUGUUAGGGUAAGAAAGUUAAAAAGUUUAAUGUUUUUUUUUUAAAUUUGAAAGAGGUAAGUAUCACAGUCCAUUUUGAACUUGAAUGUAAGUAUUUCUAACUCGUAUUGGAGAGUGAAAUAUGUAAUUUUUCCGUAUUGAUUAUAAUAUGAACGUGGAUCCAUCCAUUAGUAAUUGAAUUGCAGCAUGAUGUAAUUAACGAAUACAAUCCUCAUUAUGGAUCUUAAUUUGCAAAAAAAAAAAUCCCUUAAUUUGUCUGGAACUGUUUGAGUUUGAAACAUACCAUGUGAUAUAUGUACGUACUAAAUUAAACUGUGAUCUUUUUGGAGCUUCACGUAUUAAUAAAUCAUUUGCAUGUUUUAGGUUGUUCCUGUUCAGUUGCGUACUUCACUGGAACUGGAAGUGGCGGAGACGGAGAACUACUUAAAUGGAAUUGUUUAACCAUGUGAUGUACUUUUUGUCCACGUGUCAUCUUAAUUAUGUCUUUCUAAGUUGUCUCAUAUUAUAAGGACUGUGAGAGGAAGUGCUGGUUGUGUGCUUGUUCCUUCUUCAAGCAACUUUGUUUUAAAGAAAUGGAAAAGCUAGCGGAUGUGGGAUAGAGAUUCCCUACCAUAUUAAUUAGUAGAAUAAUUAAUUAUAUUUAAAGGCCGCUAAACAUCAAUUAAUUAGGUCAUCUCUUACCCUGGAUUUUUUACAUUACACCAAGGAUGAUACGGUGUGUGUGUGUGUAAAAUAAUCCACUACUUUAAUUUAUUCAAGCAAAAAUAUGUAGCAGUAACUAGCUAACGAAAGCCGCAAGAAGGCUGAACCGAAGCUAAUUAUACUCAUCGGCUUCCAGUAUAAUCUAGGGAUGGCAAUGGGGAGGGGAGGGGAGGGGACCAAUCUCUCUGUACCCAUUCCCGAUAUUUUGCGUAUGUCCAUGUCCCCUCUUCAUUCCUGUCAAAUUUAUUUAAGAGAAUUUUCAUCCCCUCCCCGAAUAAUAACAGGGGAUCCCCGAGGGUCUCCGAUCCCCGAAUAACUAAUACAUUUUUUUUGUUUUCGAUUUUGAGUUAAUCAUAUUAAAAUAAAAAAUUCAAACAAAAGUAAAGUUCGAAAUAUAUCUUACAUUAAUAUCCAAUACAAAAGUCACAUACAUUAAAUUAGUAAAUAACGCAGCAUGCAAUUGAUACAAACUAUCAUGAACAAAUUAAUAGCCUAAUACAAAAUUGUUACAAAUAAAAUCAAAUUUAGAUUCAAAAUUAACUUUUCAAUGGUGGUGUGGGCACUUUAUAAAUGUAGACUAUUACCUUUACAACACAAUAGUUAAGUCGAAGCAAAUCAAGAGCAAAUAUUAGAUUAGAUUAGAUAUUAAAAUUGUGAUUUGCUGUGGGCAAUUAUAACAUCUAAAAAUAAAUAAAAAAAAUAGAUUUAAGUUUAAAAUAUUUAAUGAAUAUUAAAAUUAAAACAAAAAUUUUGGGCUAAUAGAAUCUGUCCGGUCUUUUUAAUGUCCUAAAUAAAAAUUUAGGACUUUAAUUAGUUAAUUAGGCCUAAAAGUUUAAUAAUAAAAUAUUUUGAUAAUUUUUUAUUUUUACCAAUACUUAUAAUUUUAUAAUUCAAAUUUUAUUAUUUAUUUACUAGUAAUUUUUAAAAAUAAAAAUUAAAUUAAAAAUUAAAAUGGGGAAAUGAGUAGGGGAUGCGGAUUCCACCUCAUCCCCGUCCCUUCCCCGAACAAGAAAUUGGGUAAAAAAAUUUCUCCGUCCCUUCCCCGAAUAAGAAAUUGAGUAUGAAAUUAUCCCCAUACCCACCCCGAAUAGAGAAAAUCCCCGAAGAUACCCGUCCCUGUGGGAUUUUUGCCAUCCCUAGUAUAAUCAUUAAUCAGCAAUCAAAUUCCAGAAAGAAUACAUACGCAUGUUUGCACGUUUCCCUUGUUCGGAGCAACAGUACAUUAUGCCCUCAUAAUUUAUUUUACCAUCUAGAAAGAGAAUAUUUUAAUAAUAAUAAUAAUAAAAGAAUACAAGAAUCCAAUUCAAUAGUAUCAUUGACGUUUUAGCUUUUCCUCAUUGAGUGCAGCACUGAAUUGGUAAUGUGUUUAAAACAGACUUUUGAUGAGAAUAUCAUAUCGGUAUCCCUCUCACAGUAUGAUUCCAAGGGCCAAUAAUUAGAUACUACUGCCUUUUGAGGUCCACACUAUUCAAGUAAAAGUAGUGCUUUUUAUCCGAGAAAGCUGAUGUGGUAGGCACGGGAGAAAAUCCAUGAUACCCCCUCGUGUCUACUUUUGCUGAGCAUAUGUCAACUAUGUACUUUAGAAGUUCCUGUUUUUGAACAUAUGGCUGCGCUGCAUAUUCUUCCAAUGGCAUCCACUGUAGGCAGUUUAAAACAGUAGUGUCAGCGAUGUUCACAGGCUGGUGCUAGUGCUAGUGCUGUUACGGUUGCAUCUCAGAGCUAACACUUUUACAAUAUUAUGCCUAAUGUUCGAAAGUUUGAAAUAGAAUUUUUACCUCAGCCGCCUCUAUCUCAGAUUCCUGUUUCUGGAUGUCAAAGGAAAGGGGUCGCAACAUGCACAAAAAGAAUAUAUCUGACUUUUCAAAGAAUGACUGAUGGCUUUGUCUGGAAACAGUGAGAAGAACUUAAAUUUCAAAAGUGAUAAGGAUAGAACUUUCAGCUCUAAGAAUAUAGAUUGGAAAUUUAAAUUGUUUUUUCUUCAUUUAUAAUACCAUGCAUUCAGGUAUUUCAUUACUCUGCAGUACCUAAAUCCUUUUUUUUUUUUCCUGAGAGGUACCUAACUAAAACCAUCUUGAAAGCACAUCUGUAUAAAUAAUUUUGUUUAACAAGAGCACAUUAUGUUCCUUUGUCCUUCCAAAACUAGAAUACCUCCUUUCCACAGACUAGCGGAUGCUAAAAGAAUGCAAUAAGCACCUCAAAUCUUUGCAUCAUUGCCUGACCACAAUGGCACACAGGCAAGGACGUGUAAACUUCAAACUGGAAUAUAAUAAACAACAGUGGUUUUGAUUCUACAUAAAAAAUUCGUUUUAAAAAAAUAACAUACCUGAAUGCAAGUACUUCAACAAAUUCUGUGUCAAUCUGAAUAACCAAAAACCAGCAACUUUAGAAUCGAAGAAGAUCAGUCCAGCUCAAAGAGAAAACAAGAAAUAGCUUGUUUUCAACAAAAUAUAAUACAGACGUGCCUAAUUAAUACUUACUGAUGUUUCUUCUUUGACUUCUCUAACAGCAGCCACACAGAUAUCCUCCCCCUGGAAUAGACAAAACUUACCUAGUUGAGAAAAUAUACACUACAUGUUAUCGGUAAUGACAUGCUAAUUCUGACAUACAUACCUCAUCAACAACUCCAGUAGGAAACUUCCAUAUGCCUGUCCCCCGGAAUCUCCCACUAUUUUCUUGGACUACAAGCACCUACCAUCGAAAUAUGCAAACCAAGAUUUUUUAAGAAAUGAAUGAAGCCACUGUGAAAAUCAAAUGUAUUGAGAGACCUCCAGCACAACUGUUUAGAUUGAAUUCAGUUCCCCUCCGAAAGAGCAUGCGAUAGAAAGUAUUCUUUUAUGAGUUUAAACCAAAAGGGUGCUCGUUCAAAUUAAAAAUGCCAUCAAGAAGAAAGGUUUUAGAAGAACACAAAUGUGCAAUUCAUAAACUAAGGAGAAUCUUUUUUUUUUUUUUUUUGGUUUUUGAGGGAGGAAAAAAAAGGCAAGGGAGUGGGUAGAGCCGAAAUUCAUUUUUUAGCCCCUUAACUCCCUCAAGAUUCAAACCCAAGUGACCAGCUAAAUAUACAGGAUUUGUCUCAUUUCCUACUACUGCCAUAAGCCAUGCAUAAAAUCAACGCAGGUUCAGGAACAAAUUUGGACACUUGAAAUGAUCAACAGGUUGAUUAAAUCUGUUUCAGUUAGAAACCCAUUGGUGCCAGACUAAGCAACAUUAAUAACUAGACUGUAUCACUAGUGUUACAAGUGAAAUUCACAGCACCGAGGGAAGCAGAGCUGUGAAAAACAGGAAAGUGGAGAUGUGAAACCAAACAUAAUUAAAUUACACAGAAAUGGAGCAACAGCAUUGAGUCCUAGCAGCAUAUGCCUUCUUGCAGCUGCAAGGAGGCUAUCAGCCCUGUUAAAACAUGUAAGCGAGUGGAAAGCGCUAUCCCCUUGUAUAGCCCAAAAAUUGGACCAAAUAAAGGGAGAAGAAAAUCCCAAGACUACGAAAAUGAAGGGGACGAUCAUUAUACGUGCAUAAGAGCUUCCUAUUUACUUGCAAUGUCCUCAACUUCACAGCAGAGAGAAAGUAAGAAUCCGGAGUGCUAAAAUUCAAUAAUAUACCUCCCUCUUUCCAUUCAUGACGAAUGCACCAACUCCCACCCGGUGAGAGGCAUUUGCAGGAAGAGUAUUAGCCCCUCCAGGAAUCCAAUAUACAAGCAUUAAAUAAUUUGGCUCUGCAUGGUGGAACCAAAAUCCUUCCUGCACAGCAACAUAACAGAACAAUAGUUAAUGCCCCAGUGGGACUAAACCAACUAACAAAAAUGGCAGAAUCAAACUUCAAAAUCAGCAUAAGCCGGUCAGGAGCCACAAAAUUCAAAUUUUAUAAAACAGACAGACCUUAACUGCAGGUUCAACAAGAUUGGCUAGCUCAAUGGGUAGCUUGAUCCAAACACCCUUUUUGGCCUACAAUUACAAAACAGAAUAGACAAUUACAUAGAUUGAAAUGAAAAAACUAUGAAUCAUAUAAAUGACCCUGCAUAAUUUGCAAUAAUAUGCAAUCAUCUGGAGAUAAUUGUAAUGCAAUAAUCAGUUCACUUGCGUUACCACCUGCUGCCUCCAGUGUGAGAUGGAGGAUUUAAGCAGUGAAGCAAAAAGCUGAGGAUCCAUGGGCUCAUUCAUUUGAACGACAACACCUCCAUAGUUAUCGUUGAUUCCAUUUAGAAAUUUGUUUACAGUUGCUGAUGACGAAUUCACUGAAGCUGACAUGGCUCUGAUAUUGAAACAACCUGGAAUAACAAACAAACUGACGCAUCAACUAAAAUAUUUCAAAAUUUCCAGAAAUUAUAAAGUCAGAAUUACCUGUUACACGAGCAUGUCUUGCAGCAAUGGUGUUCCUAGCAGAAAACAAGAAGAAGAAGCUGCGAUUAUAUGGCAAUAAAACUCUAGAAACCGCUUUGAUCAUUUUUACAUAAAUUUGAAAUAUUAUUUAUAUAUAUAUAGAUCCCAUUUAAAUAAGAAAGCGAAAGACGGAAUCUCAACCCUUUAUCGCCGCCCUUGAACUCUGAUUCUUCCGUUGAUUUUCAACGAACGAAAUGCAAGGUCAUCUGACGUCUAAAAUAAAUUGGACUAGACCCUCAACCCCUCCCUUGCGUUUAGUUUACUUCGUAAAUUCGCUACUAAUAUUUGUUUACACCAAUCUUAUCGUAGAAUUCCCUCAACACAAAUCUAUUAAUUUCACUUUUAUAUUUGGAUAACAUUACGAUAAAUAUACGCCUGAAUUAAUAAGUGAAUUUCAGGAGUAUAUAAUAGUUAAAUCAUUUGAAUUUGUACAAAAAAAAUUAAUUAAUUUAAUAAUCUGGUCAAACUUUGACGUGAUUGUUUAGAAUUCGACACAAAUUCAACCUACCAAUUUAGAUUUAGAUCACGGACCGGAGUAGGGAUGGCAACCAAAUUUGGGCCCGGAUUGGAUCCGGACUGAACCCAGAAAAUCUGGUCCGAGUUCAAUCCGUACCAGAAUAAUUUUUAUGUGAAAUUUAGAUCAGUUUUUGAGAACCCUCAUACUUUCAGGUCCGAAUCCAGGUUCAGGUGAACCCGUAAAUUCAGAACCCGGAUUCGGAUAUUAUUUAUUUUAAUAUUAAUUUUUUAGAAAUUAUUAAAUAUAAAUAGAAAAAUUAAAAAAAAAAAACAAAAGGGAAUCCUAGAAUCUAGAUCUCUCAUUCCUCUCUCGAUCUCUCACUCUCUCACCCGUUCCUCUCUCAAUCUCUCUCACAUGUUCCUCUCUCAAUCUCUCACAGCACGAGCCCACUCGUGCCGUGCCCAAAAAAAUCCAUCAAUUUUUUUUGUCCACAUGUUCAGCGUGCCUAAAAAAAUUCACGUGUCUGGCGUGCUUUAUUCAAGCCCGCGUGCUUGGCGUGUUUUUUGAAGCCCACCAGCCUAAUAAUAACAAUAAUUUCAUAAAUCAUAAUAAUAAUUAAUGAAAAAUAAAAUUAAAAUUCUAGAAUAACAAUUACAUCUAAUUUUAUUUAAACUAUUAAUAUUAUAAUUGCACAUAAACUCUAUUGAAUGAAAAUGUAAUUUUUAAUUUAUCAUAAAAAUAUUUUGUUCAUAAUUUUAUUUUUUUGUGCAUAAAUAUGAAAAAUAUUUCAUUUACAAAUGAAACAUAUCUCCAUUAACUAUUAACUAAGUUAUGAUUUCAUAAAUGAAAUAUUAAUGUUGUUAAAAUUUUAUUUAUCAUUUAUAAAAUCAUGAUAUUUAGUAAUCUAUUUAAUAAAUUAUAAACAUAAAAAAAUUAGAAUAUUUAUUUAAACUAGGACCUAAAUUAAUUUUAAAAAAGUCUAUGCUAAAAAAAUAUAUUAAAAAAUUUCAUUUCAAGAUAUUUAUAAAAUCAUGAUAUUUUAUAUUUAUUUUCAUUAAAAAUUUUAUUUUGAUAUACUUUGAUCCACGUGCUAUUGGGGGCUCACGAGCCGCGUGCUUAGCACACUAAUGAAACGUGCUUAUUACGUGCCUUUUCGCGUGCUAUGCUUUCCAUCUCUAAUCGUGUCGUGUUUUUUUAAGGUCUGCGUGUCUAAAAUUCUAGGCCCGGCACAACACGCAUAAACCGAAAUGUGCUUGUGUCGUAUCGUGCCUCGUGCCGCCCGACCCAUUGACAAUCUCUAAAAUAUACACUUGAAUUAAUAAGUGAAUUUCAUGAGUAUAUAAUAGUUAAAAUCAUUUGAAUUUGUAUAUAAAUUUAAUAAUCUGGUCAAACUUUGACGUGAUUGUUUAGAAUUCGACACAAAUUCAACCUAGCAAUUUAGAUUUAGAUCACGGACGGGAGGAAUCUAAAUGAAAAACAAUUACAAGAUGUAUUCUUACUGUAAUUCCAUUAAAAGUUAGGGACUCAAUGUGAUUCCCAGAGUUUAACAUCGCUGAUGAGGUGGAUAAAAGGGUUAACAUAUAUUGUUGUGUUUACUUGCUGGAGUGGGAGUGAGGAGUGUGGAUUCUUCUCACUCCAGCGUUUAUUUACUUAAAAUGGGGAGGGAUUGGGAGUCCCACUCCGUGGGCCCCAUCCAUUUUUGGAGUGAGGAGUGGGAGUGGGACUCCCAUUGGGGGAGGUGGGAGUGGGAAUCCACUCCCACCUCUCCCAUUUCUACCUUUUUAUUUUAUUUUAUGUUUUAUAAUUAAUAAAAUAAAAUAAAUAAUAUUAUAUUUAUUUAAAUAAUAAUAUUAUAUUUAUUUAAAUAAUAAUUUACAUUGAUUCUAAGUUAAAAUUAUUUUAAAAUAAUAUUAUUAUAUUAAUAGAGAAUUAAUAAAUAUAAUAUUAUUAUAUUUAUUUUAAAAAUAAUAGUACUAUAUUUAUUUAAUAAUAAUAAUAAAUACUUUAUUAUAAGAAAAUAUUAAUUUUGUACUAAAUAAUAUUAUAUUAUUAUUUUAUAUAAUAAUAAAUUUAAUAUAAUUAUAUUAAAUAAAAUAAAAUAACAUUUCAUUUUAUAUUAAAAUUACAAUUAAUAAUUUAUUGUUCAUAAUUAAGAAUAUUAAUAAUUAUAAUAAAUUUACAAAUAUAAUAAAAUAAAUAUUAUUCAUUAAAUAUAUUUUUUAUUAGUUUUGUAAUUAAAAAUUAUAAUUCUUUAAAUAAGGAUAAAAUUGUAAUUUGAAACUAUUUACUCCCAAUCCAAGACAAAGUAAACACAUAAAUUGAAUUCUGAUCUUCAUUCCAUGCUUCCAUUCCAGUGUAAGUAAACAACCUACUCCCACUCCCACUCCACACUCUCAAUCCUAGGAUUCUCACUCCCCAGGAUUCUCAAUCCAAUCCAAAAAGUAAACGCUACUAUAGAGUAGUGUUAGAGAGAGAGAAGCACGAGAUAAAUAUGAGAGAAUUUUACUCGUACAAAAACAUGGGUAAUCUCUCACAAAAAAUAAAUAAAAGAACGAACAAACGAAAGGAUUCCCAAACUGCCACGUCAGAUCAGUGGCAGAACCCGAAAAUAUCCAAAGGAACGGGGAGCAAAUGGUAAAUAUGGGAAACGCAUUUUACCUCUCCUUUCUACAAUGAAUUUACAAUGAACAUUUCAUUUUCACCUUUGCUUCUGAAAAAUUAUCAACAUUAAAAAAAAAAAUUACUUUACCGCAGAAAUGGAAAUACGAACUGGCGACCGGGAAAGCGAGUUCCCGCAACAAAUAACGCCUUUUCCGGAGUCAAUAAAUCAACCGCCCGUAACUGAGUCAGUGAAUGCGCCGCUGCAGAAGCUGCGUCCGAUCAGGAGGUCUCCGGCGGACGAUCCGCCGAGUUUUGAGGCGGCUGCUGACAAGUCUUUAAAGUUCGGCUCGGGUUCAGUGGCGGAGAGUUUGGGUCCGAUGUCUAUGUGGUUUGAUACGGAGGACGAGUCUAGGUACGUUAUUUUGCGGGUAUUUUUUAUAAUUUGGGAACAAAAAAGAAUGUUUCUUUUUCCAGUCUUUUAAUUUUUAUUGAUUUUAUAUGGUAAAGGUUAUAAUUUCUGUUAAUUUAGAUAGGAAAAGGUGUUUGCUUUUGUAAAGCAUAUAAAGGUAGAAAGGCAGCCAAAAUGGUGUACGAGAGAGGGAAAAAAAAGAAAAGAAGAAGGCAUUUUUAGAUAAUUUUGAUUUUUGAACGUGAAAAUUGGGGAAAAUGGGGAGAGGACGAAUUUUGGUUUAUUUGAGUUAUUUUUAAGUUUAGUUAAAGUGUGGAUUGGUGCCAAAAUUGUAAAUAGGGUUGUGAGUUGUGAAUGUAGUAGUUUAUUAGUAUUAGGGGUGCAAUUGUGGAAGUGUUUGUUUUUUGGUUUGAAGAUACAUUUUUAAGACUGAAGGCAAAAGGGGUUUAGCUAUGAAGUGGGGAAGAGAGACUGUGGAUGGUUGAUUAACUGUUUUAUGGGAUUGUUAUUAGAUUAUAAUAAUUGAAUUUUAUUCAUUCAUUAUGUGAGUUGACUGCAGGAACUACUUCCUUGUGUGGUUGCUCUCUCUGCUGUAUUAUAGUGGCCUAUAAAUAAUACAUUCUGUUACUAGUAUCUUAAUCUCAUCUUCAUUUCUUGAAAAGUCAAAUUGAAUGAUUCUUCUCUGUUUCCAGUUCAUCUUCAGACAGUGAUAUUCAUGUGGAUUUAUUCACUGAGAUCAAAGAACCUGGAAGUCAAAAGAGGAAAAGGAAGACUAGGGUGAAGAUCGAGACGUUUUUGGAAAGUUUGGUGAUGAAAAUAAUGGAUAAACAAGAGCAGAUGAAUAAGCAGUUGAUAGAUAUGAUAGCAAAGAGGGAGAGGGAAAGAGUAAUCAGAGAAGAAGCUUGGAAGCAGCAAGAGAUGGAGAGGAUGAAAAGGGAUGAGGAGAUAAGAGCCCAGGAGACAGCUCGUAGCAUAGCUCUCAUUUCCUUUAUCCAGAAUUUUUUAGGCCAUGAGAUUCAACUUCCUCAACCAGCAACGGUCUCAAAUGUGGAAGAAAAUGGAAGCAAGGAUGGCAGAAAUCAUGCUGAAAACAACAUCACGCAGAAUGCAAAUAACAGAAAGUGGCCAGAAGCCUGUGAUCCUAAUAGAAGAUGGCCAGAAGCUGAAAUACAAGCCCUUAUAAUGCUUCGAACUACUUUGGAACAUCAAUUUCAUGGUGUGGGUUCCAAAUUCUCCUUAUGGGAGAGGAUAUCUGAUGGGAUGCGGAAGAUGGGCUACCAUCGGAGUGCGAAGAAGUGUAAGGAGAAAUGGGAAAACAUGAACAAAUACUUCAGAAAAUCCAUGGAAAAUGGGAAGAAGCAUCUUGAAAGAAGUAAGACAUGUCAAUAUUUUCAUGAUUUGGAAAUGUAUAGGAAUGGACUCAUUAAUCCAGGGAAUGUAACAAACUUCCCUAACUUCGAAAAUUUUUCCGAGAGUGAUGCCUCGAACUUUACAAAUCAAGAGAUUGCUGCCAAGAUUGAGGAUUAAACAUGAAGAACUUCUGACAUAUUUUAGCACAAGUGACCUAAAGAUGAUGGUGAGAGCUAAAUAUGGUAGGCACCUGACAUCUUAGUGUCUUUGCCUCGUAGCUACAUAUCCUUUGCAAUCAGUAUGUUUGUGUAUUCUCUUCAGAGAACUUUAAUGCAUUAUUCAUUAACCUUUGACCAUGUGGCUUUAUCAUCUCUUUGGAUGAAAUGCAUAUUCAUUAACCUUUGAUCAUGUAGUUUUAUCAUCUCUUUGGAUGAUCGCAUAGAAAGUCUUUUGCAAUUAUUUGCCCUACAAAGCUGUCAGAUGGUAUGUGGCAAGAAGAACGGAUUGAGGACUAUCAGGAAUUUGAACAAAAGAAUCUCUGACAGUCCAUUUUGUUAUUGUCCAUUAGACUUGGCAAUUGGAAUGCAAUAUGACUAGGCAUGAGCAAAUUCGCCCUAUUGUUUUACUUUUUUUUUUUUUAUUUGAUCGUGGGGUCAUGCUACUUUACAUCAACUCAAAAUUAGAUUUUUGUAGUACUCAAUUAUUUGGGUUGUCAAAUAAUUAAAAGAAUAAUUUUGGGUCAGCUGUAAGUUUGUAGAUAAUGUAACUUAAUAGCUGCCUCGAUUGUGAUAUGAACUUUCUUUAUGCUCACAUUAUGAGGCACAGCUGUUCGGCUCACAAAAAUGUCGGUGUGUAAGGGUAUAAUUGUUGUACUGCCCUUAAAGAUGCAACUUUGAGGGCAUUGCGGCACUCGGAAUGAGAGUUUGUAUGAAUGAAUCUUUUAGAAUCGGCGUCUGAUGUUAAUUACGUAUAUCAACAUCCAAAGUAAAACUAGAUUUUCGCAGAUAAUUACAUAUCACCAUUUGACAAAUAAUUUCCGUCGCAUUGGUUUUUUCUUUUUUCUUUUAUUCAUACAUACAGCAAGAUAAUUGUUCCAUUACGGCAUUGUCCAGAAUCACUCUGGGCAAUAAAGCCUUCAGCAGUUCAGCCCUUCAGAAAGAGAAUUCAGAGGCAAACACAAAACAAGCAAAAAGUAACGAAGAUAAAUAAACCAACUGCUUUAUUGCGGGUGAAAGACAAAAUCCAAUAAUAUAUGUACAUCCAUGCAUAAUCCAGAAACAGAAUCCAAGUAAACAUUUACAUGUCCUUCAUCACUUGGAAGCAUAAGAAAGAUACAAGUAAAUGGCGACCAAAACUGCAGGGAAGAUGAGAAAGAUGAAAACAGGAGGAGGUGUCAAUGGACCCAUUAUCAGUGGACCAAAAAGAAUCACAGCAGCCACAAUCAGCAUCAUCAUUACUGAACCAAAACCGCACCCAUAUUCUUCCAUCUUUGAUCUUUCCCCAAGACAAGUUAGUUAAAUAUCUGGGAAAUCUGUGUCUUAACAAAGGUAAGUGGUGUUUCUUAACACAAGAGUAGGGAAUAUUUGAGACGUGAAUUAAUCCACACACACACACACACACAUAUAUAUAUAGAUAGACACACUAGUGUGCAUGGUGCUGCUUGGCAAAGGAUGCAACUAAUUGGGUAACAACGAUGCAUGCAAUUUAUACUUCAUUCGACACGACUUUUGCGGUCUUUGGCUAACGUUUCGCCUGUUAGUGUUAAUAACACCUUAUCCCCCAUGUAUAUAGAAAAGUGCUUCCUCCCCCCCCCCCCCCCCCCCCCCCCCCUCUCUUUCUUUCCUUUGGUAAUUUAAUUAGUGUAAAAAAAAGAAAAAAUAAAAAUAAAUAAAUCUAUAGAACCCACUUUGAAACCAACUGCUACACGAAUCCUCACUCACCCAGAAGAUCCACUGAAAAAGCAAAACUUCAUUCGCGCAAAUCAUUCAUCUAUAUCUUCCAUCAAUAGCUUCAAACAAAUAAAGCGUGUCUGGCUAGAGAGGGAAUUUCCCUCUCUCGAUAGGCAUUUUACUUUUGCCUUUUUUUUUUUUAUAUUUUAUAUUUUUCCGAAUAGGUUUUAUCAACUUCCGUCAAGACUAUUUUUCAGUGACCUUUUCGAUGGUGUUGCUUUGGCUUUGGUUUUUUGGAUCGCGAAAAUACGCACGCUUAGCAUUGGAGGUGGUUGUGCCGACUCCCAUAGUGCUGCGUGGAGAUGCUGAUGGUUCGAUAGUGGCAAUCUUUGUAUUGGAGGAUUCCCGGAGAAUUAUUUGGAUGAUAGUACUUUCAAUGAGUCACUCUUCUUGAACUUUAGCUUAAGGUUUGCUAGUGACAUUGAUUUAUGCUUGCUGAUUGUCAACUUUGAUUCAUUGUAUGUGGUGCAUAUAUAUAUAUAUAUAUAUAUAUAUGUAUAUAUGGAAAAACUCCAGAAAUUCUAGUGGCCUAAUGAUGGCCUAAUCGUGGCCAGCCGCUGCUCAUGCCGCCCUUAAGCCGCUGGUCGUGCCAGAAUUGGGAAAGAUCAAUGGUUAAAUUGGAGAGUAAAUUAAGUUCAUUGUGUUUCAGAAUAAUUAUAGGUUCGUGCUUCAUAGAGAAAUUGCCUUGUGUUUGAAACCAACCAUAUAGGAUUAUAUAUGUUGAAUUCGUAGAAAUAUGACUUUGUAGCACGCAUAUGGAAGUUGGAUUGCAGAAUUGACAAUUAAUAAUGAUCUUUUUUUUUUUAAAAAAAUUUUCCUUGGGUCUCGUAAUUCUGAUCUGAGAGCACUUAUGAUAUGUACAUUAUUGCUGCAUAAUAUUUUGGGCUCUAUACUUUUUGUUGUUUGUGACUAUCUUGCUUUGCCGUUGGUGAUGAAAUGUUUAUAUGGUAUAGAAAUCUUAUCAAUGUGGAUUUGGUUGCUUAUUCCACAUUGGCUAUAUAUAUAUAUAUAUAUAUAUAACUAUAACGCGGGGUAACGGGGCAGGCAAUUAAAGGAGAAAUGAAUUAAUAUGCCAUCUCACUGAAAUGUACAAGAGUCGGGGACUCUUUGAUAGAUAGAUCAACAGGCAACAGCUAUAGGUUAAGCCUAGUGUUUAGUACCGGCAAUUGCAAGCCUCCUCGUUCACAUCGCCCUCAGUUGCCACGUGCUUCCAAUUUUGGUCCACUGUUGCCAAGUAUUUGCAACUCUGUGGGUGACGCUCUCUUUCACAUCCAAAACCCAACCAAAUAUAUUUAAAGAUUUCUUUCUCAUAAUCAUAGGUAGAGUCUAACAAAUUCUUGACCAAGAAGCUAGUGAUAGUUUCGAAUUAGAGCAAGCACCAGGAGAGAUGGAAAGAACUGGAGGCUUCCGUGGCUACCGCCAGCAGCUCCCCAACGCAAGCCGUGGUAAUGUAUAUGAACGAACUAGUCCAACUAACCAACCAAAGAUCUUUCGUUGCUUUUUUGUUUAAUUUUGAGUUUCGAGUCCUCUUCUCUUCUUUCAUGAAAGUGAAUAACUCUGACAAAAGUUUUCAUGUUAAUAUUCACCUGCGACUUGCUCGAAACUGCAAAAUCUUUCAUGCGUACUAAAUUUUAAAAAUUAUGUUGUGUACCUUUGCAUGUUGCAAAAUGCAAAUUCGAGGCUAACUUUAGACAUUAUUGUUUAGCCACGGAUUUGUAUUUUAAAAUGACGAAAUUUUAAAUAAUCAGCCUGCUUUCAGAAGUAUAUAUAUAAAAGAGAGUAGAGUACUGAUCUUGUCACAUUUUAUUUAUAAAUAUAUAGACGAACAAAUAUAAAAUUUUAAUAUAUUAAAAAAUUUAGUUUUCAAUGUAUUAAAAUUAUUAUUUUUUAUAUUUAAUUUAGUAGCAUCGUCGUCUCUUUAACUUCCUUGUUAUAGAAGAUGUAUAUAUAUAUAUAUAUAUAUAUAUAUAUAUAUAUAAAGAUAAAUAUAUAAAGAUAAUUUAUCUUUCCUUUUCCUUUUCUUGCUAGACAAAUUCAUUUUUCUAGUAAUAUAUAUAUAUAUAUGCUACAAGUUACAAGCCAGACAUUCUCUCAAUUAAUUUCUUUCUAAUUAUAUAUAUAUAUAUAUAUAUAUAUAUAUAUAUAUAUAUAUGUAUAUAUAAUAUCAGAUGCCUUAAUUAAUUUGUUUAUAAUAUAUUUAUCUUGUUUGUUUGUGAACACUAGUUAUCCCAAGUUGAUCAGUACUAGCUAGCUCUCGCAUUCACAUGUGAUGCUGCAAAUUAAGAAUAUUAGAUAUGGCAGUGCGCGUAGCACGUACAGUCGAAGUGGAAGGGAAAUGGGGUGAUGAAAUCUUGUAAACGUACACUUAGCAGAGGACUGUGUACAUGUGGCAUGCAUCAUGCAUGCAAUAUGUGACUCCUCAUAAAACAAGUGGCAUCCAUGCAUUUUUUUUUUUUCCCAUCACUAAUUUAAUUAUUUACCCAGUCAAUUUAAUUUACACUUUAUUUCUGUCCUUAAAUUUUCCCCCAACUCCGUCCUCUACUUACCGGCUACGGCUGCCUUUAUUUUUAUGUUUAAUUUCCUAAGCUAACUAGCUUUGCUUUUAAACUUCUAAAAGCCUCGCUAGCUAGCGAUAGACAUAUUAAGUGUUUUAUUUUUAAGUUAGCCAGUAAAUUAUACUUCUUUAGUUAAUUAAUUAAUUAAUUAAUUAAUUGGAUAUCUCGGACCGACUGGCAGUGGUAGGUAAUUAUAACAGUCGUAGGUAAUAGCACUUCUCUCGAAGCUCUGAUGUGCCUACAACACAACAGAACAAAAUUAAUCUGGCUGAUGCCAUGCCACUUCUGUUUUUCCGUUUCCAUUGAACAUUUGAACUGGAUAAAAACAGCUUAUGAUAUUGUCGUUUUGUUUAGAUAUUUAUAAUUACGUGGAGAAAAUUAAUUAAUUAAUAAAAUUUGUUUUUGCGGCAGGGCCAGGGCUGAAGUUCACAGAGACGAAUAUCAGACUAGCAUCGGCUCAUGAGAUUAAUCAAACCAAUAAUAAUAACCACACAAAUUAUGAAGACAACGAAUGCACAGUGCGGGAACAAGACCGUUUCAUGCCAAUUGCUAACGUUAUAAGAAUCAUGCGCAAAAUCCUUCCCCAGCAUGCCAAAAUCUCAGACGACGCGAAGGAAACAAUUCAAGAAUGCGUGUCGGAGUACAUCAGCUUCAUAACCGGCGAAGCCAACGAGCGCUGCCAGCGCGAGCAACGCAAGACCAUUACCGCUGAGGACGUGCUUUGGGCGAUGAGCAAGCUGGGCUUCGAUGAUUACAUCGAGCCGCUCACUGUUUACCUCCACCGCUACCGUGAAAUGGAAGGGGAGCGGGGUUCAAUCAGGGGCGAGCCGCCGUUGGUCAAGAGGCCGCCGGUUGAGUUUCGUACACUGGGUGUUGCAGCAUUUGCGGCCCCAGCAGCAGCUUUCCACCAUAUGGGACUGGGACGUGGACAUGGCUUUCUUGGAGCUGCAACUGCUGCUGCUGCCACGGGGACUUACUUCAACAACAACGAUCCUUCCAAUAAUAAUACUGCGGCGGGGUCAUCACAGCCUGCCGUUGCUAAUGGUGAAACUUAUGCUCACAACAAAUAAGACAGUGCUGAUCAGAUAGAUGAAACGCAAGCCGCACUAACCUAUCUCUACCUAGACCUGCUAAUUAAUGUGACAAUAACCACCUGCUCAGUUUCUUGUUAGUGAGAGAAUAAGUUUGGUGUUUUUAACUGUUUUUCUUUUCUCUUCUUUUUCAUUCUGACAACAAAAAAAAAAUUGUACUGAACGUUUUCUUGCUGUUAGACAUCGACCUGAUGUUGUUGUAGGUAACGAACUCCGCUACCCGCAUGCGACACAAGUAACUAUCAUUAAUUUCGAACAUAAAAUAUACAAAUAUAAAUAUAAUAAAAAAUCGGAAACCAUAUUUGACAGGCUCUACUCUCAGGUAAGAUGACAUAGUUUUUCAGAUCUAGAAAAUGCACCAAAAAUAUUCUUCCCUUGCUAACUAUCGACUUGAUUACAUUCACAUUUCACACUGAUGGGGCAAGCUGCAAGCCAUACAUAAGGAAAAUUAAAAAACUCAGAUUGAAAGAAUCGAUUUCAUUAGUUAAUUUUAUUCAUUAGCAACUUAGAAGACAUGGUUCAAAUGAAACGCCAAAAUUGUUUCAGCUGGUCAGCUCUUCUAGCUAUUAGAAGCAGCUUCAAUACACUGCUUUUUUGUCCCAGAUUCAUUGUCUUUCUCCUGGCAGUCUUCCUCAUCUUCUUCUCCUUGGGGUUCUCCUGAGUCAGCUUCACAUCUUUUCCUUUGAGGAAUUACUUGAAAGAAAGAAGCCUCCCAAUCCCUUGUUUCCAGGAACUUGAGGAGUAUCUCCAGCACUUGGUUCACCGUUAAAACCUGCACUCAGAGGAGCAGUACACGAAGAAUCAGUAACCAAUUUUCAAAAUUUGCAAUCUCUAGCUGUUCAAGACAUGAACUUAUUGGAAAAGAUUCCUACAUGGCAAGUCAAAAGAACAAGACACUGCAGCAUUUAGCUUACUUAUUCUCACAAUCAAACCUCAUGCAAUCCAGCGAAGCCAUAAAAGUUGUACUGGCUAUAAAAUAAAUGAAUAAAAAUAAAAAUACGGCUUGAAUUAAAAAAAAAAACAAACAAGUAUGCAACCUGCGUUAAAGUUAUAUGAGCUUUCCUAUCGUUUAAUCUGGUUAGAUGAUCAAUAAAAUUUGUAGUUUUCAUCAACCAGAAUCAGAUUGAGGCAAUAAAAGAUCCAAGACCAAAGGUUACCUGAGAGCUCGACAUCUUUAAGUAAUUUCCUAUAGGUAGUUUGCCCGUUUGAAUUCCCUGCUCUUGAGCUUUCUUCAUGGUUAUACCUUUCCAGCGAUUCCUAUCCACCAAGCCACCAACAAUAUAAAUUUUAUUUGGAUCAAGGUCAUCCAGAACUGUAUCGGAAUCAGCUGUCAGGUACACAAGAUUCUCCUUCUGAUCUUCCAAUGCUUCAAUGUAUGAUCGAUUUUCCUUCUCAAUUAUCCAUUUAUCAAAUCCCGGAAGCCUCUGCAAUUGGCUUUCCAUAUCUCCCUUGCACCCAGUCAACCACAAAUGAGCAGGCGACGGACAUUUUCUAUUUACAGCAUAACAGUACAUAAUCUGCAGGGUUCCAUUCAAAGCAAACGAGUUUAGAAAUGAAUCAUUUUCAGUAUUACAUUUUAGAGGUACUGCAGGUUAUUUAAUUCCCAGAUGGUUGCCGAGAAAUGAAAUACUAACUUUCAACUAUAACUGUAAGCGGGUGUGGUGUGUGGCCGGUGAACAUUAACUGCCAAGUAAAAGUUAGUUAUCGAUGAACUUGGUUGCGGCAUUUUUUACAAACAUGCCUGUAAACAAUGAUACCUGUUGAACGAGGCUUUGAAUUUCAGCACGACUCAUGAGAUGAGAGAAUUCAAGAUCAAUGAUGAUGUUUUGUCCGUUUUCUUUAGCUUUUGUGAGUCUCUGGAUCUUGUGUUCUCUCUCCUCAGACCGUUUCUCCAUUCUCUCUUUCCUUUGACCUUUCCUCUCCUCGAUCAACUUUGACCUCUCCUCCUCCGACAAACUGGCCAGCUUCUCCUCCCAUUCCCUUCGUUUUCGCUCUCCUUCUCUCUUCUUCUCCACUUUCAUCUUCGCUUUCUUCUCGGCUUUUCUAGCUUCGUAUCUCAGCUGCUUCAACCGCUUCUUUUGGGCCGUCUUUGAUAGACCGCUCGGCUGUGAAUUCACUUGCACUUCGGAGAUGUUUUCGCUGCCUUCGCCGUUUUCUUCUAUGAUCUCCAUUGUUUGCAGAGCCUUGCUUCUCUCUCUGUGUAAAUCCCAGUAUGAGGGGGUUUUGCUUAGGGUUCUGUUUUGGCCUUUCGAUUGGGGAAAUGGAAAUAGAAAAAACAACGACGUCGUUCUGUGCCUUUUUCGCUUUUUUUUUUUAGUUUUUUACUUCCUUCUUUUCAUUCCUCUUCUCUCUUGUCAUUUAAAUAAUAAAAAUAAAAAUAAUAUUUUUUUUAUUUUACUUAUUUUUUUUUCCUUCUUUCUUUUCAUUCCUCUUCUCUCUUGUAAUUUCUUCCAACUAAAUAUGAGUUUCAUGAAUCGAAUAUAAUUUUAUUUGAUUGGCUAUUUAAGUUCAAGAUCGAAAAAGGUAGGGAUUGAAAAGUUGAAUAUAGACUUUGCUGAUUUAUCUGUUCUUUUAAAAAUAAAAAUACAAUAGCUUAAUAUUUAAAAUUAAUUGUUACAUGAUAUUUAUUUUAUUAAAUGAUAAUUUAAUGAGCCAAAUAUUUGAUAGUUUUGUAUCAGUCAUAUAAAGUGCCUAUAAACAUCUUUGAAAAUAAUCACAUCGUUCCACUGAGCUGACAUCGUCCAAAAUCAAUGGUACUAUAUCAUUUGAAGGAGUUGAUAUGAAUAAAACUCAAUCUAGGUGACUUAUCAUCUGUCACUAAUUUAUACAGAAAGACCUCCAUAAUCUAAACUCGAUAAAUUAAUAACUUUUAUCAUGUAAUAAUUUUUUGUCGUCUUGACUUGGGCCAAAUAAUUAAAUUAAUAAUUUCGAUAAAUAAGAUAAUAUUCUUUCUAAAAACUCUUAUAUAACUAUGUGGUCUCAGUCAUAUCAUAAAUUAAUAAUUUAUUAAAAAAUUACAAAUGUAAUUAUUAUGAUAUUUUAUUAAAUAAAAAUAUGAUUCUAUUAAUUUUUUUCUUGAAUUUUAAAUAUAUAGCCUUGUGAUGGUUGAUUAAAUAAACUACUUUUAUUGCACAAAUCAAAUAAGUUGCUGAUGAAAAAAGUUGUUUGCUGUUUGGUAAACUAUGUUAUUGUGUUCCUUAUGAGUUUAACAACAAAGUACGUGCAUUUGGUAAUUUUUAUUAUAAAUAUAUUGUUUUAUUAAAUAAUUACCAAAAUAUAAAUUAAUUUCAAUUACAUUUUAUUUAUAUAUUAGGGUUAUGAAAAAUAAAAUAUAAUUAUUUUUUGUUAAAAUAUUAUGAUUAUAACAAGAACUUUAAAAAUAUGUGGUGACUUAUUUAAUAAGCUACUUAUAAAAAGUAACCCCGUAUCUGCUUUUAAAAACUGCCUAUAAAAGUAACCCCUUGCCUUCUUUUAAAAACUAUUGUCAAAAUAAAAAAUAAACAACUUUUAAAAAUUUUACCAAAUACCAUUUUUGUCAAAACUUAUGAAAUAAUAUGCUUAUAACGUUUCAAUCUCAAUCUCAAUUGAGCCAAUACUUGGAUCUCUAUCUAAUUUUACUUAUUGCUUCUAAAAUGUUUGAGGUUGAAUUUUGAAUUUGCAAGAACUUUUAAUUUUUUUUGUUAAUCUAAUUUAAAUUUAGUAGAUUAACUCAUUUUUAAUUAUUAGAUUGGUAAAAUACAAUAUAUUUUUAGUAGAUUAAAAUGCAUGUUCAUGGAAUUGUAUGUACGCUCUUCAAAUUAAUAAGUUUUAUAUGGUCCCCACAUUAUUAAUUUAGAGAUUUUAAUGUAUGUAUAGCGUAUUAAUUUUUUUUUUAAAGUAGGUAGUAUUGGAAUUUAGGAUCCAUCAUUAAUGUGCUAAUUUUAUGACCUUAUAAAUAAGUGACAUGUCAAAUAUCUUGUCUUUAUAGUACAAACUUUAUAUCUCAAUUAUAUAAUUAUAGUAUAAUUUCAACUUGUAUCAAUAUAGAUAAAUAAUCAAGUACUAAAAAUUUAAUUCAUAAAAGGUAAUAUGACUUAACGUACCAUACCAUAACUAAAAAUUUAGGCACCGGUUGAAAGCUUAAUCUACCACCAAUAUUGUUAACUGUGAAAAGCAUUACUAAUAAAUAAAUAUACCAUGAAUGAUAAGAUCUGCAUUGCAUGUAAUUUUUAAGGGUGUGUUCAGUAAGCUUGCAUUACACCGUAUUGUAUUGUAUUAAAACAUUUUUUUUUAAUGUUAACCUAUGUUUGGUUGCUAUUUUUGGUUGCAUUGCACUGCAUUAAAAAAAGUGGCUAACAGCCUAAGACAAUGAAAGGUGUGUAAAUUUAAAUCUAUGUAAGAUAGGGUUUAGGCGAUAUUACGUUAAAAUAAUGUUUGUAUUUUAAAUAUAAUCAUUUAACUUUUAUUACUUAAGAAAUUAUAAUAAAUUUUAAAUUUAUUAAAUCUUAAUUUAUAUUAAUAUUUAAACAAAAAAUUUAUUUAAAUAACAAUAUGAGAUAAUAAUAAAUCUAAAUAUUUAAUAAAAUAAAUGACAAUACAUUAUUUUACUUUCAUUACAUAAAAUCAUUUUAAUUGUUUUGCUUUAAUAAAUAAAAACAAUUUAUGUUAUUAUUUAAUAAAAUGUUAACUUUAAAUUUGAACAAUUAUAUUGACAUUAAGAAUGAAUAAUAUAUAAUUAUUUAUAUAAUUAUAAUCAUAGAUAAUUAUAUAAAUAAUAUAUAGAAAUGAAUUAUAUUAUAUUAUAUUAUAUUAUGUUAUAUUAUAUUAUAAUAUUAUUAAUAAUAUAACAUAAUGUCGUAAUAUUUUAUUAUUUAAUAAUAGUAUAUUAUUACAUAAUUUUUAUAUUAUAAAAAUUAUUAUAUAACAAUAACGAUUUAAUACUUAAUUUCAAAAACUAAUAAUAACACCACAAAAUAUUAAUAAAUUUAAAUAAUAUUAAUUUAAUUUUAAUUAUAAUAUAAAUUUAACAGCAAUAUUAUUUUAUAUGAUACAGUCCACACAUCACCAGACAUAUUAUUGCAUUAUAAUUUAAUUGAAUACACCCUUAUACAAUCAACUAUAAUACAAUAUAAUUAGAACUGUAGAAUACAAUAACGUGCAAGAACGUUUCAAACACAACCCAAAGGCACUGGCGUUAUUGAUGUAACGAUAGGUGUAUUGAUUAAGAUUAACGGAUAGAUACCUUGCGUCAUGACUGCGUGAGCCCGGUCGACUGGUCGUCCACAUCCAGAAUUCCAGAUUUGUCGUUCUAGUGAUGUGUGCACCAGUAACCUCGUAGGCUUUCUUUUUUAUUUUAUUUCUUAUACUUUUCAACCCUUAUACUUUUCCAUAUUCUCAUUUAUGGCCCUCAUGAAACAUUGUUGUCGUUAUUACAUAUUGCAGCCAUUGUAAGUUUGUAACAACGUAUGCGAUCACUUGCGAAAGCCACACGUAAUAAAUGAAUCAAAAAUACUAUUGAGGUUUUUUAGAUUUAAGUCUAAGAUAUUUGAGUUUAAAUUUUCUUUCUAUUUUUUUAAUCUGCUACGCUCUUAAAGGUGGUGAGACUUACUCAGUAAUUUCUGGAAGCUUAUUUUCAGCUGUUAGAAGAAAGCAAAUAUGUAGAAUUUAAAUUUGUGUUAAUUCUCACCUAAACCACCUUAGAUUAUAGCAUAAAUAGUAAUAAAUUUUCAUUAAUUAUUUCUUCAAUACAUUAGAGCAUACAUAGUAUUUAGUGUUUUCAAAAUUUUCCUUCUAAUUUGCCACAUGGUUAAAUACUAUUUUUUUCUUAAAUUUGAAUAAGUAUAUAUUUAGCUAACAUCUUAUGGUGUGUUUAUUUAUUAGGAAUAUGGAUGGCAAAAAUUCCCACGGGGAUGGGUACCCUCGGGGAUUUUCCCCAUUCGAGGAGGGUAUGUAGAUAAUUUCAUACCCAAUUUCUUAUUCGGGGAAGGGACGAGAAAAUUUUUCUACUCAAUUUCUUAUUCGGGGAGGGGACGGGGAUGAUGUCGAAUCUUCAUCCCCUACCCAUUUCCCCUUUUUAAUUUUUAAUUUUAUUUUAAUUUUUUAAAAUUACUAGUAAAUAUAUAAUAAAAUUUAAAUUAUAAAAUUAUAAAUAUUGGUAAAAAUAAAAAUAUCAAAAUAUUUAUAUUAUUAAACUUUUAGGCCUAAUUAACUAAUUAAAGUCCUAAAUUUUUAUUUAUGACAUUAAAAAGACCGAGUAGAUUCUAUUAGCCCAACAUUUUUUUUUAAUUUUAAUAUUCUUUAAAUAUUUUAAACUUAAAUCUAUUUUUUAUUUAUUUUUAGAUGUUAUAAUUGCCCACAGCGAAUCACAAUUUUAAUAUCUAAUCUAAUAUAAUAUUUGUUUUUGAUUUGCUCCGAUUUAACUAUUGUGUUGUAAAGAAAAUAGUCCACAUUUAUAAAGUGCCAACGCCACCAUUGAAAAAAGUUAAUUUUGAAUCUAAAUUCGAUUUUAUUUGUAACAAUUUUGUAUUAGACUAUUAAUUUGUUCAUGAUAGUUUCUAAAAGAAGUUUGUAUCCCUUGCAUGUUGCGUUACUUACUAAUUUAAUGUAUGUGACUUUUGUAAUAGAUAUUAAUGUAAGAUAUAUUUUGAACUUUACUUUUAUUUGAAUUUUUUAUUUUAAUAUGAUUAACUCAAAAAAAAAAAUGUACUAGUUAUUUGGGGAUCGGGGACCCUCGGGAAUCCCCUGUUAUUAUUCGGGGAGGGGAUGAGGAUUCUCUCAAGUAAUUCUGACGGGGACGGAGAGGGGACGAGGACAUACGCAAAAUAUCGGGAAUGGGUACGGGGAGAUCGAUCCCCUCCCCUCCCCUCCCCAUUGCCAUCCCUAAUUAGGAAUGGAAAUGAGAAUUAAGGAAUGGAAAUAAAUGUGUUUUCUUACUUAAAUGAAAGGUGGAAUGAGAAUCAAAAUAGUGGGUCUCACUUAAACUUGAGAAUGAUUACUAGAGUACGCAUUCUCAUGGGGAAACGUGAGAAUGAGAAUAUGAUUCUCUAAAAUAAUCAUAUUACCCUUACUUAAAUCAUGAAAUUCUCUCAUUCAUAAAAAAAAAUCAUGAAAUUCUCAUUUUAACUUGUCUAUUAUUAUUAUUAUUAUUAUUAUUAUUAUUAUUAUUAUUAUUAUUAUUAUUAUUAUUAUUAUUAUUAUUAUUAUUAUUAUUAUUAUUAUUAUUAUUAUUAUUAUUAUUAUUAUUAUUAUUAUUAUUAUUAUUAUUAAUGACAAGGUCAGUUUAAUAACUUGUAACAAUCUAUUACAAUUUAAAAAUAAAGUAAACACAUCAAUGACAAUACAGUUCCUUCCGAAUUCGAUUCCGACAACUAAAGUAAAUAACUUAUUCUGAUUCCUAUUUCUCAUUCCGGUUUUAGUCCAUUCCGAUUAUUGAUUAGUAAACACAACAUUAACGAAUUUGAAUACAAAUGUACUAAUGGUAUUUUUUUAAUAUUUAAAUACGUGUGACAUCUUGUUUAUUUUCGUAAAUUAAAAAAAAUUAAACAUGGUUAUUUUAUACUUAUUUCCUUGAAAGUAAAAAAAAAUUAAUUUUUUAGUUUAGAAAAUUUAAAUAUUUAAUUUACAUAUUUUUGGGAUAUAAUAUUUACUUCUCAUUCAAACAAAAAUCAUAAAAGUUCACAUUUUCUAUUCAAAUGCAAAUGUUUUAAAAUCAUAUAUAAGUUACAAAAAAAAUAAAUUUAAUAAAAAAAUCUUAAAAUUAAUAAAAUUUUAGAUUUAAAACAUUUAACAAAUAAGCUCCAAUAAUGGAAUGACUUGCCAUUUACCAAAUUAUUUGUCAAAAUUUUAUUUAAGGAAAAAUCAGCUAGGAGAAAGUGCCUAUGCUAUAAUAAACAAGUUUUUUUUUUUUAAAGAAAGUUAUGUUACUCCCACAGACUACAAAGUAAAUAGUUCUAAAUUAUUCCAAAUUUUCUUUUAAUUCAAAACAAACGUGGAUGUUUGAAAUUAGCAAGACCUUUCCGCAAAAGAAGAGAAAAAGGGGAAAAAAAAACCAUUAUUGAAAGUUUAUUUUAAGAAAUUUCAAUUGAAUGCAUGGACAUGCAAUAAUCAAAUUGUACACCGGGUAAUAACGCCUAACAAUUUAUUUUAUUAUAUUGGCCAAAUAAUUUUUAAGGAAUUUAUUUAUUCUCUUAUGGACUAGCACAAGUAGUACUAAAUAGUCUCAAAAUUAACUAAAAUUAUGCCACGUGCUUGAAGGUGGCGAGACUUUUCAAAUUAUCUUUGAAAAGUUUAUUUCAUUGUUUCAAAAGGGAUAUAAAAAAUGAACGUCUUAUUCUAUCUUUGCUUGUUCUAAUGAAUUUAUGAAGAAGUUAGUUAUUUUUCUUAUAUCACGCAGUGAUUAAAAUCAUAGCAUUAAUAUAAUAUUUAAACAUAAAUUAUGUAAAUAAAAUAUAAAACAUGUAAACUUAACAUAAACUUGCAAAUCAACAUUAAGUAGAAAAUAAAAUAUAAAUUAUAUAAAUAAAACCUCAGACUAAUAUAUAGAAGAUAAAAUUAGUAAAUUAACAUAACAAUAGUAAAUUAGUAUAUUAUUAGUAAACACAACAAAAACUUACAAAUGUAACAAAAAACUGGUAAAUCAACAUUAAGUAUAAAAUAAAAUAUAAUUAUAUGAAGGAAACAAAAUACUUGUAAACAGAGAGUAAAACAAAGAAAUUAACAUAGAUGUAGUAAAAUUGGUGUAUUAUUGGUUAACAAAACAAAAACUUAUACUUGUAAUAUAAAACUUGUAAAUCAACAUUAAAUAUAAAAUAAAAUAUAAAUUGUGCAAAGUGAAACAUAAGACUUGUAAAUAAAAAAUAAAACAAGUCAAUUAACAUAAGAGCGGUAAAUUGGAGUAUUAUUGGUAAAGAAAACAAAAAACUUAUAAAUAUAACAUAAAACUUAUAAAUUAACACUAAGUGUAAAAUAAAACAUAAAUUAUGUAAAUGAAAUAUAAAACUUGUAAAUAAAAAGUAAAAUAAGUAAAUUAAUAUAAGAAUUAUUAAGAAAAAUAAGAACUUAUAAAUGUAAAAUACGAACUCCUUAUAAUAAUGGUUGCCUUAUAUAUUUGCUGACUUUAUUUCUAAGUGAAUAAUGAUAAUUUUGGGUUAUGUAAUGCAUGUGAUGUUAUAUGUGACACUUUAUUGAGGAUAAAACUUAUUUUCAAAAUCAAAUUUUAAAAAACUAUACUUUUUAUGUUUUUCAAAGCUACUUGUAACUAAGGCCCCGUUUGAGAUUGCUUUUGGGAGGGUUAAAAGUGAUUUUAAAAAUCUAAAAGCUAAUUUUGGUGUUUGGUAAAAGAAAAUCAAAAUCACUUUUGCCAGAAUCAGCUCCUCCUACAGCUGAUUUUGAAAAGUAGGGAAAGAGUAAAUUUUAGAUUCUGAUUUUGAGAAUCAAUUUUAUCCUUUAAUAUAAUUUCAUAAAUAUCCUUACAAUUAUUACUUAAACCCGAAAUUAUCCUUAGUUAAAUUAGAAAUAAAAUCAAUAUUUUAAUAAAUUUUUAUUAUAAUUAACGCACACCUUUCAUUUACCCUAUUUCUUCAUAUUUUGUGUUCUAUCAAAACUUCUCUAGUGCAAGUAAAUUUAUUUUCUUACAGUAUUUUUAUAUGUAUAAGUAAAUUUCAUCUUACAUUAUGUACAUUUUGGUCAUUUAUUUUCUUACAGCAGUUUAACAAUAAAAUUUACCAAACAUCCAUAACUGCUUUCAAAAUUCACAGUACUUUUGAAAAUAAAAUUUACCAAACACUUAACUGAUUCUCUUCACAGCUGAUUAUUUCUACAGCACAGCUAACAACAAUUAUUUUAAAAGCUGCAGCAUUACCAAACUGGCCCUAAAUCUCCUCAACAUCAACUUUAAAUACAAGUGAGAAGUAAAGUAUAAAACUACCGUAAGUAUGUAUAAAAUUGAAAAUUAGAUCCAAUUUUAUUGAUAUAUCAUAUAUGUUUAGUAAUAUAAGAAUGCCUUUUUUUUUUUUUUUUGGUUUGAUCCACAUCAAAAAAACAUAAUUUUCCUUAAUUAACCUAUGUAGAAAACAAUACUAUGAUAAAAAAGAAGAAGAAGUUAUAUAUGUCCUAGAAUGAAUAUAAAAUUUACGGUUAAACCAAUUUAAUAAAAACUUUCCGAUUAUUUUCAAUACAAUUAUUUUGUUUUUAAUUGGUAAGUGACUUUUUUCUUUGUUUAAUUAAAUUAAAGGAAUAAACUAUUUUUUGUUGAAUGAAAGUUUAAUAUUGAUUUACGAGUUUUAUAUUAUUUUAAAUUUUUUUACAUUUUCAAAUACCAAUUUACCACUCUUUUAUUAAUUUACUUGUUUUAUUUUUUAUUUACUAGUUUUAUAUAAUUUAUAGAUUUUAUAUUUAUCACCGUAUUGAUGUCAUAAUUUUAAUCAUGGCAUCAUAGAGUUUUCCCAUAAAUUAAAGCAUGUUCAACGCUAAAUAUUCUAAUUUUCUUUUUAAUUUGCCUUGUACUUAAAAGUGAUGAUAUUUACCAAAUUAUUCCUGAGAGAUUAUUUCAAGAAGAAAAUUCAAUCAGCAGAAAGCACAAAUGUGAUAACUCAAAUUUAACCACUUGAUAAUCACCUUAAAAUUCUUCAGUAAUAGGCUACGUAUCAGUAGCAACGAAACAAAAAAUUUAUCUAGAGUGGGGCUAUUCUUAAUAACAAUAUUAAUAUUUAACAAUAAGAUAAUAAAUGAAUUUAAUGAAAAUAAUGACAAUAGUUAUAAUAAUAGUCUCAAUUUCAAUAAUUUUAAUAGAAACAAAAAUAUGAACUUGAAUUAAUCUAAGAUUUAACAAGGACUCUUCAAAUUCUCAUUCAUGAAUUCACUAAAAUCUUUUUAUUCUAUUAUUAUACAAGACAAAACAACACUACAUAAUAUACAAAAAUUAAACAAAACAAAUUGAUGACGAUGAAUAAUGAUACUUUUUACUGUAUAUACGAACAAAAAUUAUUAAAUAAAUAAUUAUCAUAUAACUUUUAAAAAAAAAAUCAUCUGUAAUGACAAUUAUGAAUAAAAGACUAAGAACUAAGAAUACCUACUGAAACUUAAUUAAAAGAAUAUUUGUGUUCUGGUUUCUAGAAGAGGAUUUGUAUUUUGUAUUCUUUAGUCCUGAAGAUUUGCAAACGUGAAACACCGUUGGAUUCAUGUAGGUUUUAGGAAUUGGAAAAGAAGUUAAUGAGUCAAAUUAUUUUUUAGAUCAAAAUAGGGAUUUUGAAGAGCAAAAAAAAUUAUGUGAAUUAAAUGCAAAGCCGCCAACUCUUGUAAUUAUUUAAAUAAAGAAAAUAAAUUGUUUUUAAAAUUUUUUUAUAAUAGAGUAGAGUUUAAUUUGGACUUUUAGAAAAGAAAUUACGCUCAACAUUAUGAUUAAUUCUAUACGUUGAAUAAGUAAUUGAAUUAAAAUUAUGACAUCAACCCCCUCCGCCGUCACUGCUCGAGUCUGUCAAUGCUGAUUCGAGUAUACAUAAUAGGGAUUACUCUUAAAAUUUUCAUUUACUACGUCAGCCGUCAGGUGCUCCAAAAUAGUUAGGCUUAACAAAUAUUUUUCAAAUUUUUAUUUCAAGAAAAUUUAAUCAGAAGAAAGCAGGCACGUGGGAAUUCAAGUUGCGCCAUAAUAUAACCUUCAAAGUUAUCUCUUAAAUAUGUGAUCCAUUAAAUCAUAAUUAAUACUAAAACGAUUCCUUGUAAUCAGCCACGUGUUUGGAAGAAGUGGUAUAGACUUACCAAAUUAUACUACUAAAAAAUUUAUUUCAACAAAAUCAGGGUUAAAAAGAAAACACACAUGAGAAAAUUUAAAUUUGCGCUAAAUUAUAAUUUUCAAAAAAUUCUCGAUUAUGAAAAACUCAUAAAAAAAUUGUAAGAAACCAUUAUCAAUCUCCUUUGAAGAUUACAGGUGACAUUCAUGAUAUUUCAUCAGAUGUAUUAGUGCAAUAUAUGGCAUGAUAAUCUUCUAUGAAAGUUUUAACAAGUACAAAAAUUGUUAGCAUAUAUAUCUAAGAAAUUGUGUUGUAUUCACGGUGAGACUCCAACUAAUAUAAAUAAACGUCGCUGCAACAACAGAGGAUCAUAAUGAAAAAACCCCCCUGCAGGGGGAACCAAAAGAUAAAUAACAAGUAAUCGAGGAGCACGAGAGCAAAAACCAGGAUAUAAAAUUAGAAGUGAGACACUUGAGGAGUAGAUUUCACUUGCAUUUAGAGCUCAUUUCGCUUUGCUGUUCGAAAACGCUCUCACUGAGUCACGACUCGCAACUCACGACCUGGGAGAGAGAUUUACAAAAAGGAAAACGAAAACAAAAAGGAAAAAAGAAAAAAAAAAAAAAAACUACGAAACCCUCCUCUUCUGUUCUAAACACUCGAUGUGACGUGAAAGAAAGAUUUGUAAAUUCAGUUUUCUGUUGUCAAUUAAAAGACAAAACGUUUUGUUGAAAACUUAAGAAUGGGUGAAAAGCUGGAGCAGCAGCUGAAAGAAGUUGGAUCGAAGCUUGAGACGCCUCCUUCCACCAAAGACGGUCUUGUUAAGCUCUUAAAGGUUUGCAUUCUUUAUUUCUCAGCUAAUUGCUUAUAUAUCUAUAUCUACAUAUAUAUAUAUAUGUUAAUUCAAAUUUUUUUUGUUUGGGUAAUUAGCUGGUGAUAGUUAGCCAGGUAGUCAGUUAAUUUAGUUUCUGUUCGGCUGCCGAGGGCUGAGGGAGUCGUUCAUAGUGAACGAACGGGAGGAAUCAUUUGAGUUUGUUGUAGUUGUUGUUACUGUUUUCGUUGAAGAAGGUGAAGCCUUCAUCUUAGGGUUAGUGAGAAGUAUAGUUUAUGGUGAAUUUUUCCAAUUUCUAGGGUUGAAUCUGAUAGUUUGACGGUAGUUCGAGGAAAUUGUCAAAUUAGGGUCGUUUCGUGUGUCUUGUUGAUUUUACAGAGAUGCUGGGUUCUGUUUGUGCUGGGAAAAUUUGGUGAAAUUAAAUCGACUUAGGGGAUUUGUUUAUUGGUCUGAGGGAUUCUUUAGUCACUCUGAUGUAUGUUUUACUGGACUCUAGUUGCUAAAAGUCCUGUACCUAUGCUAUGCUCAUGUUUAUACACUUAUUCCGUUAUACUCGCACAUCAAUUAGACACCUGAGACUAGUGAAAUUAUUUAUUUAUGUCCAAUGAUAGCAUCUUGAUUCUGUUACUUGGCAAUGUUCUGCAUUUUGUUCUUCUCAACCUGCAGCAAGCUGCGACAUGUCUUUCAGAAUUGAACCAAUCACCACCGGCUUCAAUAUUAGAGGCUAUGCAACCUUUUCUUAAUGCAAUUGUCCAGCCAGUGCUGCUGAAGCAUCAAGAUAAGGACGUCAAGCUUCUAGUUGCAACAUGUAUUUGUGAAAUAACCAGAAUUACCGCACCUGAAGCUCCCUAUAGUGACGAUGUUCUCAAGGUGCAUUUCUUGCACCAAGGUCAACUGGUUAAUGGAAUUGAUUUAUUCAUUUCUAAAACACCAAUGAAUUUCAGUUUAAUUCCUGUUCUAUUGGUGUGGGCAGGAUAUUUUUCAGUUGAUUGUGGGAACCUUUAGUGGGUUGAAGGAUACUGGUGGUCCAUCAUUUGGAAGGAGAGUUGUCAUUCUGGAGACUCUUGCAAAAUAUAGGUCAUGUGUUGUGAUGUUGGAUCUUGAAUGUGAUGAACUAGUGAAUGAAAUGUACAGUACUUUUUUUGCUGUUGCCAGGUUUGUUUAAAUCCAUAAUUCGUUUAUAUUUAUCAUAAUUUAGUUUGUGGAAAGUGCUUCAUUUUGAAAUACCUUUUACCGACUCUUCUGAUUAAAUAAAUCCGUAUUAGCUUUUUCCCUGAAAGAUAAGAUCUUCCGUUUUGAUAACUACUGCUUUGGACUCUUCUUGUAUGCAGUGAUGAUCAUCCAGAAAGUGUUCUUUCGUCAAUGCAAACAAUCAUGAUUGUUCUUUUAGAAGAAAGUGAGGACAUUCAAGAAGAUCUUUUAGUUAUUUUGUUGUCUGCGUUAGGUCGUAACAAAAAUGUAAGCAUUUUAUAUAUUUGCAAGAUAAUGAAGACGUUGUGUUGCUUUUCCACAGUGGGAUCCAUUAUAUCUCUCUGGUCGUUAUAUUGCUGUGUUUGUUCUGUUAGUUUGGGAGAGAACUCAUUUUCUGGUACUUGUAAUGGCAGGAUACUGCAAGGCGGCUUGCAAUGAAUGUUAUAGAGCAAUGUGCUGGAAAACUUGAAGCUGGAAUAAAGCAGUUCCUUGUGUCAUCAAUGUCAGGAGAUAGCAGGCCAGGACACAGUCAUAUUGACUAUCAUGAAGUAAUUUAUGAUGUAUAUCGUUGUUCUCCUCAGAUAUUAUCUGGAGUGGUGCCAUACCUCACAGGAGAGUUGUUGGUAAUUGCUGAUUUUUUGGUUAACUUUUCGGACUGAAAUACUUUUACUUGCUCAUUUUGUAUAAGAUUCCAUAAGAAUCUUAAUAUUAUGAUCAUCACGUGAUGAUUGGGUUCUUAGUAUAGAAGUUUCAACAUCUGCAGACUGAUCAACUAGACACUCGUUUAAAAGCAGUGGGAUUAGUUGGAGAUCUAUUUGCUGUGCCUGGAUCCGCUAACAAUGAACAAUUUCACUCAGUAUUUUCAGAGUUCUUGAAAAGAUUGACUGAUAGAAUAGUUGCAGUACGCAUGUCUGUCCUUGAGCACGUCAAGAGCUGUUUGCUGACAGAUCCGUCUAGAGCUGAUGCUCCUCAAAUUCUAAGUAAGUGCAUAAUUUGUCUACAGCUUAAUGUUACUGCUGCUCUGCUAAUUUUCUUGCUGUUCAAUUUUUCUAGCUGCACUCUGUGAUCGGCUUCUAGACUUUGAUGAAAAUGUUCGAAAGCAAGUUGUUGCUGUUAUUUGUGAUGUGGCAUGUCAUGCUCUAAAUUCCAUUCCAGUUGAGACUGUAAAACUGGUUGCGGAGCGUCUUCGAGAUAAAUCUGUAUGCAUAUUGUUCCCCUUUGCGUUGUUUGUGCUCAUUUGUUUCUUAAAUCUUUGGUUGAUUUAAACAGAAAUGAUUGUUUUUGUUUCCCAAAAUUUCAGGUACUUGUUAAAAGGUAUACUAUGGAGAGACUGGCUGACAUUUUCAGGGGAUGCUGCCUGAGGAACUUUAAUGGAUCUAUCAAUCAGAAUGAAUUUGAAUGGAUUCCUGGGAAGAUUUUGAGAUGUUUAUAUGACAAAGAUUUCGGGUAAAAUUUAAGUUCACGUGCUCAUAGAUUUAUUAUUUUUACAUCCACGUUUCGUUUUUAAUGAGUAAGGAGAAUUUGGGACGGUCUGAAAUUGUUUAUCUUUGGGAAUCCUCAUACUUCUUUUCUGAAUAUCUAAUUUGUUUAAUUUCUAAAAUUGUGAUCUCAAAGACUCUGAUGUUCUGCAAUGAUUCUUCAUCUUUAUUACAUUUUUCAGUUUCUUAUUUAAAAAAAAACAGCCUCUGAUGUUUUAGUUUGUUGAACUUUAAAACCUGCCAGAAUAAAGAAGUGGAGGAAAAAGCAUUACAUUUUCUGUUUUGUUUGUUAAAAUCGGAAAACACUGAAGACAGUUGGUGGAAAUUAAAACGUUUAUAAUGUCUUGCUCUUCUAUGGAUUUAUGUUUAGAAUAUUCUGACCUGUUUUCAACAUGUUAAUCCAUUCUACAGAUCAGAUACAAUUGAAUCAGUCCUCUGUGGGUCCUUGUUCCCGACCGGUUUCUCUGUUAAAGAUAGAGUUAGACAUUGGGUGAGAAUUUUCUCAGGAUUUGACAGAAUUGAGAUGAAGGCUCUUGAGAAGAUACUGGAGCAAAAACAAAGGUGCACCAUAAUUGCUUGGUUUUGUAAUCAGGCAUCAUGUGACUAUUGUUGAACCUCUCAUCUUUCAAUUUUAUUUGAUGGAUUGUGCACUGAUUUCCAGGGGAUUUGCUCUUGGAUUGCAGGUUGCAGCAAGAGAUGCAGAGAUAUCUCUCCCUUAGGCAGAUGCAUCAGGUUUGCACCCUCUGGAAGUUGCAUGGCUGAUUUUGAAGAGAAAAAGUUGAACUGUUACAUAGUUUUUGUGAAUUAAAGUAAUUGAUCCUAUAAAUGCAGGAUGGUGAUGCCCCUGAGAUCCAGAAAAAAAUUUUGUUCUGCUUUCGGGUGAUGUCUCGUUCAUUUGCUGAGCCUGCAAAGGCUGAGGAGAAUUUUCUAAUUCUUGAUCAAUUGAAAGAUGCUAAUGUCUGGAAGAUUUUAAUGAAUCUACUUGAUCCAAACACUAGCUUUGAUCAAGCUUUUACUGGUCGGGUAAGCAAUAUGAUACUGACAGAUCCAUAUAGUUUCGCAGAUCAGUUUUUAAAGUAACUGGGGUAGGAAUUUCGUUAGCUCCGUGUCGACUAUCUUGUGACCACCAGAAUUGGUGCCUUGAACAAUCUUUUGCUGCUUCCCUAAUUCUACAGCUACUACUACUACUAACACUGUCUUUAUCUAGAUACCAUCCAUUCUAACAUAUUGCUCGUGGUUUAAUGGAGUUUUAUUUUGAUGAUGGAGUUUGUUUUGUGGAUUGAUUUUGUCAGUAUAUAUUUUUCUGUUUUGCAGGAUGAUUUGCUUAAAAUACUUGGUGCAAAACACCGACUAUACGAUUUCCUCAGCACUCUCUCCAUGAAGUGUUCUUACUUACUUUUUAACAAGGAGCAUGUAAAAGAAAUUCUUCUUGAAGUUGCUGCACAAAAAUCUUCUGCAAAUGCACAAUUUAUGCAGUCUUGCAUGGAUAUACUGGGGGUAAAAACAUGUUCCCUGCAUUUUCUUUGUCUGAUAUACUAGUUACUUGUUCUCAUAUAUACAAAUUCUCUUUGUUAAUUGUUAUGUUUAUACUCGCAAUUUCUCUGCAUCACUUAUGUGAUUUUUUUUCAUUAUCCUUUUUUUUUUAGCAUAUCUUUCCUCAUCUGUAUUGAAACACUCAUUUAUGAUAUCAUAUGCCUUAUGUUGCUCUCAUAAUUUCACACUACUCAUGUCAUUUGGAAGCAACUGCAGAACAUUUCUUUUUGCUAUUUAUUUUUUUACAAUUGCUGAUAUCUGAUGAUACAACGUUUUUACAUGAAUCUUUCAUGCUGUCCUCUUCCUUUUGUUCCACGAUAGCAAAUAUAAAAACCCUGUUUUUAAAUGUUAUAUGUGAUUAACUUUCAGAUUCUUGCACGCUUCAGUCCAUUGUUGCUGGGUGGCACUGAAGAGGAACUGGUAAAUCUACUGAAAGAGGAAAAUGAAAUAAUAAAGGAAGGUAUUUUGCAUGUUUUAGCGAAGGCUGGUGGGACCAUUCGGGAACAACUUGCAGCAACAUCAAGGUACAACUCUUGAAUUUAUUGACUUCUAAGUGCGUGUUCUAGACCCUUAUUAUCUGCUUUUUAUUUACCUGCAGUUCUGUAGACCUUUUAUUGGAAAGGCUCUGCUUAGAAGGUAGUCGACGACAGGCCAAGUAUGCUGUACAUGCACUAGCAGCAAUAACAAAGGAUGAUGGACUUAAGUCUCUCUCUGUUUUAUACAAGGUUUUGUAUUAUUUUUUCUUGAAUGACCAUAUAACUAAUAUUCAAUUGGACCACCCUUACGAUUGCUGUGUGCUUAUGAUAUUUGCAAAACUUGAUGUUUCUUGCCCAAUUUCAGAGGCUUGUGGACAUGUUGGAGGAGAAGACUCAUUUACCUGCUGUAUUACAAUCUCUGGGAUGUAUAGCUCAGACUGCAAUGCCAGUUUUUGAAACUAGAGAGAGUGAAAUUGAAGAAUUUAUAAAAAGCAAGAUCCUCAGAUGCAGUAAUGUAUGUUCUCCAAGAUCCAUUGGACUCCCUUUGCAACUCUUUUUCAUAGUUUUAUUUAAUGGUAUAUUUCUCUGUUUCAGAAAAUAAGAAACGAUACAAAGGCAUGCUGGGAUGACAGAAGUGAACUUUGUUUACUGAAGGUGUGUCAUAUUAGUUCAGUUUUAUAUUAACUAUUUUUCAAGUCAAUAAAGAUUGCUGUAGUUUUCUGUUCCAUGGGAUAUUAUUUUCUAUUAUUAUUAUUAACUGAUGAAAUUUUGAUUAAGGCAGUUCCUUGAUGGAUCAUCCGUAAAGUGGGUUACACCUGAAUUUUACUUUCUUUGUGGUGCUGCAGAUAUAUGGUAUUAAAACACUAGUGAAGAGCUACUUGCCUGUGAAAGAUGCCCAUAUUCGUCCUGGUAUUGAUGACCUUCUGGGAAUCCUAAAAAGCAUGCUUUCUUAUGGCGAAAUGUCAGAAGAUAUAGAAUCGAGGUGAUUUAGUCACAUGGGAGUAUCACUAUGCUGUAUUCCAGUGCAUUUGUUGAUUCAUUUAUAAUGUACAACUAUUUGCUGUGUUGCAGUUCGGUUGAUAAAGCACAUUUGAGGCUUGCUUCAGCAAAGGCGGUUCUUCGAUUGUCGAGGCAAUGGGACCAUAAGAUACCUGUUGAUGUCUUCCACCUAACCCUGAGGACACCGGAGGUAAGGCUAUCAAGAUGUUUCUUUCCCGGCAUCUGAUAUUGUUGAUUCAAAUGAUCACUUUUCUCGUACAUAAAUGUUUUCUUUUGUCAUUCUUUCUGGGUUGUUGUAGAUUUCUUUCCCUCAAGCUAAGAAACUGUUCCUGAGCAAAGUUCAUCAAUAUGUUAAGGACCGUCUUUUGGAUGCAAAAUAUGCAUGUGCCUUCUUAUUCGGUAUAACUGAAUCAAAGUCCCCUGAGUUUGAAGAGGUAUAUGGACUAGACUUAAUUGGUUCAAAGUAAUUCUUCAUGUUCGAGGCGGGUGUAUUUUACACUUGUCAUUGUGGUACGAUUUCAAAACUAUUUUGUCUGAAAAUUUCACAUCCCAUUUGAAAUGGCAGGAGAAACAGAACCUGGCUGAUAUCAUCCAGAUGCAUCACCAGAUGAAGGCACGUCAGAUCUCCGUGCAAUCUGAUGCAAAUUCCUUCGCAACAUAUCCUGAAUACAUUAUCCCAUAUUUGGUCCAUACUUUUGCUCAUCAUUCAUGUCCCGAUAUAGACGAAUGCAAGGAUGUCAAGGCAUUUGAACUAGUAUACUGGUAUGAAUUUCGUUGUCUUGAAUGUACUUUUAUGAGCUAUUAUACGUUGAUCUCUUGCUAAUUGGUGAAAAUGGAAAUUGAUCAUUCCUACUGAUUGCUGUCAUAUUCCUUUUUAUUCAGUCGACUUUACUUCAUUGUUUCUAUGCUGAUCCAUAAAGAUGAAGAUGUCAAGUCAGAAGCUAGUAACAAGGAGAGCAUUUCUGUAAUAAUCUCGAUCUUUCGUAGUAUUAAGUGCUCCGAAGACAUAGUUGACGCAGCAAAGUCAAAGGUUUGGGAAGAUACUUCUUUAUGUUUGCUGUUGUUGAUUAUUAAAUUUAAGCAUGUAAACGACCACAAGGAUGCAGGGACUAGCCAAACCUGAACUUAUAUAAGAAUUUUUUUUGAAUUCCAGAAUUCACAUGCUAUUUGUGACCUUGGCUUGUCGAUAACCAAGCGCUUAUCCCGAAUGGAGGAUAAUUCACAAGGGGUGUUUUCAUCUGUCUCUGUACCCUCAACGCUGUAUAAGCCAUAUGAAAAGAAAGAAGGCGAUGAUUCUCUUGUAAGUUCUCUCCUGACUGAAUUUUGUUUCGCCCUGGCUUCAUCAUUUUACAGGAUUAUAUUUUUUUCUAAUUAAAAAUUACUGUUGUAUAUUAGAUUGGAUGUCAUGAAGUUUAUCAUGCUUCUUAUGUAUUUUCUCUGUAUCAGCUUGUUUACUUCUUGUCACUUGUUCAAUCUUCAGUGGCCUUCAAAUUAUCUUUGUAGUCCUCCAAAAGGAAAUGAGUUUUUAUGUGGCAGUUUUGACUUAACGGCUAUAUGCCCAUUGUGAGAUGCUAAUAAUUGACUAAUUCUUCUUUUAUCAUCAUCAUCUUAAUAAUAAUAAUAAUAAUAAUAAUUUCUGUAUUAUUAUUAUUGGCCAAUCACCUUAAGUGAAUUGUGAUCAUGCAUGUUAACGUUGCAUGGUUUUGACAGGCAAGUGAAAGGCAAACUUGGUUGGCUGAUGAGAGUGUCUUGACUCAUUUUGAAUCGCUUAAGUUAGAAACUCAUGAAGUGGUGAGUUCUCUGGCUUAACAAUGCUCUUGGCUACAUGGAUAUAUUUUACGCAUUUUAUUUCUAUCUCUAAUCUUUUGUGCGCUUUGAUCACAUUAGGUUGGUUCAGAAAUUGCCAGGCAUGAGGCUCUGGAUGACUUAGAAAAAGAUGGAAAUGAAGUGCCUUUGGGGAAAAUGAUACAGCAAUUAAAAUCUCAGGGAGCCAAGGGUGGAAAGGCUAAGAAGAAAAAAUCAUCACCAGCUGAAGUGAAAGGUACUGAAAAUGAUGUUGAUAUUCUGCAAAUGGUUAGGGAGAUAAAUUUGGAUAAUCUGGGGGUAUUAAAUAAGUUUGAAUCAAGCAAUGGUCAUAAACAUUUUCCAAGUAAGCAAAUAAAAGUUGAUCUUGAGAAUGAAGAAAUUAAGAAAAGAAAAGCUACCGAUGUGACAUCUUUUCCAGUACCCAAGCGUCGAAGGUCAUUGUCUGCUCAUGGUGGUUUCCGAACUCCAAAAAGUAAUUCGAAGGCUCCUUUGAGAGCUUCAGGAGGUGGUUCGCAUCAUGCUGGAGUUUCCUCAUUCCAGUCCAUUGACAUGGAUGAUGACAUUUCUGAAUCAGAAGUGAAAAUAUCUACGAAGAAAAAAAAAUUUACAAGCAAUGAGUCAGACUCGUUUGCAUCACGCUUUCAAGGGAGCAGAAGCUUCUCAUCAAAACGUAAAGGGAAAUCUGCUGAUUUGGGUCAUGAUAAUGAGGCAGAUGAAGUUGGAGAAGCAGAUGAAGGUGAUCUGAAGGUGAGCAUUUACUCUAUUCAAUUUGCUUUGGGAGGUAAACUACUCCCAUAUCAUGUGGUUGUUAGUACUUCGAUUAUGAACUCAUUUACGGCAUCUUCAGAAUUCUGACAUGCUUUCGAAGUCUCCUGUUGGAUCUGCCAAGAAGCGCAAAAGAAGAAGCAUUGCAGGAUUGGCAAAGGUGAGCAUGACAUUGGACUAUUUGUUCCUCAUUCAAGCUCAUCUUUUUUAUAGUAAACAGAAUCUGAUGAAAAUAUGAAAAGAUGAGCUUGAAGUGGAUUAGGCGUCCACGAGGGGGGGGGGGGGGGGGGGGAUUCUUUCAACUGGGGGUAUCUGAUGACAGUCAAAAUUCUCAUUUAACCUCAUCUAUGGUACACAAGGAAAAAUCCUUCCUAAAAUGUUUUAUAUAGCUAAUACACAAAUCGGGAAUGUGAAUCUUGAUCCUUGUUGCGUGAAAUUGGAGAUGAUUAUUGUAAUUAAUAACAGUAUGAUCUAGUCAUUUUUAUAUUUUUACUCGGUUAUUGACUGCUAUUUUUCUUUCUUGAUCUUGUUUUGCCAUGGUUUCCCUGUAAUUAUUUAGUUUGAGCUUUGAGCAAAUAUUUAUGCAGAAUGGUGCUCAAAUGUUUUUCUCCUCUUAUAUACGUUUGAACAAGGUUUGGGGUUGAAUUCAUUAUUUUCUUCCCCUUCUAUUUUCUUUUUUCAGUCCCUGGGGUAAUCUUCUUUCUUGUCCAUGACCAUUUUUAACAAAUUGGCGAUAUCUUUUUGUCUUUUAAUGUGGCUUUUUUCAAUCAAUACUGAGAAUUAAAAUUUCCAUACUUUUGAACACUUUUUACUUUGCAGCGACUUUAAAGAUUCUUAUUCUAAAAGCUCACAGUUAAUUGCUGGAGGGACUCCCUCUUGACUCACAUAGUGUAUGAUCUAUGGUAUUGUUUUAGCAAAUAUAGUACUCUCUAUCAUGUAUUGCUAACUUUUUCGAUAAUCCUGCUCGGGAUAUACUCUUAUUUCUAGUUUAUUUUUGCCUAAAAUAGGAGAUCAUCUAUAUCUUCCAUGUAAAAUGUAAUUUGCUGACAUUUUAUUUGCUUUCUCUUCAGUGUACAACAAAGAAUGCUGGAGUUAAUAUUGAAGACUUGAUUGGUUACAGAAUAAAAGUCUGGUGGCCCAUGGAUAAGCAGUGAGUAUCCAAUCAAGAUAUAUUGGGUGGAAAAUGUAAAUAAAGCAGUAUAAUGCAGAGGAUACGGAUGCUUUAAUUUUGUGUCCAUGCUUGUGUACAUAUAGAAUUAGAAUUUAGGAUUAACCUCAAAUAGGGAUCUUUUAGGGCAUUAACCUCAGAAAUUGACAUACAUCAAAGUUUAGUUGCAAUAAUUUUGGCUGCUGCUAAGGGUUCUAUGCCUUGCUCUCCAUCCAUGUCUAAUCACAUUUACAUGUGCAUGCAUGUGUUUGAGUAUUCAAAAAAGAUUUUUUAACCUCUAAUUUCCUUUCAUGCAUGGUGUGUAGAGAUUACUUGAGAACCAGUUUGUCGUACAUUGAAUCAGACCAAACCUUUCUCAUAUUAAAUUUGUCAAUUCAUCAUGUUAUAUUGUUUUCUAAAGAGCCUAAUUUAAUUUAGUGUUGCAGGGUUGUAUCCUACUGCAACUGAAGCUUUAUUUCCAUUCAUUCUCAUUUUGAAAUACCAAUAUAAUUUUUUUUUUUUUUAACGACAGUACUGGAAAGAUGAUUUGUUGAUGUAUCUUAUUGCUAAAUCAACAGGUUUUAUGAAGGCACUAUUAAAUCUUAUGACCCUAUAAAAAAGAAGCAUGUGGUAAGUUGCAGUUUAGUGGCUUUUCUCUCUGAGUUCUUAUCUUGGGGCUGCUUGAUGUGAGUUAUUUGUCUCUAUUUUUCACAUGAUCCUUAAGAUAAUUCUUUCUGUUGGCAUGGUAUUAUAGAUAUUAUAUGAUGAUGAAGAUGUAGAAGUACUUCGUUUAGAUAAAGAACGGUGGGAGCUUCUUGACAAUGGUCGCAAGCCUACAAAGGUUUAAGAUUCUCUUUCUUCAGCGUUUUUCCAAAGUUUCCUUGAAUGCAGCAAUGAUUGACAUUAUCCAAAGUUCUAAUAACUUUUUCCUUACUCUAUCUAUAGAAAUCAAAGUCGAAUUCAUUGAAGCAUGCCUCGUUAAUACAAGUGUAAGUGUUGUCUUUAGACGAUCCAUGCUCCCAAAAGUGGCAGUUUUAUUUAUUUUAUUUUAUUUCAUUUUUUGGUGAAAGUGAACCGGCGGCAAUUUUUCCCACAGUAAUGUUGUGUUUUUUCUAAGAUAGUACUGAGGUUCUGGACUUUGUUCUCUAUGUAACUUACUAUUGCUCUUAGACAAUAACAUUCCACUCAUUUAUUCUUUAAUUGUUUCUCAGAUCAUCUGGGAAGAAGAAUAAACUUUCAGGUGGUUCACGUCAAAAUAAGAAAUCAAUGAAGUGAGUAACAUUUGGCUUCUCAGAUGCAACUGUGCUAAUCUAUUUCUAUUUUGAAGUUUUAAAUCAAUUGGUCUUUGUUUUUUUAGAGAUAAGGGGAAGAGAACUCCAAAGAAAAGCUUGAAGGACAGGCCAAAAUUUGCAUCAAAGAGCUACUUUAGUGAAGAUGAGGACAGUGAGAAAACUGACGUUUCAGAUCCUAAACCCACUACUGUGUCAAAAGUUCUUGAAACGAACUCAGGUUAUUUGUUUCAUCUGUUAGAUAUCACUGAUUUUUUCAGUUUCAAUGCAAUAAACAAAAAACAGACUGCGACUGGAAAGAAGGAAUCUAUGUCUUUUUGGUUUUUUAUUUUAUUUUUCUUUUGUUCGUCAGGUGAUUCUCAAGGCAAACGAGCGGACAUGGAGGAUGAAAAUCUCACUGACAAGGAGGAAUCUGACAAGGAAUUUAAGUUGAUUUCUGAAGAGAGGGAUGUUGAAGAUACAGAGGGGAACCUGAAUGGUGAGGAUGAGUCGGAUGAAGUAGAUAAGAUGGAUUCUGAAGAAAAACCUGCAGAAGAGGUGGGGAGUGUUCCACAAGAUGAAAAAAGUGAUGAAGAAGACAAAGAAGAGGCUGAAUCAAGUAAAGGCUCAAGAGAGGAAGCUAAUGAAGAUGGCAAAUCUGAUUCUGAAGGGAAUGAAGAAAUUAAUGGUGAUGGGAGUAGUCCUAUGAAUCCAGAGAAAUCUCAGAAUGAAUUACCAAAGCCUGUUGAUGCAGAUGAUGCUGAAAUAUCUGAUGAUGAGCCUCUUGUACUUAUGCUCAACUUUUCAUUUAAGCAUAUGAAUAUUACUAACCUGCAGCAGUGAUUGAAAUUUUAACUUGAUUUUGGGCUUGUGCAGAGCAAGUGGAAGCUUAAAGUAGGAAAAUCAGGCUCAAGGCGAGUAGGCUAAGCUGCUUGGGCUUGCUACCAAAUUUCACAUCAGAAUAUUGAAAGCUGUGGUGCUGUAGCAUAGUCGUGAUAGUUGGCAGAGGGUAGAAGGAGAUGAAUGCCAUUUUAACUCUGUAAACAAACUAAUAAAAGCAGAAAAUGUAAAAAUAACUACCAUAGGCAUUCCAGCUGUUUAGGUAAGAAUGUUAGUGUCAGUUAAAAAGAUUUGGGCGAUGACCAUUUCAAGUGACCCUUUGUAGCUAUAGAUGUUGGGAUUUGUACGUACUGACUUGUGGUGGGUGGGUGUAGACAGUAGAGCAUCUUUCUGAUAGCCAUGGCUGUUAAACUAGGUAGGCGAGAUGUACAUACAUUACAGCUACGUAUUGGUGAUAGUUGUAUGUUGGUUUAUUCAUGCUUGCUUGGUUUGGCACCUAGCAUCGCAUCCAUCAAAGUUAAAGACAUGGUUUGACUGUCAUUGUCAUUAUUAUUUUGUUGGGAUUAAUUGCCCUCUCUCUAUUAUUAUCAUUUUCCUUUUCUUCCUGUUCUGUAUUAAAUUCAUGAUGAUAUAUGAAUAUCAUAUCGAAUCUACUAUUAGUAUUAGUGGUGCGAAACUGAAAAUGAGCUUUUAGCCAUCUGAGCCUGUGGAAGGAGAUGGUAUUGUUUUUAUGUAAAGUGGAAUGGAAGUAGAAGUGAACGGAGAACAGGAUCAAAGGUAAAAUGAGUCUAGGUGAAUCUGCACUUGUUGAAAUUGCAAUUCUUUGAACGAGCAGCUCCGCGCACGUGCUCCUAUCCUGAACAUAUUUGAGAUUCAAACGGAAGGAUAGUGAACCCUAAACACAAAGGAGUAAGGAUGGCUGGAUCAACGACACGAUUUUAUCUUUGUCAAUGUCCAUUACCAUGGUGAUUGGUGAGUCCCAUGGUAGAUGAUAAAGUUGGGUGAAAAGUCAAACAUGAGACCAGUCAAAACAGAGACCAAGACUUCAGACACGGCCACUGGUCAACUCGUAAACACACGUGUCUAUCAAGCUAAUUUGUUUAUUUUAUUAUUUCUUUUGAAAAAAAAAAAAAGGCUAAAAAAAGGGGACUCUUUGGUUUCUAAAACUGAGUGAGCUGAGCUGGAAUGGCCGAUAAAACCAGACAGAUAAGGAAGGAAGGAAGGAUAUCAGAAACGAGCAAAGGAAAGAGAAAAUACCCACUCUCUUCUGUUAAUGGUGAGCCUGCUUUAUGAUAUUUUGGUUUAGGUACUGGUUAUGUUGUGUUUGUUUUCAUAAAAACCAGACACGACUAGUAGUGAUCGGUUGCUUUCUUCCGGUUUUUGUCUGUAAAUAGAACCAGUUAGUUUUGUCGGUAGUUCAAUAACGCAGUCACGGAGGAUAAGUUCGGUGAGAUAAGUGGUUUCGAAUCAGUGUCACUGGGUUAUUUCUCCCAACCGAUAUAGUUAUAUCUUAUUAUUAACUAGUAAAAUAUUGCUGCUCAUUCAUCUUUACCUUUCACAGUUGCUUGCUUGCUUCUUUUUUCUCCUUAUUCUCCAAAUCCACACGGCAGUAACAAGGUUUUCUCUCUCUCGCAAUGUGAAAAUUAUAUUUUAUUAUGUGUUUGAGCUGAUGUGUUUGCGGUGUUCUCGAAAUUUGAGAAUACAUCUUGCUUGUAAAUUCUGUGGGUAUGAUUGAUACCUGAUGCGUUAUUGUUCUUCAUUUAUUUCCUUUCUGUGGUAAAACAAUUCGUUAUAAAAAAUUCUUCCUUUAUAAAGAAAUGCUUCAUUUUGCAUAUUCGAUUGCUUCAAUUAGCACGCUCUUUCGCCAAUUGGCUAAUUUUUCCCCUUUUUAAAAAAAAAAAAAAAUUAUUGAUUUUGAACGUGGACAAACUUUCAUGAUACUAGUUUUUUCCUAAUUUCUAAUGUCUUUGUUUCUUAGUCCCUUUUUUUUUUUUUUUUUGCCCAAUUAAAAACUUGAGAUUGAUUUCUGAUAUAUUCCCUUUGAAUGUUUUGUUCUUUUCUUUGCAGUGAGUGCCAAGUUCUUAAGGCGAUCCAUCUUAGAAACUGCAUUAUGAGGCAGCCAUUUGGACAGCUAAAAGUGACUGUGGUGCAAGGGAAAAGGUUGGUGAUCCGAGAUUUCAAGAGCAGUGAUCCUUAUGUUGUACUCAAGUUGGGCAAUCAGGUAAUCUCAAGUUCUGCUCUUUUUAUCAUAUGUUGUCUAGUGUCUACCUUCUCUUCUAUAAUAAAAUGCUUGACAAGUUUUGUAUUAGAUAAUAUGUAUGUAAGUUUGCUGUCAGCAAUGAUAGAUUUUUCUUUUUUUCUUUUUUCAAACAAAAACUUUAAUUAUCCUUCUUGUGUCUUUUGUGACAGAUGGCAAAGACUAAGGUUAUAAACAGUUGCCUUAAUCCCGUUUGGAAUGAGGAGCAUAGUUUGUCUCUCACAGAGCCAGUUGGAGUUCUGAGUUUGGUAUGUUUAUGCUCUGAUACUCGGUGCAUAUUAUUCUUGAUGAUUUAUGUGAUUUAUAUAUAUCAAAUCUGAAGUAGGUAUUUGAGCAAUCUCAUAAUCUAGCCGAGUUAGUUCUUUUUCUGGACUAGUCUUCAUCAAACUGUGAAAAGGAUAAAUCAUCCAUUAUAUCUAGUAACUUGAAGCUGCUAAUCAAUCAAAUUCGUCAUUGUUGCAGGAAGUGUUUGAUAAAGACCGAUUCAAGGCAGAUGACAAGAUGGGAAAGGCCUACCUCAACCUUCAACCAAUAAUCUCUGCUGCAAGGUUGAGGCAUCUUGUGCAUGUCUCAUCUGGAGAGACACCAUUAAGGAAAAUUAUUCCAGAUUCAGAAAACUGCCUAGCCAGGGAAAGCUCAAUUAUUUGUAUAAAUGGUGAAGUGGUGCAAAAUGUUUGGUUAAGGCUCUGUGAAGUUGAGUCAGGGGAGAUAGAACUAAAAAUCAAGAUAGUCGAUGCUCCUUCGAGGUAGGAUAGUGCAGUGCCUCAAGUAGUGUUAAGUGUACUGUCUUGUUUGUAGUCUAGUCUACUUGCUUCAGAUUUAUCAAUAAGAUUAAUUUGUCUGUAAUUUAGGCAUUUAGUAAGUGUAAUGUAUAAUGUGUAGCUGGUUUGAAAUUGAAAUUUGAAAUGAUCUUAAGUUCGAUGAAAAUGAGUGGCAUUUUCUGUACCUAGCUUGUGCAGGCAAGUUGUACUUUUGAUGAGAUGAGAGCCAAGUUGGUCUUUAUUUAUGUGUCCUCUCUUUUUUCUCUAAUUGUCUCCUUGGAAUUUGGAUGCUAAAGCCUUUAUUUUCAUGUCGCGCUAAUGCUGGUAUUUUAUGGAAAAUGGCUACGGAGGAGUAUCACUUAUAAGGACCAGGGACCAUGAAAUCAAAUUUUAGUUUACGAGUGAUGAUUUAUUGGGCGAUGGUGUCCACCUUAUAGUGAGUGACAGUAUCACGUGGUGUUAUUUGAUUAAUUUAUAACUUAAAUGUUAUUUAUGGAGAGUCAUAGAAAAUUCUCUCACAUGUCUAGAUACUCAGCAUAUUGUGGUCACUUGUGUUCAUGAGAUCAUUCUCUUUAAUUUUAAGAAGAGAUGAGUUUAUAUGCUAGCAAAAAAGGAACAUCUUUUUUUCUUUUUCUUUUUUGGGUUAAAGGGAAUAAAAAUCACAAAUAUUGUUUCUCAAAUUAAUUAGUAUCUAUUUUUUCUUUAAAAAAAAAAAAAAUUGAAACAAAACUAAUCUUAUUAAAAAAUAUCAAAAAGAAAGAAGUGACAUGGUGAGGGUGACAAUUUGAUUCGACCCGAAUUUUGGCCCAAUUAAUCCGAUCUUAAGUUUUCGAAAUUUAACCUGAAUAUUCAGGUUUCGGGUCAAGUUUGAGGCAAAAAAUUAUGGCCCAAUCAAAACCAAAAGUAGUUCUCUCCUUAAAAAAAGAGUGAUGCUAUUGGCACCCCUGUGUUUUUCUUAUAAAACCCCUCUUGUUAUACAUUUACAAUUUUAUCCCUUGUAUCUUGAAUUGUAUUAGCUGUAAAAUCUUAUCUUAUUAAAUCCAUAUAUGAUUUUUUCUCACUGACUCUUUCUCCACUAAAGCACUUAAAAGUUGCAAUUUUUUUUUGGGAAAAAAAAGGUCAAUGGUAAAAGAGUAAGAAUUUGAUAUAAAGUAUUUUUUUUUUUCACUUAACAAUUUAUUUUUGUAGGAAAGAUAAUUUUAUAAAAUUUUCAUAAAUUACCAACGUUAUUAGAAUGCUAGGAGAUAACUUAACCUUGCGUGUAUUUUAUACAUAUUUAUUUUGAAAUAUAAUGUCAUAAACUGAAAAGUAUAAAACGAAAACAAAUAGAAACCUCAUAAUAAAUUAAGCGCAUGGGAUACAAAAUAUUGGGUUGUUAUCAACAACCUUUCCUAUAAAAAGAAGAAACUUGAAGUGGGAGUGGUUGAAGAGUGAUAACUGAAAGGAGGUCGAAAUUGUUUGCGGAAACAUUACAGAUAAAGGCUAUUUUAGGAAUUGAGGAGGAAAUAAACAGAAAAGGGGUUUGAAAAGGAUAUUAGGGGGUGCUGAUAGCCCCACUCUAAAAAAAUUAUGGCCCUAGAUACAAUAAGAAAUAAUUGGUUUUGGUUCAUGAAUGACAUCGCUAAAAACCAAAAGUAGUUCUCUCCUGCUUCUUAUUGAUGCUAGAAGGACCUGUCUAUGGUACAGAUUCUGUAACAAACAUCUCCCGUCAUCCCACCAUCCGAUUUUCUGUUGUUCAGUUUCUCACUCCACAUCCAACCACAUCCAACGGCUGAUGCUGCAGUCUGUACCUUACAGAUUCUGUAAGCUAGUCGAGUCCAUGCUAGAAAUAAAGUUGUAGUGAUGGCGGUGUGUAAAUAGUAAAUAUUUAAUAAUAAUAGUUUUGUUCGGGAUUUUUUAAUUAAAUAUAUCCCAUUUACCCCAAAAUACUUAUAAUGCAUUUACUUUUUAAAUUAGAGAAUCGAAAUUCAGAAUUUGAAUAAUUGAUAGUGUUUAUUUCACAAAAUAAUGAUGAAAAUGAGAAUUAUUUAAGUGGGGCCCAUAGUAAAAUGGGAUUAGGGAAUGAGAAUUUGAUUCCCAAUGGGGGGUUGGAAAUCAGAUUCUCAUUCUGAAAACUAUCUGUUUUAUCUCCAUUAAAUUUUCAUAAUCCCUAAAUUUUCUCAGUUAAGUUCUAACACUUUUGUAUUUUUGUCCCUUUUGAAUUUAUAAAAAUACCUAGAAUUUUUAUGAUAUUUACUAAGAGGUCCUUUAUUAUUUAUUAUUACUAACAAUAUAAUGAUAAUAAUAAUUAUUUUAAUAAUUAUUAUUAUUAGUAUUAUUUUUGCUACUGCUGUUGUUAUUGUUGUUGUCGUCGUUAUCAUUUUUAUUAAAUUUAUAAUAAUAAUAAUUAAUGUCGUCAUCAUCAUUAUUAAUAUUGUUAUUAUUAAAAUUUAUUUAUUUUAUUAUUUUAAUUAUUAUUAUCAUUAAUGUCAUUAUUAGUAUUAAAAUAUAUUAAUUUAAUUAUUAUUAUUUUCAUUAUUUUCAUUAUUAUUAUUAUUAUUAUUUUAUUCUUACUAUUGUUAUUAUUAUAAUAGACGCGAAUAAAACUAAGUAUCACAAUUAACAAAUGGCAUUUUAAUAACUUGGAACAAUUUGUUUUAGUUCCAAGAUAAAAUAAACACAUCAGUGGAAUACAAUCUAUUCUGGUUCUAAUUCCAACAACUCAAUUAAACAAUUUAUUCGGAUUUUCUUUUCUCAUUUUGAUUCCAGUGCAUUUCAAUUCCAACUCAUUCAAAUUAUCAAUUAGUAAAUACAUCAUAAAUCUCUAUCCCCAUUUGGGGACAUAAUUGAAAAAUACCCAUAAAGUCGAGUAAAUUGAGUGUGAAGUCAAGUAAGUCGAGAAAGUGAAUAAGUUAAGAAGGUGAAUAACUGACGUACUAAGUUGCAAGAUAAAUUUAAGAAAGUCUCAAUUAUAAAGUCGAGAAAGUUAAAUGCAAAGUCUAGUAUGAAGUUGAGAAAAUUGGACAUGAGGAUAAGUAAGCCAAGUGAGUUAAUUACAAAGUUGAGUAUGAAGUUAAGAAAAUUUGGUAUGAAGUUGACUAAGUCGACUAAGUUAGCAUUUAUUUUUUCAUCUGAAAUUUGAAUGCCUGAAUGUUACUGAAAUCUAAAUGGAUGUAAGUAGUAUAUAUGUCAGAAUAAUAUGUUUAUUUUUUAUUUUUUGAUGUAUGGGUAUAAGUGGUAAGUUAUUUGUUUUUAUAAACUGAAAACAUCUUAAAUAUAAUAUUUAUAUACUUAUGACCUUAAAAGUAUUAUAUAUCCUUGAAGUUUAAAUAUGCACAUAUUUAUGGUGUUAUCUAGUAUAAUAGUUUUUAUAUAUUAUAAGUAUUUAUAAGGUAAGCAUUUGAUAUAUAAUUUAUAAAAAAUAAUUUUGAUAACAAUAUUUUUUUACAAUGUAACGUAAUAUGUAUGCAUAAAAAAAUUGUUAUCUAAUGAUAAAAGAAUUUGCUUAAAAUUUAAAUUGAAUGUAUGUUAAGUAUUUGAUACCAAAUAAAAUUUGAGAUCAAGGGAAAUUUUAAUAUAAUAUCUAAUAGUUAGGCAGGAAAUAAAUACAUUUAACAAGGGUAUUUGUAAGGAGAAAAAUUGAUUUUUCAUUCACACAUUUUAUCAUUUAUAUAAAAAUCAGGAGAUUUUACUUUUUCUAUUGAGUUAAAAAUGUUGUACAAUAAAACUUCAAAAACAAAAAUAAGCAAACUAAAAUAUCAAAACAUCCUAAAUCAAGCCAAAUUAAGACUUUGGACAUAAAAACAAACACCCCUAAGUCAAUUAUAAUGUGUCAAAAUUAAGUCUAUAAUCGAGCAAUUUUAUAAAUGAUUUUAAAUAAGGGCAUUUCAGUAUUUUCAUCAAUUUUUGGGUACAUCUAUGUAAAACUAAGAGACAACAAGGCAUUUGUUUGGUAUUUUGCUAGGAUUGGGGAUGGGGCAUCUACGCUGCCAUUUGCCCUUUCGUUUGUUCAUGUUGUUAUGCGAUGAGUUUGAGGUUUAGAGCAAAGGAAAAGGAAAAGGAAAAGGAAGCGAAAGCGAACCCAGACGAUGAUGAUGAGAAGAACCAGAAAAAACAACGAAUGGUUGUGGAUCUGGGAAAUGGAAGUGAAGUUAUUUAUUUUCCAAGAAUUAUAAAAAUGGAGGAUUCUUGGAAAUUCUUUGAUUACCUCAACAAUCGAAUCCCUUGGAACAGACCCACCAUUCGCGUCUUCGGUCGAUCUUGCCUUCAGGUAGUCAUUCAUUAUGAUUAUUAUUAUCUUCAUCAGCAUCAUCAUUUAUCGUCUACUACUUAUUAUUAUUUGCAAUUCUAUGUUUGCUUUGUUUGUUCUUUUCCUGUAAAUCUGAGAUUGAGAGCGGAUGUCUUGCGUAUGAAUAGAUUAUGACUAUGAUUCUUUUGCUUUGCUAUGCUCUGGGAAAUGGGAAGGGCUUUUAAUUUGCUUAAGUAGCAGUGAUGGUUUUUGUUGUGGCUGCAGGUAGCCUGCAUCAGUACAGUGAGUGGUAUAAAAAUUUUGCUCAAAUUCAUCUUGAAUGCUGCAAUUAAUUAGCCUCCUACCUGCGUAGCCUAUUUAUAUAGUUGCAUUUGCAGAAUUGUGCUUUCUAAAUGCAAUUGCGUGCUUUCUGGUGCAGCCUAGAGACACAUGUUAUGUUGCUAGUGAAGGAGUGACACAAUUAAUUUACAGUGGCUACAGGCCACAUCCAUAUUCUUGGGAUGAUUUUCCUCCCCUCAAGGACAUUUUGGACAUAGUAAGUCUCACAUAAUGAAAUGUAACUGAACAUCACCUCACAUCACAUUACGACACAGUAACUUGGCCCGCUUCACUUAAGUUUAUGUGUACCUACUAUCUAAUUUGUUUGUUUACCUACUUCUUGAAGGUCCUCAAAGUGCUUCCUGGGAGUAGAUUUAACAGCUUAUUAUUGAAUAGGUAUAAAGGUGGCAAUGACUAUGUAGGUUGGCAUGCCGAUGAUGAGAAGCUUUAUGGAUCCACUCCCGAGAUUGCCUCUGUUUCAUUUGGAUGUGAGCGCGACUUCUUGUUGAAGAUUAAGCCAAGUAAAUCAUCCCAAGAUCCAAUAUGAACAUCUUCUCAUCCUUAGAAUGUUGUUACUGGUUAUAUAAUUAUUUAUUUAGUUAUUAUUAAAGGUGUUUUGAUCUGCACAGAGUCAUGAAUGCAUUGAACCUCUUGUUUGAUUGAUUAUAUUGGUUGACCAUGAGGAAGCUUUGUAUUUGUGGUUAAACUAUUACUAAUGAACUAGCAGUAGAGCAGUGAUUCACGGAAUUCUGUUGUUAUCACUAGAUAGAAGAACUGAUGAUGAACCUGUGAGCAAGCGUUUGAAGAAGAAAGGCAACUUGGAUCAGCACUCAUUCACACUAAAGCAUGGAUCAAUGUUGGUGAUGAGAGGCUACACACAGCGGGAUUGGAUACACUCGGUUCCUAGGCGUGCAAAAGCAGAGUCUACUCGAAUCAACCUCACCUUCAGGCAUGUUCUGCAGUAGCCUAGGUCCUGGGAUUAAUGGAAAGUGUAGCCUUUUUUUUUUUCUUUUUUUUGAUUCUGUGAAUUAGGCAUUAGAAGAGACUAAACCUUGUCCUCGUAACAGCCAGAGCCAGUGACCAAAAUUGAGGUUUUGUAGCAUUGUUUGCUGCUGUUGCUGUAACUGGUGAUCUUGGAUUCACUGAGAAUGAUUUAUAAUGUGACUCCCAGAUUGAUGUAUUUAAAUCAAGCUAAUCCAACAGAUUACUUUGAAUGAUUUAUAUUGUGACUCCCAGAUUGAUGUAUUUAAAUCAAGCCAAGCCAAUAGAUUCCAUUGGAUAUGGACAUCGUUUGGUCAUCUCCCGCCCCCUAAGUGAAUGAUAAACAGGUUCCGGAGAGUCUUAACCGCCGAUUGGUAUCUCACUCGUCUCAACCGACUUCCACUAGUAUAAACAGUUAUCACUUAAUAAUGCCACAUCAUCUGCCAAUCGUGUAAAUAAAUAACAAAGAAAUUUUACAAGCCCCUUAUUAUUUAUUUCGCCUAUAAAUGUAAAUUACCCAUAAGACCGAUGUUCAUGUUGGCGUUGGGAAUAAACAAAUCAGUGAGAUUUCUUUAGUUUAAAAAUAAAAGCAAUUUCCAACUCGUCACACGCAUGAACAUGAUGUCAGCGAUGAGUCAUAUAUUAAUCUCUUGUUACUCUUUCCAAUGUAUGUGCGAAAGAAUCGCUCAUGAUCCAUUCAUUUUACACACAAGCACAACACGAUCGAUCAUAACUAAUAAGCAAAACUCGCCUCUCUUUCAAGUUUAAAGUUAAAGAUUCUUUGAAGAUACUAUUUAGCAUGGUGCCUUUAGAACCUUCAGAAUCUAUCAAAGCACGAGGUGGGUUCUUUUAACUUUAAUCCACCUCUGUUUUUUUUUUUCCUUUCAUUUUCUGUUUAUUUUGUUCCUUUCUUGCAGAUGUUUGUAUUGUGGGUGUUGCACGUACACCAAUGGGAGGCUUUCUUGGCUCGCUCUCGUCUGUUUCAGCUACAAAGCUGGGUUCCAUUGCUAUCGAAUGUAAAAAACACUAGCUUUAGUUUCCCUUUUGGAUUCUGGCUUCAAAGUUUAGUUUCUCUCUCUCUUUUUUUUUUUUCCCUUUUUUUAAUGAAUUCAUUCAUAGGUGCUCUUAAGAGGGCCAACGUGAAACCACUCCUUGUGCAAGAAGUCUUCUUUGGGAACGUUCUUAGCGCCAAUUUAGGACAGGCUCCCGCUAGACAGGCCGCCUUAGGUGCUGGGAUUCCUAAUUCUGUCGUAUGCACCACUAUUAACAAAGUCUGUUCAUCUGGGAUGAAAGGUCAGAUACUUUAUUAUUUGAAAUUUUCUCUUUUCUACUACUCUUAUGCGGUUAUAUAGAUUUGUGAUUUGUGGUUUUUUCUUUUCUUUUCUUGUCUUUGUUAGCUGUAAUGCUUGCUGCACAGAGUAUUCAAUUGGGUAUCAAUGAUAUUGUUGUUGCGGGUGGCAUGGAAAGCAUGUCCAAUGCGCCCAAGUAUCUAGCAGAAGCAAGGUUGGCAUCAUCCUAUCUCGGUUGAACAUAGUCUCUUUAUUUAAUCUUUUUGAAGUUUGAAAAAAAAAAAAUUAAAAAUUGUCUAUUUGAAGCUGAGUGUGUUUAUUGAAUGAGCAAUUGAAGGGUUUUUGCUUAGAUUUUGUGUCAGUCAAUUCUAAGUUGGGAACACAAAAUGCUUCCACCAGUUUCUUUGUCUGAAGUUUGGCUUAGCUGCGGGCAGUGGCUAAACUAAUUUGAUUUAGUUGAGUCUCCCCUUUUUCUUAUAAAACUGCUAUAUACUCAGAUGAUGCAUCUUUUAAAAAUUAUAUUAUACUCUGUUUCUCUGGGGCUGUUCAUACAUUCAUUAUGCAGCUAGAUGUUUAUCUCAAAGAGAAGAAAAGGGAAUUUUGUUUGGUUACUGUCUCAUCUAUUUGUGUGGUUGCUUGCUAAAAAAAUGUCUCUGAACUUGAUGUUUUAGCCUUUUCCGUUGUCCCUUCUGUAAAAACUUGAGGAAAUAGAUCAGUAGAUGAUUCUUUUUUGCUAGCAGAAAGGGAUCUCGACUGGGACAUGAUACUAUUGUUGAUGGCAUGCUCAAAGAUGGCCUGUGGGAUGUCUAUAAUGACUUUGGGAUGGGAGUAUGUGCAGAAAUAUGUGCUAAUAAACAUACCAUAACAAGGGAUGAGCAGGUAGUUUUCUCAUAUGGAUUCUUAAAACCACCAUCAAUUAUUGAGGAUACUGAUUGGUGUUUUAAUUUACUUGAUGUAUUUUCUUUUGCAACCUACUGCUCAUUAUUACUCCCCAUAUUUAUCCUUGAUGGCCUUGUAGAUUGUGCAGAAUUAUGCUUAUCUGGAUGAUUUCUCUUUUGUUCGAUCUCUCUUUUUUUUUGGGGGGGGGGGAGAGCAGGAUUCAUAUGCUAUUAGAAGCUUUAAGCGUGGGAUUGCUGCACAAAAUUCUGGUCUCUUUGCUUGGGAAAUCGCUCCGGUACAAUAUUUAAUUCUACUUACAGUUUAUAGAAAGGUUAUAGCCUUUGAUGUAGUUUUGCAUCAGUUCAUGAUUUUCUACUUGCAGGUUGAAAUGUCUAGUGGAAGAGGGAAACCAUCCAUAAUUGUUGAUAAGGAUGAAGGUUUAGAAAAGGUAUAAACUCUACAAAAUGGAUAAGCAUUUGGACUUAGAUCUUAUUCAUUUUGCAUCUUUCAAUGUGUUUUAAAAUUUAGUUUUCCACUUUAAGUUGUUUUCACAGCCACUGGUUUCUCAAGAAUUGAGCUGUUGGCCCCAGAAAAUGCAUACCAUAGUUCUACAUUUCAAUUUUCUUGUUCUGAUGGUUUCUUGAGUUUGAACAAGUGAAGAAGCCUUUGUAUAAGUUGGAAACUAAAUACAUAUGUGGGGGUGCCCUCUUUUUUUUUUCUAAUAUGGACAUGCUGUUAAGCCGUGCGGUUUAAUAGAGUUAUUUUUUAAUGCACUAUAAAGUCGUGCGGUUUAAUAGCAUUAAGAUCCGACUCUAUUAAACUGCAAGGUUUAAAAACAUGUCUACAUAACCAAAAAAAAAAUGAGCGCGCUUGCAUUAGAGAAGGUUAUAUAUAUGUUUUUGAUAUCAGUAACUAUAAUGAAAAUUCUGAUGCGAUUCCGCAUAAUAGCGUUAGUAUAUGCUAGUGUCAUCAGUUUCUUGUUACUAAUAGCUUGUCAACUAACAAAUUCCUAAGCAUUGAACUAUAAUUGUUAUUUCCUUACUUCUGGUAAUUUGGUAUUUGCUUGAAUGCUGAACAUUUGCCUCUUCCUUUUUUUUAUACAUCUUGCCAGUUUGAUGCUGCAAAGCUAAUGAAGCUCAGACCCAGUUUUAAGGAAGGGGGUUCUGUUACUGCUGGCAAUGCUUCUAUUAUAAGGUCCUCUCUCUCUCUCUCUCUCGUUUUAAUGGAGGCAAUAUAUAGGUUUGCUGCUGGGUGAAAUCCAGUGUAUAGCCGCUUAUUGCUGUUGGUGAAAUGAUCAAGUUCGUGUAUCAAUCUCGUGACUUGAAAUUGUAUUCUAGUCGUGAGUUUUUGUUAUUAAGAAAUUCUUGGAACAAGAUCUUCAGGAAUAUGUUAAUUUUUGCUAUCUAUGGCUGCUUUUUGAAUUGAACCAAUUAAAUUAUGACAAAUCUUUUCUAAGUUCAUUAUAUCUAUGUCUGAGUCAAAUAUGGCAAUCCCAUCAUAGAAUCUACAUUACAUAAAAAAUAGUUAUUCUGUAGUUGCCAAGGGGAAUUUCUUUUCAGUUUUGGGUUGUUGGUCUACUGUUGUGGUCAGUGAUGGUGCAGCGGCACUUGUACUGGUGAGUGGAGUGAAGGCGCUUGAGCUUGGUUUGCAAGUAAUAGCUAAGAUUAGGGGAUUUGCUGACGCAGCUCAGGUAGGUCAAAAAAUAUUUCUUGUAUUCAUCUUGAUCUUGGGUGGAUUUAUGUACUUGGUGCUGAAACAAUUUUUUAAUGGCAGGCUCCAGAGUGGUUCACAACUGCUCCAUCCCUUGCAAUACCAAAAGCCAUAGCAAAUGCUGGCUUGGAAGCUUCUCAGAUUGAUUACUAUGAAAUAAACGAAGCUUUUUCUGUAAGAAAUCAUGUUCCUACCUAGUGAUGCCGCUAGUAUCCAAAGGUUAGUUUAUUACCGUUUCAUGUUCUAACCUCCUGUUUGCAGGUUGUAGCUAUUGCCAAUCAAAAACUGCUUGGUCUUGAUCCUGUGAGUCCUUUACGAUUUCUGUUCUGUGUUAAUUUUUCAUGCUUGAAUUAUUUGCUAGCUGUUUCAUUGUGCUUCUAUUAGGUCUAUUGGUUCACUGAGGUAUCAUUAUGUUUUCUUAUUUAUUUAUAAUUUUAUGCCUUUCUGGUUAUUGCAGGAACAGGUUAAUGCGCAUGGUGGAGCCGUAUCCCUGGGUCAUCCGUUAGGGUGUAGUGGAGCUCGUAUCUUAGUCACAUUAUUGGGGGUAAUUUAAAGGGCUUAUUACAUUUUAUCAUUCCCAAUAUGUUCUUUUUCUCAUGAUUCAGCCUAAUACCUAGAUAUCUUUCCUCCUCCUCUUCUCUCGCGCUGCGUUAUUUACUCUGCAUAAAUUACAUGGAUACAAAAGCAAUCAUCAGCUUCCACCCAUUCCCUUCUUACUUCUUGGUGUGAAAUCCAUAAGGAGGCCUGUUUUUAACGAAUGAAGAAUGCAUUAUAACUAUUUGGUUUUUCUGUAGUCCUCAGGGAUCAUCUAAUACUGUUAUGGUGUUACAGGUACUGAGACAUAAGAAGGGGAAGUACGGCGUUGGUGGCAUCUGCAAUGGUGGAGGGGGGGCAUCCGCUCUUGUUCUUGAGCUCAUGUAAGAAUUUUAAAUUUGGUAAGCAUGCGUAUGAUUCGCUUAUGAAUUUUGCCAUCCAUUUAAAAAACCGUAAAUUAAAAUGGUUUUACAAGCUACUAAAUCUGACGAUUUCUCUUUUAUAAUACAUUAUGAAGUUCUAGAGAUUCAUGCGAAAGAAAGUGGGAUUUUUUGGGUAGCAUCUAGCAUAACAUGCACUUUGCGUUGUUAUGAGUCAUCAUUAUGCUCCCCUAUAAUUUUUGUGAAUUCUGAUAUACUGUAGAGAACUCAAUGCUACUACGUUUUUAUGCAACUAAUGAUAAUUUCCGUGCAGUACUAGAUGUUCGUCUCUUUUCUUCUAACUAAAUAAUUUAUGAUUGUACUUAACCGCAAAUUAGGAAAUGAAGAAGAGAACAGCAGAAUAGUUUAUUUUACACACACACACACAUAAUAGUCAUCACAUGAAUAGCAUGGAUCCUGCCGAUUGGAUUAGCAAGUAGCAACAGCUAGAGGUUGGAAGAUACCACAUAAUCGAAAAAGAAAAUAAAAUCCAAAUCCUCAUUCUGAAACCUAGACAAUGACUGGAUUCUCUUAAAAUCUAAGAGAGCAUUGUACUGACUACCUGUUCUCAGAUUUUUUAAUGCUAUUGUUGCUAUGACUUAGUAGAAUAAAAAAUAAAAAAGGGAUUUCAUUCCAUUUUCUUUGAUCAUGGGUUAAAAACUUGUGUUUUGCAGGCAAGCGGUGCGGGUGGGACAUUCCAAGCUAUGAAUUGAUGAUGUAUACUGACUGUGGAACAUCACCUCCUGUGCUAUUGUCUCUUAUCUCUUUGUUAAGUUGUCUACUUGAAUGAGAAAGCUAAAAGAGAAAAAAAAUAAAUAAAAAGGGAAAUGUAUCAGCUUGAUCGACCCUAGUAAGAAAGGUAGAUAGGAUAGAUGUAUUAAAUGAUUACCCGCAUAAGUCAUCAUACCAUUGUAAAGUGGUAAAGCAUUGGUGGCGAAGGAGCACCAAUCCCUGUAGCUCAUCAUAUAGCUUGAGCUAGAGAAAUAUGUGAAGAGUGAAGAUCACUAAAAUAAGACCACUGCUUCUCUUAUUACUUGAUCUUAUGUGAAUGACGCUUGGCUGACUGUAGCAAGCAAUAUUGGUAUGUUGUUAGACUUGUGCUGCUGUCAGAGCAAAUCCUGUGAAACACCUUUAUAUGGCCUUUUGUGUGGUUCAUUCAGAUCUUCUUCUUACACACGCCUGAUACAUGUAUAGUUAUUAUAUUUCUUCCCGCAAAGAUUUUUUGGCUCUUGUGUGACAGUGAAAGCACCCACCCAGACACCCCAGCGCCACUGCGAGCCCCUCCAGUGAACUCUUUCCUGGCAUUGGCAUCUGCAGUUCUCCAACUAUAAUAAUAAUAAUAAUAAUAUUAAUAUUCUUCAAGACUCAUAACAGGUAAUCAAUGUUGACUAUGGCUAGGAAUUAAUUCGGAUCAUGGAUUUAUUUUAAUGUGUACAGUUUGUAACAUGUAAUUAGUAAUUACCUCACAAAUAUAUGUAUGCUUUUAGUAAUUUUGACAGCAAAAAUAUAUGUUAAUAACAGUGGAUGGGGUCUUUAGAUUAGUUUUUUUUCCCCCUUUUUUUGGGCCCAACUAGUUAAACUCAUUACUCAUCUUAUAUGAUAUAACUUCGUUUUCUGAAAAAAAGAAAAAAGAAAAAUUGAACCUCUUAAUCAGGUAUUUAAUUUGAAUUAAUUCAAUUCUAUCAAAAUCGAUACGCAAAAUAUUUUAGUUUAUCAUGAUCAUGAGACGAUAUUAAAGUUUUGGUAAAUUAGAAUAAUCUUUCGUCACAUUGGAAAAAGAAAAGGGAAAGAAAACGAAUUUUCAUUGAAAAGGGAAGUUUUAACAUAGAAAUUUAAAACAUAUAGCAUUAAUAAUAGGUAAUAAAGGAAUAAAUAAUAGUGAAUUUGCACAAAAAAAAUAGUCUUGUAAGAGGCUGGCAAGCAUUGAAAGUCGGAAUGUCUCCCUCCAGAAUAGCACAACCCUAUACCCCUCACCUAACAAUAACAAUAGUAACAAUAAACAUUUUCUCAACCAAAAAUAAAACUUCUUUUUCUUUUUGUGUGUGUGUGUGUGUGUUUUAUUAUUUUUCUGGGUUCUUUCUUUCUUAAACAAUAUCAUUCAUUUAUAUUUGAUUCUUUUCUUGUCUUGUGCAAUUGGUGAGAUAUCUUCAACCAUUAUUAUUAUUAUUAUUAUUAUUAUUAUUAUUCCAUGCAUGUUUGUGUUAUUGAUUCCAUAUAUACAUACUGCCAUGUUUAUGUUACUUUCUCUCUCAGGCUCUCAGCUGCCAAUCAUUGUUUGCGGUCUCUAAUGAUAUUUACAUUUUACUUACAUAUACAAUAGGAUCCUCUUCUCUAUCUAUGAUCAAUUUAAUUAGAUGGAUGGGACUUCAUUUCGUUAUUAAUUAAUGCAUGACAAAUAAUUUGAUUAUCUAAUUAUCUUUGGCUCUUUCGCCAUCAUUUGAAUUCCAUGUCAUGAGAUCAUCAAAUUCAUGCAUACAAAUGAAUGAUUAAGUGAUUUAACAGUUUGCAGGCAAUCAGGAUUCAAGAAAUAGAUAAAAAGAGAUGUUGAAUAAUAAUAAUAAUAAUAAUAAUAAUAAUAUCAUCCGUGAUCAAAAGGCAAAGGUUUCAUCAGGUUCUCCCAGGGGAGAGGUGGGAGAGAUUGAUACCAGGGCACCGUUUCAAUCAGUGAAGGCCGCUGUGAGCUUGUUUGGUGAAGUUAAACUUGCCAACAAUAAGAACAAACCCCUCCUCAGAAGGACAAGACUUUCUUCAGAGGUAGGCCGAUAUGCAUCAAUAAUGUCUCAUUCUCAUUCUCAUCUCAAUCAAUAAUGAUUGCCUGCGCGCAGAAUGUGUUAGACAAGGAGACGCAGCUUCUCUUGGCCCGGAAAGAAAUCGAAAGAACUAAGAAACUGUUAGAGAGCUCUGAAAGCACAAGAGCUCGAGCACUUGGCGAUCUUGAGAGGGCUAAAAGAACCAUGCUCGAGUUGACCACCAAGCUCAAAGCUGUCAAGGAUUCCAAGGAAUCUGCAAUCGCAGCUGCCGAACAUGUCAGGAAGCAGGCCAAGCAACUCGAAGAGGCCAAAUCCCAGAAAAAUAUUGGAGGCAUUGCUGUUGAAAGGAAACAGCAAGUCGACAUUGCCAGAGAGCACUACGCUAUCACUGCUUCCAAAAUUGAUGCUGCAAAGCAAGAGCUCAACAGAAUAAGACAGGAUUUCGACGCAGCCUUGGAAGCCAAACACUCUGCCCUCCAACAGGCAGCAGAAGCACAGCGUUUGGCCAAAGUCAGCUCUGAAAGAGUUGCUGACCUUCGAAAGCAGCUUUCUGCUAUGAAGGAAGGAAUCAAACAAAUCAAGCUUGCAGCUCAAGAAGCCACUGACGAGCAGGCUAGGAUUGUGUCCGAAAAAGACACCCUCAUGCAAUCUUACAAAGCUGCUCAGGAAGCAGCUGAGAACAAAUUGAACUCUUUGAAAAAGGAAUAUGAUCCUCAACUGACUGAAAAUCUCGAGAUUCAGCUCGCGCAGACUACUGAGGAGAUCAAAGUUUUGCAGAAACAGAUGAAACAAGCUCAUGCUGCUGAAAUGGAUUCUAUGAGAGCUGUUACUGCAGAGCUCAACAAAGCUACAAAGUCACUGCAGGAAGCUGCGGAUGAAGAAUGCUCUCUUCGGAACUUGGUGGCCUCCCUUAAGCUGGAAUUGGAAGAUGUGCAGAAGGAGUGUGCUGAACUGAAGGAAAAGGAAGCGGAAAUGGAAGUCAUAAAAGGAGCUUUAAUGGAAUCUAUCGCAAAAGAAUCUGCUGUAGAAUGUGAAGAUAGCUUGAAUGAGCAUAAAUUGGAGCUGGAAAAGCUAUCAGCAGAAACUGAAACUGCUAUGAAAGAAGAAGCAGUGAUUAAAGAAGAGGCUGAACACCUCAAGCAAGCAGCUGAAGCUGCCCGCAUGCUGGCUAAGGAAGCGGAGAAGAAUUUGCAACUUGCUCUCUCAGAGGUUGAACAAGCAAAAGCAUCCGAGAGGAAAGCCCUUGGUGAGUUAAAUGUUUUAUCAAUCAAGCCAGAUUCUGCUUCCAAUAUCACAAUUUCAAAGGAAGAAUUUGACUCUUUGAAUAAGGCGGUGGAGGAAUCAGUAGCCGUGGCUGAGAAAAAGUUGGCGGAAGCUGAAGCUCAGCUGUUAGUCAUCAAUGCAAGAAAAAAUGAAGCUGAUAAAAAGUUGGAGGCAAAUUUGACCGACGUUGAAGAAAUCAAGAAUGCGACAGAGGCUGCAUUGAAAUCUGCAGAAACGGCAACAGCUGCACAAAGCAUGGUUGAGGCUGAACUCCGGAGGUGGCGCCAGCAAGAAGAGCAAUGGUUGAGGCUGAACUCCAGAGGUGGCGCCAGCAAGAAGAGCAACUGACUGCGCUUUAAGUUGAUUCUAUGGUUCUAGAUUAUGAACAAUGAUACCAAAAUCAUUCCCAUUCAAUUCUAGGAUUUUAAAUCAAAUUUCUCCUGAUCAGAUGUUCAACAUAUGAAGGAACACGAGAAAAUAUUUGUUUGCAAAGGGCAUAUUUGCAAUUUCCGUUAUUUGUUUGCAUCCCAAUAUGAAUCUGAGAAUCUCUAUGUAAAUGGUAUUAAAAAAAAAAAGGAAAAUGGAGAAUGCUAUCUUGAGAGACUACAGGACUACAAUAAGUGGACACAAUCGGUAUGUGUAACCCGUUUAUGUUUUGUUUUACUCAUCUUUGUAAGAAAUUAUCACAAGAAACAUUGCUUUGUUUAGGCAUAAAACAAAAGAAAGGAAAAUAUUGCAUUUCUAGCAUAGUUAUAAGCAUAAGGUAUAGAGGGUGGCUGAGUAUGGAAUACUUAAUUUUUAGCAAAAUGAAUGAAAUUAGAAGAAAUGAUUGUGAUUCCUGUCGAAUCCUACAGUAUAUCUGACUGCAGGGAGCUUCGAGCUGAUUUUAUAGCUCAUGCCAUAUUAGAUACAUCGUAUUAGCUUCUCUUUAAUGGAACUCACACUGAGAUAAUGUGAGCAACCGUUGUUAUCAGGUACAUUUAUAUUUAUGACUGUAUAAUCAAACAGCAAAACCACGCAUCUCACCUAAAAGCAGUGGCAUUGUGUUUCACAUAGAUGAGACAACAUGGAGGUCUUUAGCUUCAGCUGUCGUUGAUUCAUACAUCAUCUAGGGACUGGGUUAGACCAUUUCUGUUUUCAAUCUUGUGCAACUCAGAUUCUAUGGUUUUGGCAAUCUCAGUUCCUUCUGCAGCUGGCUCAGGCAGAUCCACAUGAAAAGAGCCCUGUUUGACUGGUUGAAUAGGUUCACUGAUCAAUGAUUGCUGCUUGAUGUAGUUAUAUAGCUGUUGAUGAAAGGGAUGGUCCAACGAAAAACAGUUCUUGUUCUCUGAACUGCGAGAUGAUCCGGAGUCUUCUCUUCUACAGAAAUGUGGAAGUGAUUCAAAAUCCAUGAUCUACAAGAAACAUGCAAAUACCAUCGUCAGGAUAAUCAUUCUGCAAAAGCAAAAGUAAACUGAAAUAUCCUGUAUUAAGCCUCCAAAUAAAAAAUUAUCAGUAAAUUCACUCUUGUAUUUAAAAAUGGGAAAUCUACCUAAACUCCAGAAAUAGGAUUCUUUAUUAGUUGUUCAUGUUAUGCCUUUACUUCCACAUAUUUUCAACUAAUGAAGGCAAAAAUGCCUUACCUUCAAUAGCUCAUCUCGCCCAGAACCUUGCAAGACCUGAAUCUUUUUCCUUGUCCUCUCCUGCAGAAGGGGCUUAACGACCUGUUAUUAAGUUUAAAGGUUAUAUCAGCGGCAUGCCCAGCUCUAGUAAGAUGGUUCAGGAGGAACUGCAGAAUGAUAUCAUGGCCACCGAGAGACUACUUCACAAGGAGCAAUGCUUACCUUCCAACAUGCGGAAAAUAUGUAUGGCACAUUCACAAUAUAAUAUGUAUUUGUCUUCUCUGGGUAGUUCAAGUCAUCAACUGUUGAUAUGAUUGUCAAUAACUGCAUUAACGUACCAAGUGGAAAAUUGCGGAUUCAUGAGCUCAUGCAUUAUAAUGACUCAUUAAAAAUCUGCAAAGUCGAAUGUACUCCAUAACACAUCCACAUACAUAGCUAAAAGUCACUUAACAUCAACAUUAAAGUUUCAGCCACCCAACUACUAGGGAUUCAGAUACAGUUAUCUCUAAAUUAUAGAAAAAUCAUUAUGCUGUUGAUCAUACCUUUAAAAUGUGAUAAAUUAUGCAAAUACUUGGGCUGCAAAUCUAGCAAGUUGAGCACUGAAGUGAUCUGAAAUAUUGUUGAUAUCUAUUUGUUCCUCAAAUUGGAACAUUUACAAGAUAGUUUUCAUGAAUACUAGAGGGCCAGACUACUAAUGGAUAAAUAAGGAGAUUGGGGCAAGUUGGGGUUAAAUUAAACCAGCAGAGUCAAUACUAGAAAGACAAAUCUACUGUGCAAAUACCUUUAUCUGGCUUAAUGCUGAAAGCUUCAGACCAGUCAUAUCUAAAACCUUCACACAUGUGGUUAUUGGUCGCCCAUGCUUUGCUGAUGCCGAAGGCUACAAGAAAAGUAAAUCGGUCAAAAAAUAACUAUGAACUGUAAAAUAGUUAUACUUUAAUACUCACCAAAAUGACACGAUCCCUAUAUUCAUUUAUUUGAAUAUGUGAUUGCACAUAGCAGUGGACCUGUAAUAUAAUAAUGAAAUGCUCAGAAAUGUCACAGAUUAACCUUCUUAAUAAAAGGAAAAUGAUAAAGCACUUGAGUUCACGGCAAGAAGAUGAAAUGGUAGAACAUGAAAACUCAAAUUCUAGAACAUGUUUCAAUGAAAAUGUUACAAACAAAGAAAUCUAUCAUAAUACUUACAGAUGCUUUGUCAAACGUACUGAGCCCUACACCAACAGCAAAGACUGGCAAACCCUGGAGAAGAUGGCAGUGUUGUGAGAGAAUACUCGAGAAGAUAUAAUGUUCCUAUCAUAAUUAGUUCCAUAAUAUCCGCAUACCACAUAGACUCAUAAGAUUACAAAAUUAAGAUUGAUUUUGACAAAAAAUGAAAAAAAAAAAAAAAGUGGGCACCUCUCUUGAGUAACCUGACAUUCCUAUGAGCUGUGAAUCACGCACGGCUCUGUACAAUUCAGUAGGUACUAUGGGUUUCUGUGAAGAAGAAACAGCAUCCAUUUCAGAAAUGUUAAUGUUCAAAGACUUUUAAAAACAGUUUGGAUUAAAAUUUUAUUCUGAUAAGAAUGCAACAUAACUGAACAUAAAAUCAGAACAUCAUUCCAAUCAGGCAAUGACAGAACAUUUCAGUUAUAACUAAUAAGUAAAAAGCAUCAACCUGACCCAUUAUCUUUGGAAAUAAUUCAAGUAAGAGAUUG